rnacentral:lncRNA from 1 species
UAAAUGCUUAUGAUCCUCAACUUUCCUCCUCACUGUCCCAGUGUCCCUGCAAACAAUUCUGAUUUUCCUGCCAGAGAAAAAAAACUGAGAAACAAUGGCGGCUGAACAAGAAGCUGUGAGCAAUAAGCGAGUGAUUCUGAGCAACUAUGUGACAGGUUUUCCAAAAGAAUCAGACAUGAAGAUAACAAGUGGAUCAAUAAAGCUGAAGGUAGCAGAGGGUUCAAAAGACACAGUGCUUUUGAAGAAUCUUUAUCUUUCUUGUGAUCCUUACAUGCGAUGGCGUAUGAGCAAGCUUGAUAGACCUUCUUUUGUUGAUUCAUUCCAUCCUGGUGAGGUUAGUUCAUCACGACCCAUCUCUUGAUUUUUCCAUUUGGUUUAAGUUUUGGUGAGUUUCUGAGUUCAUUUUUACGGUUUUGGAAUGUGAACACAAUUUUGGUGCUGUAACUGUCAUUAAUGAUAUGUAGUAAUUCAAUCAGAAUUUGGAUUUAUUGCUGAUAUAAGCUCUGCUCAUUUUUUAAAAUCUGGUGUCCACAUGCAUGUUUAUAAUCUUUUUGGUUGAGAUUGUAUGUAGAUUCAUACAGUAUUCUUGUCUAACAAUUACUAACCACAACCUUAUAAGACGAUCGAAACUAAGCUCAGAUCAAUAAUCCAAUCAAGAGAGGAUCCUAACUCAAGCUUGUCAUGUAUGGGAAUAUUUCGGUUAAAUUGUAAUCAUGAUCAUGAAUCAUGCAGGAAAAAGGGAAGUUGAGGUCAAUUUAUGCACUUGAUGGAAUUAAAGAACCAAUAUUUGGUUUACAUUAUUUCUUAGUAAUGGUGACUGUGCCUUCUAGCAGAAUUUUACAUGCUUUAUGUUCUAACUAAGCAUCAAUAUUUGAUCGUGAUCAUUAGCGAGGUCAAUAAUUUUUUUUGACUAUUUUUUCAACAUAAGGUCGAUUUGUUGAAGAACAAGUUUGGAUUUGAUGAUGCUUUUAACUACAAGGAAGAGCCAGACUUGGAUGCAGCACUCAAAAGGUCAGCUGCAACAAACGUUUCAACUCUAAUAUUUCAUUUUAAUAUUACAGAGCUUUGGUUGAAGUGUGUGAGUUGAUCCCAAAAACGUAACUUCAUCAGUGUCUCUGUUUUCAAAAAACAGGACAAAUAGAAAUCUGAUUUUGCUUUAAAAAUUUCCUAGAUGCUUCCCUCAAGGAAUCGACAUAUAUUUCGAAAACGUUGGGGGAAAGAUGCUGGACGCAGUGCUACUCAACAUGAGGCUCCGGGGCCGCAUUGCGGUAUGCGGUAUGAUCUCGCAGUACAACCUGGAAAAACCUGAAGGCGUACACAACUUAGAGCAACUAAUCGGGAAACGGAUUCGCCUGGAAGGAUUUCUAGCUGGUGAUUACUAUCACCUCUAUCCAAAAUUCUUGGAACUGGUCAUUCCUGCAAUCAGAGAAGGAAAGAUGGUGUAUGUGGAAGACAUAGCCGAAGGACUCGAGAAUGCUCCCGCAGCCCUUGUCGGGCUCUUCACUGGCCGGAACGUCGGCAAGCAGCUAGUUGCAGUUGCUUAAUACAAAAGCCAAUAUGGAUGAGCUGAGAAUAUGUGACUGAAUCCAUUGUCCGGUUAAAAAUGUUUGCAUGUGUUAAUAUGAACUAUCCUCGUUUAGUAAUGGGAUUGGAUUGUCCUGUCAUUACUUAAUUUUGUUGAGCUAGGGCAUCUGUGUGUAAAGUGUCAAAUAAUUUGGAUUCAGACAAGAACUUAGUGGAUGCAUUGAAGGAUUUUUUUUUUCUUUUUUUUUCUUUUCCAAGAUAUUGAGAUAAUGAUUGGAACAUUUGAGGGAUAAGAUCAAAGUAUCUUUUAGGAUACCUCAUUGGUAAGUAUUAAAAUAUCAAUUGCGUCUUUAUAAGGACAGGUGGUCCAGGAUCAAGAUUAAUGAAGAACAAAUUACAGCCAUUAGAUUAAAGUGAAAUUAAAGCUGUGAAUAGUACACACUUGUUGUGUGAAAAACUUAAAGGAGACAUUCCUCUGUACAAAAUUAACUUAAUAAUAUGUCCUUAUUCAUUCAUUUGAUUCUUCCUUCUCAAUCGUCAUUAAUAAAUUAAUAAUACAAAUAAGUCCCCGUUAAAGGUUAAGUCCCCGAUUGGCUUUACCGUCACGCUCAUGCAUGAUCAAAUUUCAGUUAAUGCUGACGUGAUCGAUGAUGAUUUCAUUGGGAGCUUCCUUUGUCGUGGCACUCUCAUGUUCACAUUUAUUUUUAGGGUUAAUAAUAAUAAUAGCUUCUAGAAACGCUUUGUUUUAAUGAGAUUUUAUUUUUCAAUUAGUGUAAAAAAAAAAUAACAAAAAUUAAUAAAAACUGAUUAUUUAAUGAUGUUCGGCCCUCGAGACAGUUUAUACUCGUAAUUUAUUGUUUGAAAAUUAUUUCAACAUAUGAAAAACAAAAUUUCCCAAAUUUACAACGAAUUUUAAAACAAAAUUUCGAAAUUUCAAAGAAAAUUACAAAUUUGACUAGAUUGACUGGAAAAAAUAAAAUAAAUAAAAUCGUCAAAAAUCCUGGGACCGACCAUUUCAAAAGUCUGGCUCUUUUCCAGGCUUUCCUUCCAAAUUUUCACACACAAAAUUUCUCGUAACUGCUACACAUUAAACGCGUUUCACAUUUUCACUCUCUCUCUAUAAAUAAAUACGCACAUAAAAUUUCUCACCAUCCAAAAACAAAAUCUACAUAAAAAAUGGCGGGUGAAGAAGCAGUGAGCAACAAGCAGGUGAUUCUGAGCAACUACGUGACAGGGUUUCCCAAGGAAUCAGACAUGAAGAUAAUAACAGGCUCAAUAAACCUGAAGGUGCCAGAGGGCUCAAAAGACACAGUGCUUUUGAAGAAUCUUUAUCUUUCCUGUGAUCCUUACAUGAGAGGACGUAUGAGUAAGCUUGAUAAGCCUUCGUUUGUUGCCUCCUUCAACCCUGGCGAGGUCAGUUUCUUCAAUUCCCACCUCUUGGUUUCAUAAUCUUUUAUGGUCUUAGAGGUGUUUUAGGGAAACAUUAUGGUUUUGGUUUGUGGGCAUGAAUCCUUGAAGAGAGUAUGAUGUGUCGGACUAUGUAUGCAAUAAUAAGUAUAGGGGAUCUUGUUAAGAGAAGAUUCUCUUAAUGAGAUUAAAACUUUUGUCUUAUCAAAACAUAUGUUUAGUUAUGAUAUCAUGUUAGCAUUGUUUCUGAGGAUUUGAUUGCUUGCUUUGGGAAAGGGAUGUUGAGGUUACAUUAUUCAGUAAUGAUUUUUUUUUUUUUUCAAAUGUUCAAAUUAUGCAGCCUUUGAGCGGAUAUGGAGUGUCCAAAGUGUUGGAUUCCACACAUCCAAAUUAUAAGAAAGAUGACUUGGUCUGGGGCUUAACCAGUUGGGAGGAGUACAGUCUCAUCCAAUCACCACAACAUCUGAUUAAAAUUCUGGAUACAAAUGUGCCUCUGUCAUACUAUACUGGGAUUCUUGGUAAGUUGUUACUAAAUUUAUCGAUGUCCAGUUUGCAUGAGCCGAAAAUCGUGUUUUAUUCAAUGCAAUGAGAUAGGGAUAUAUAAUAUGCCUGCUUGAACGUCUAGCAUUUUGAAUUUUCAACAAUUGGUCCGUCUGUAUGGGCAUGUAACUGAAGGAUUUCAUUUGAGGAAUUUACUAUUGUUGCUGAUUAUUGGGUAUUUUUCUGUUGAUUCUAGGUAUGCCUGGUUUGACUGCAUAUGGUGGUUUAUAUGAGCUUUGCUCUCCUAAGAAAGGAGAGUAUGUCUAUGUAUCUGCAGCAUCUGGAGCUGUUGGUCAGCUAGUUGGGCAAUUUGCAAAGUUGGUUGGUUGCUAUGUUGUUGGAAGUGCAGGAAGCAAAGAAAAGGUGAGUUUGCACUCUUGACCCUUAAGCUCCAAAUAAAAACAUAAUAACUUCCAAAAGAAUUGUGCAUGUCACAGUAUUUGUGUUCUAACUGAUCAUGGAUAUUUGAUCAGUAGUCUAGUAGAAACAGACCUAUUAAUACAUAGUUGAUUCGUCCUCAAGAAAAUUUAGUUGAUAUAUGCUUGAAAUUAUAUUCUGUUUUUUAUGCCAGAUUAUAUUAUUAGAUGACUAUAUUAACCAGAUUCUUUUUCUUUGUGCUGUUUCUCAUUUGAUUACGUUUUCAACAUUAGGUCAAUCUGUUGAAGAACAAGUUUGGGUUUGAUGAUGCUUUUAACUAUAAGGAAGAGCCAGACUUGGAUGCAGCUCUUAAGAGGUUAGCACGAAUGAAUGCUUUAACCACUUUUCUCACUUCAUUAUUACAAUGCGCUGAUUGAUGUUAUCUGCGUUGGUCCUGUAAAUGUAAAACAGGACAAACAGAGAUCACUGAUCUCAUUUGUUACAUUGAUAUUUUCUACCAUUGCCAUACAUAGUAUAAACUUGGAAUGAAGAUAGAUAUUCAAUUCAGAGGGAAAUUUUCACUUGCAGCUAACAGAAUCAUGUUUGUGAUGUAUGUUUAUUUAGGAAAUGAAAAGAUUCGUUGCAUUAUUUUAUUCCAAGUUUGCUGAAAUCAUAUUUGUUUUCCCAGGUGCUUUCCUGAAGGCAUCGACAUCUAUUUCGAAAAUGUUGGGGGUAAGAUGCUUGAUGCAGUCCUACUCAACAUGAGAAUUCAUGGCCGCAUCGCCGUAUGCGGAAUGAUCUCACAGUACAACCUUGAGAAGCCUGAAGGCGUACACAACUUGAUGCAAGUAGUUGGAAAACGAAUUCGCAUGGAAGGGUUUCUUGCCGGUGAUUUCUACCACCAAUAUCCGAAAUUCUUGGAACUGGUUAUGCCGGCAAUCAAAGAAGGAAAGUUAGUAUAUGUCGAGGACAUAGCUGAAGGCCUGGAGAAAGCUCCAUCAGCCCUAGUUGGGAUAUUCACUGGGCAGAAUGUUGGAAAACAACUGGUUGUAGUUGCUCCUGAAUGAUAUGAUUACAAUAUGCUUUAAAAGUGGACUGUGCCAUGCACUUUAAAAGCUUAGUGAAGAUGCCUCUGUCUUAUUUUUGAUACAUGUUAUGUUUGUUUGAUCAAGUUGUACUCAGCUAUAAAUGAAAGAUUCAGAACAUGUGUAUGGUACUGGUUUCUAAAUCAAUGAACGCUUUGAAAUGUUAGUGUUUUCACUGGAGAAUGCAGUUUAAUUCAUCAACAAUGUCCCAACAAGACCCUCAAGAGUGGUAGCUUGCAAAGUUAAUUACUAUAUUUUUUUCUUUCCGAUAUAUUGUUCAUUUCAUAGAAAGUUUACAUUAAUUAAAGUCUCAUGUUUCUUUGAAAGGUAAGCAAGUGUGAAUGUUUCUAUCUAGAGCUGGAAAAUGCAUUUCCGUGCAACUUACUUGAUGAAUGAAGUUUUCAUCUCUGACCUUGAUGUUUCCCAGAGCUGCAUUCAUUUCAGCUGAUCUAUUUCAUUUCGUUUGCAAAGGAGUGACACAAAACCUCCUUUGUUAAGGGGAGAAUUUAGAGUGGCUUCAACGGUUAACAAAUAGCCUAAUGUAAGACUUAAUCAAUUUCCUGCCCGGUUGCUUACCACUACUUAUCACUUUAACGUAUGAAACCUAAUCAAGAUUCCUUUGAUGAUUUUUCUAUUUGCUAAUUGAUUGAUAAGCUCUUCAGUGAAGAUAUAGUGUCCGCAAGCCAUAUGUUGAUAGAGUUAGAGUUUGCAGAAGCUACUGUACCAUAUGUUGUUAGAGGCGGUAAAAACGGAGGCAGAUCAACACACAUUUAAAUUUCAAUGACAAUUUACUGGAAAUAAAUUUCCUAUGACCCUACAUGUGACUAAUUGAUGAGAACUUGACAAUGACAAAAGAAAGUGUAUGAGCUUUGCAGGCUGGCUUGCCAAUAUUGACUGUAUGGCACCAUCCGCAAGUAAGUAUCAUUACUGUUUAAUCAACUUGGUGGAGUCCACUGGGACCACCCCACAUGGUCAGUCUUAUCUCUACUCCUAAAUUUUCAAUAUUCCAUACAUCAAACCAAUUGCAGUUUUGAUAUCAAAUUCAAUUUUAUUGUUGGUGACGAUUCUGAUUCCUUUCAUUCUCACAAAACGGAACCAUGGUUGCUGUUGGAGAGAUCUUACUCAACGCCUUCCUUGAGGUGUUGUUUGACAGGUUGGCUUCUCGUAAUUUGCUCCGCUUUGUGCGUCAACUCCAAGGCGGGGUUGAUUCGGAGCUCAAGAAGUGGGAGAAAAAGCUGAAGAUGAUUCAGGCUGUGCUCUGCGAUGCAGAGGAGAAACAACUGACCGAUGAGGCUGUGAAGAUGUGGCUGGACGAACUCCAAGACUUAGCUUAUGACGCUGAGGACAUUCUUGAUGAGUUUGCUACUCAAGCUUUGGAAAGCAAGUUGAUGGCGCAAAACCAGGAUAGCUCUGGCCAGGUUCUCAGUCUCAUCCCGGCUAGUUUGAAUCCGAAUGCUAUUAUGUUCAAUUAUAGCAUGGGGUCCAAGAUUAAAGAUAUGACUAGCCGGCUGGAGCAACUCUGCCAAGAAAGAAUUGAACUUGGACUGCAACGGCUUACUGGAGGGGCGUCAUCAACCGCUGCUGCUGCACACCGGAGGCCACCCAGUUCGAGUGUCCGAACAGAACGUGAAGUAUUUGGAAGAGAAGAAGAUAAGGCCAAAAUUCUUGAUAUGGUCAAUACCCCAAGUGAUCACGCCAACUUUGUUGUAAUACCUAUUGUUGGAAUGGGCGGGAUAGGAAAAACAACUCUUGCUCGGGAGGUCUACAAUGACAAGGCAGUUGAGGAUUCCAAGUUUGACGUAAAAGCAUGGGUUUGUGUCUCCGACAACUUUGAUGUUUUCAACAUUUCAAAGGCACUUCUCGAGUCAAUCACCUCCGCAGCUAGUGAUCUCAAGACUUUAAAUGAAGUGCAGGUUCAACUGAAAAAAGCAGUGGACGGAAAAAGAUUCUUGCUGGUCUUAGAUGAUGUUUGGAACGAGGACUACAGCUUGUGGGUAGACUUAAAAGCUCCGUUCCUGGGUGCUGCACCAAACAGUAAGAUGAUCGUCACCACACGCAAUUUAAACGUUGCAUCAACAAUGGGACCAAUUGAACAUUAUAAUCUCAAGAGUCUGUUAGAUGAUGAUUGCUGGUCCAUUUUCAUACAGCAUGCAUUUGAAGGUAGAGAUCUUAACGCAUAUCAAAUUUCAGAAUCAUUCAGCAAGAAAGUUGUUGGCAAGUGUGGGGGCUUGCCUCUGGCAGCAAAAACGCUCGGGGGCCUUCUGCGCACAACAAGGCAUGAUGCGUGGGACGAUAUAUUGGAUAGCAAAAUAUGGGAUUUACAUCAACAAAGCAGCAUUCUCCCUGUGUUAAGAUUGAGUUACCAUCAUCUUCCGUCUCAUUUGAAAAGAUGUUUUGCUUUUUGUGCCAUCUUUCCAAAAGAUUAUGAAUUCACUGAGAAGGGGCUAACUUUCUUGUGGAUGGCUGGAGGUAUUAUUCGACAGUCAAGAAACAGUGAGCAGCUGGAAGAUUUGGGCAGCAAGUGCUUUCAUGAUCUAGUGUCAAGGUCUAUUUUUCAACAAACCAGCUCUGGUAGUUCUAAAUUUGUAAUGCACGACCUUAUCCAUGAUUUUGCUGAAUUGGUUUCUGGAGAGACCAUUUUAAGGUUAGAGGAAUCCACCAACUUGUCGUCAAGGAGAUUUGAAAGAGUUCGCCAUUCUUCCUAUGCCCGUGGUUGGCUUGAUGGUAAAAAUAAGUUUGAGGUUUUCUAUGAAAUUGAACAUCUGCGAACAUUCUUGCCAUUCUGCAUAAGAGGUGGCCCUAAUACUAGUUACGUAACUAGUUUACUUCUAUAUGAUUUGUUGCCGAAGUUUAAAAAGUUGAGGAUGCUAUCUUUAGAAGGAUACCAGAUUGGUGAGUUACCAAUUCCAUUUGAAGAUUUGAGACCUUUAAGGUUCCUCAACCUUGCCGACACUGACAUAAGAAGUUUACCCGAGUCAACAUGCAAAUUGCUGAACUUGGAAAUUUUGAUAUUACGAAAUUGUUCCCGUUUGAUAAAGCUUCCGCCCAAAAUGAGGAAUUUGAUCAAUUUACGCCAUCUCGAUAUAAAAGGUGCAAAGCUGCUGAAGGAGAUGCCAUUGGGAAUGAAAGCGUUGAGGAGUCUUCAAACAUUGUCCAAUUUUAUUGUAGGCAAGGGUGAAUCUGCAUCUGGUUUGGAAGAUUUAAAAAGUUUAAACUUUCUUUGUGAUGAACUCUGCAUUGCUGGAUUAGAGAGUGUGAAUAGUCCACAGAAUGCAAGAGAAACCGCAUUAUGCGAGAAGCACAAUCUUGAAGCAUUGACUCUAGAAUGGGGGUCUCAAUCUAACAGUCCUCGGGAUGCAGUACUAGAGGAGAAUGUACUUGACACUCUACAGCCUCAUAAACGUAUAAAAGAGCUGGCAAUCAGGCACUAUGGUGGUGCAAGAUUUCCACUUUGGAUCGGACAUCCUUCGUUCUCCGAGAUGAAGGUCCUUAAAUUGGAGAACUGUGACAAGUGUGUAUCUCUGCCAUCGCUUGGCCUGAUGAAUUCACUUAAGCACCUUGCUGUUAAAGGGCUGAAGAAACUAAAAAGCAUAGAGUCUGCGGUCUUUCCAUCAUUGGAGAUUCUAAGUUUUGAGAAUUUGCCAGAAUGGGAGCAUUGGGACACCAAUAUCAAUGGAAAUGUGCACGUUGAAAUAUUUCCUCAUCUCCAAGAACUUUCCAUUGCAGAAUGUCCCAAACUCUCUGGAGAACUGCCUGAGCUCCUGCCCUCCUUGGAGACACUUGUCGUUAGUAAAUGUGAACAGUUGGCAGUUCCAUUGUCUUGCUAUCCGAUGCUCUGCAGAUUAGAAGUUGAUGAGUGCAAAGAACUCGUGUGCGGGACUCCAAUUAAUUUUAAGUUGGUAAAGUCUUUGACCAUUUCAAAUAGUUCAUUAGACAUGAAUGGAUGCAAUGGGAUGCUAUACCAUGGUCCAGCUGGCUCUUCACUGUCUAAACGCAUGACUAUUACAAAUGUUUUGGAGUUUGGAAAAUUAUUGAAGCCUGGAUUUCAGAUAUUAGAAUAUUUGGUAAUUGGCAAUUCUGAACAGCUCAAGUCAUGGAGGCGGGCCAGGAGACCUAGACGUUUUAAUGAACCAGAACACGGGCUAAAAAUUCUCGCUUCCCCUGAAGAGGUAACAAUUGAAGAAAGUUGCGUAAAUCUUGUUUUGUUUGCAGAGAUCAAUUUCUUUCCCAGAAAUCUGCGCUCUCUUCUAAUUUUCAAUAACAUACCUUUAAAAUCCUUACCCGAGGAAAUGAUGGACAACAAUUCACAACUGGAAAGCUUGUGCAUCAGAAAUUGCGAUUCUCUAACAUUCAUCACAAGACACAAGCUACCUUCAUCUCUAAAAAGUAUAGCAAUUAAGAAUUGUGAGAAAUUGCAACGUCCGUUCGAUGAUGAAGAGGAUGCUUCUUCUUCUUCUUCUCCUUCAUCCUCGUCUUCCCCAGUGAUGCUGCAAUGCCUGACUAUAGAGAACUGCCCAGAGCUCACCAGUUUAUCAUCGGGAAUCCAAUUCCUUGAGGCGCUUGAAGUACUCGAGCUAAGGGAUUGUCGAAAGCUGGAGUCAUUACCGGAUGGCCUGCAAAAUCUUAACUGUUUACAGAGCAUUCAUAUAGAUGGAUGUCCAAGUCUUGUUUCCUUCCCAGAAAGAGGGCUUCCCAACACCAUUUCGAGAGUUUACAUUCGUGGUUGUGAGAAGCUUGAAGCCCUGCCCAACGACAUGCACAAACUCAACUCUCUCGAAACUUUAAACAUACGGAAAUGUCCAAAUCUUGUAUCGUUUCCAGAGGAAGGUUUUCCUACCAGUCUAGUAUCACUUACAAUUGGAUAUGUCAAAAUGUAUAAGACACUCGUCCAGUGGGGGUUGCAUAGGCUUACCUCUCUUACACACCUCGAGAUUAUUGGAUGUGAUGAUGAAGCAGAGUGUUUUCCAGACGAGGAGAUAGGAAUGAUGCUGCCCACCUCUCUCACUCAUCUGCAACUUUCGGAAUUCAAAAAAUUGAUAUCUCUCUCUUCGACGGGUUUUCAGAGCCUCAACUCUCUUCAAUCUUUGUGGAUAUUGGGUUGCCCAAAUCUCACAUCAUUCCCAGAGGUGGGCCUUCCAUCCUCACUUUUGGAAUUACACAUUGUCAAGUGUCCAAAGCUUAAAGAAGUUUGCAAAAGAGACCAAGGAGAAGAGUGGCCCAAAAUUGCUCACAUCCCUUGUUUUGAGAUAGACUGGAAAUUCAUAUACGAUCCAGAAUCAGAGGAGUAGAUUCUCCUAUUAAGGUCAGUUGAUUUUUUAUUAUCCGUUAUAACAAGCUCCUCCUUUUUUAUUUUUUUAAUAAUAAUUUAGCAGUUCUAUAUAAUUAUAAAUCCUCCGCCCUUAAUUGAAAAUGUCACUCAUUUGAUUCCAUUUUCACAAGUCAGAUCGUAUGUUGAGGUUAUUUGCAUUUUAUCGGUGUUUAUUAAGGUAAUUAGUGCGUUAUAGGUUGAUUACUCACAGAUUAAGUUAUAACAUUUAUCUUAAAAUUUAAUGUCAUAGACAGAGAUGAUUUUUUAAUCCAAAGUUUUCUUGAUUCACUUCAAUUAGCAUUUUCUUUUCCCCAGAUCAGGCACGCGGAGAGUUCCAAUCAAGAAUUGGAGCAUGUGAAUGGGAUUUUUGUGAAAACAUAAUGAUGCAGGAACUGGGAUCUCAAAGUCAACAGAAUUUUAUUUACUCAUUGACUUUUCAACUCCUGUGGUUAUUUAUGGGUGAAAGAAAGAUAAGGGCAAUUUCAAGAAAUUUGCAAACUCUGUCAAUUUCUUUUAAUUGUACCAAUUUGUCGUUUAUGCUUUGGUUUUAUUUUUUCAGUUUUGUUUAUUGCUUAGAUGGUAGCAUACUUGAAAUGAUACAUAGCCUUCACCGGCAGAAUUCUAGUCUUGGCUUUCACCUCUCUAACUCAUCUCAUCUGUUCCUAUUGGGAUUCCAGAAAUUGAAAUUUCUGUCAUCAAUGGGUUUCAAAGCCUCACCGCUCUCCGAUUUUUGUGGAUCGGGAAUUGCACAAAUCUCACAUCAUUUCCAGAGGUGGGCCUUCCAUCCUUGCUUUUUGGAAUUACAAAUUGGAAAAUGCUACUUUCCCCGGGUCAAAUCCCAGGUCAAACCCCGAAUUAAACCAAAACGACACCGUUUUGGUUUCUUUUUUUUGUCCUUUUUGCUUCCAUGAAACGUGGUCGUUUCAGCCAAACAAAAGCAAAUGUCUUCGUUUUUUACUUCCUCUCCUCUUCGAUUCUCCUCUUCGUUUUACCAACAGACCAACAGAGCACAAAUUGCAGAAGUCACUUGCACAUCAAUUCAUCACAAAAUGCAGAGUUUUACUAAAGAAAAAAACGAUGCCGUUUUUCUUGCCAAAUAUUUUCCAUUUCCUUCGUUCAUGGAGCUCCUGCCACCGCCAAAGCCAAAUAUUUCCCCUUUCAUUUCCUUCGUCAAUCAAGCUCCAGCCACUUGCUUCGUCGAUCGAGCUCUAGCCACAGCCAUUCGCAAAUCGCAGUCCACAAUCCGCGCCUGAAAUUGUCAUUCACAAUCCACAACUCACAACCAUGACUUCACACAGAGAACGACUCCCACAGCCUUCACGCGACAGCGAGAUCGAGCUCUUUAACAUUCGAAGAACAUAUCUGGUUGCGAAAGUUGAUUUUUAAUUUGCUUGCGAGCUGAGAUGCUUCGAAUUCUCUGUUUUUUUUUUUUUUUUGUAAAUUACUAAGCCAAAAGCUUUGCAUAAGCUUCUGCUUCGGUUUUGAAGAUUGUGAAGCUGGAAAUGUUUUUUCCCUUUUUAUAAAUGGAUAAUUGAAAGUUUGAACUUUACCUUCGUACUUUCUUUUUCAUAAAUUGCUCAUGGUGCAGUCUCAUUUUGCUAGUUGAAGAAACAGUUAAGGGGGUCUGUAGUUGGGAAGAAAGAGGAAACGAAAAUGAAAAGAAAAAGCUUAAGUCUCGGUGCGUUCAAGUAGCAUUUUUUCAAUUAAAAAAUUUAAUUCUCAAAACGGCGUCGUUUUCUAAAGUUUCGGGGUUUGACCCGGGAUUUGACCCGGGGUAAAUAGCAGAACUCUUACAAAUUUACAGUUGUCAGAAGCUUGAAAAAGUGUGUAAAAGAGAUCAAAAUUCUUGUCUUGGCUUUCACGUAGGGAUGGCAAAAAUCCCCACGGGGACGGGUACCCUCGGGGAUUUUCCCCAUUCGGGGAGGGUAUGGGGAUAAUUUCAUACCCAAUUUCUUAUUCGGGGAGGGGACGGGGAAAUUUUGUUACCCAAUUUCUUAUUCGGGGAGGGGACGGGGAUGAGGUGGAAUCCCCAUCCCCUACCCAUUUCCCCAUUUUAAUUUUUAAUUUUAUUUUAAUUUUUUAAAAUUACUAGUAAAUAAAUAAUAAAAUUUAAAUUAUAAAAUUAUAAAUAUUGGUAAAAAUAAAAAAUAUCAAAAUAUUUAUAUUAUUAAACUUUUAGGCUUAAUUAACUAAUUAAAGUCCUAAAUUUUUAUUUAGGACAUUAAAAAGACCGAGUAGAUUCUAUUAGCCCAAAAGUUUUUUAUUUUUAAUAUUCUUUAAAUAUUUUAAACUUAAAUCUAUUUUUUAUUUAUUUUUAGAUGUUAUAAUUGCCCACAUCGAAUCACAAUUUUAAUAUCUAAUCUAAUCUAAUCUAAUCUAAUAUUUACUCUUGAUUUGCUCCGAUUUAACUAUUGUGUUGUAAAGGGAAUAGUCCACAUUUAUAAAGUGCCCACGCCACCAUUAAAAAAGUUAAUUUUGAAUCUAAAUUCGAUUUUAUUUGUAACAAUUUUGUAUUAAACUAUUAAUUUGUUCAUGAUAGUUUGUAAAAGAAGUUUGUAUCCCUUGCAUGCUGUGUUACUUACUAAUUUAAUGUAUGUGACUUUUGUAAUGGAUAUUAAUGUAAGAUAUAUUUCAAAUUUUACUUUUAUUUGAAUUUUUUAUUUUAAUAUGAUUAACUCAAAAUCGAAAAAAAAAUAUUAGUUAUUCGGGGAUCGGGGACCCUCGGGGAUCCCCUGUUAUUAUUCGGGGAGGGGAUGGAGAUUCGCUCAAGUAAUUCUGACGGGAACGGGGAGGGGACGGGGACAUACGCAAAAUAUCGGGGAUGGGUACGGAGAGAUUGGUCCCCUCCCCUCCCCUCCCCAUUGCCAUCCCUACUUUCACGGAUAGUUUUUAUCACGUAACCACGUGAGGAAGCAUGUGCUGGAGCCUGAAUUCAGUUAGUUAAAGUUUGUUAACCACGUGUCAACAAACUGUAUAAUCUGGAAAAUAAGCUAGCUAUUGAAACAGGGUAUAAAGGCUGGUUUUUCAGGGACUAUCGAGAGCUGAUUCUAGAGUCUUGUAGAAAGAGGUUUGUGAGAGAGAAAGUGUCAUCUUGUUCUCUGUAAAAUCCGAUAUAGGGCUCUGUAACGAUCUCCAUUGUUGAAUCAAUAAAACUCAUCUAGAAGCUUCUCUCGUGGACGUAUUCUGAGCAAUCAAUGCACAGCUGAACCACGUAAUAUCUUGGUUUCUGUGGGUUCUUGUUUUGGUUCUUGAUAAAUUCUUGUUGUUGUAUUGAGGUGUGAUUUGAUCUGUCUAAACUUGUAUCUGUGCAACUUGAAUUGAUUUGAUGAUAAGAAUCUUGGGCAGUGAUCAGAUUCGUUUAGUUUAAAGAACAAGCUGAUUACUACCGUACCUAUGCAUGGACCUGCAACCUGUGCUGACAAAACUGAAACUGUGAGUUUGAGGUAAAAAGGUCCUGGACCCUCACAGUUUAACUUUGACUUGUUGCUUUCUGGAUAAACAUAUUUUAGAAAUUUGCAAUUUGUUGUUAAUUAUGGUAUGUGAUUUUCUUCUUUGUUUUCGCUUUUGUAGAAUCUACCGUAUUACAUAUUGGCAGUUGUAUCUGAGGUACCUUUUUUGCAUUUAACUUGCCUUUAUCUGUUUUGCCUGUUACUUAACAACACAAACACAUCAUUUCCCAAACAUUUGGAGAAGCAUCUCAAGAUGCUUAACAAACUUGACAAACUUCAAGAUGCUCCCAAGCCUUGAUUCUUCACAAUGGAAGACCUGUGAGUACACUUAUGCCCGCAAUUAUUGUGAAGUGAUUGCAACUUUGAUGCAGCGAAAUGGUUUGCUGAUGCAAAGCUUUAAAACUGUUAAGAAUUACCCUGCAGGCUUGUUGGAUGUUGUAUACUCCAAAAGCCACCAACACCAAGAACUAUAACAGCAAGACUAGGUUUGCAUUAAUUCAAUUAGCUGAAAUAAUGAUGCAAAUGGCACUAUCCAGCUCGACUUAGAGACUAGUCAGGUCAAUCAUCCAUUUCAUCAACAGUUAAUGUCAGGAUGGUGGCUAGCAGAGGAAACAAAGGAUAUGUUGGAAUCAAUAAGAACAGUGAGAAGCAUGAGAGGAGCUUUGAUUAUAAGUAGGCUCAAUGAACUAGUGUUGGUAAGUGGUAAUUAGAGCAAUUUGUGAGCUUAGUAGAGUUUCAAUAUUUUCUGUUUGGGAUAUAGUUGAUAAGUUGAUACUCUGAUUAAGAAGGCUGAUUAUAGUAGCUGACUAUAUUAACCGGGUUCUCUUUUUUGGUUUGCUGUUGUUUUUUCUUUCAAUAUCUUUUUCAACAUUAGGUUUAGCUGUUGAAGAACAAGCUUGGGUUUGAUUAUCAGGUAAGAACAAAUGAAUGCUUUAACCAUGUUUCUCACUUAUCACAAUGCACGGAUUGAAGGCGUCUGAGUUGAUCCUGAAAAUUUGAUGGAAACACUUCUCUGUUUUCAUAAAACAGGACAACCAGAAAUAUCUGAUCAUGCCUGAGAAUUCGUCGCAUUGAAAUUUUCUACCAUUGCCAAACAUAGAAUAAACCAGGGAUACAUUAGCUUAAGACUCAAUUUUGAGAAGGAAGUUUGUACUUGCAGACUAUAAAAUCAUGUCUACCUUGUAUGUUUCUGUGGGGAAUGAAAGAUUCUGUGUGUUCUUUUACUUCGGGUUUGCUGAAAUCACAUUUGUUUUCUCAGAUGCUUUCCGGAAGGUAACAACGUCAAUUUCAAAAAUGUUGGGGUAAGAUGCAUCAUGCAGUGCUGCUCAACAUGAGAAUUCCUGGCCGCAUUACCCGUAUGUGGAAUGAUCUCACACUACAACCUUGAGAAGGUUGUAAGGAGUACACAACUAGAUGCGAGUAGUUUCAAAAUGAAUUCACAUGGAAUUAUAUGUUGCCGCUUAUUACUAUCACGUCUAUCCGAAAAUUCUUGGAAUUUGUCACCGGCAUUGAAGGAUUGUAUACGUGAAGACAUAGCUGAUGGCCUUGCGAAAGCUCCAUCAGCACUUAUAUCGGAAACAGCUGGUUGUAGUUGCUCCUGAGUGAUAUGAUUAAUAGAUACUGUAAAAAUGAACUGUGCCACUCAUAUCGAAAACCAGCUGUUAUGAUGUGUUGGUAAUGUGUUUGAUGCUUGUUUGAUUUAUGUUGUAUUCGGCUAUAAAUCAAAGAUCAGAACAUGGGUGUGUUACUGGUUUCCAAAUCAAAAAAUGCCUUGUGAUGUUAGUGUUCACUGUUUUCACAGGAGACCAGGUUCCUUGUUAAUGAGUCAAGAAGAAGACAAGUGAAUCCAUGUCUGAGUUCAAAUGUGUCUUUUCUAUUUCUUUUACCGACACAUUUAUUUUGAUUUCUUUGACUAGAUGACUAAAGAGUAAAGAUAGAAGAAAUCAAAACAAAUGAGUCAGGUCCCACCUGGCCCAUUGGCCCAUCUCUCUUCCAGCCCAAAUCACUCUCAUUCGCUAUUUUGCCACCUUCAUUUCACUGCCCUCAUAGCUCCCCGUUCUCACGGUGGCUGCCAUCUUUCUGCUCACGCAUCUUUCAAAUUUCAAACCUAACAGCAUUCUGUUGCUCUGUCGUGGGUACUUCAACUUCUGUCACCUUCGGUAAGCUUAUCUCUGCCCCUCUGUGGCUGUCUCUCUCUUUACAAUGUUGUUUCUUAUUCAAUUUACAGAAUUGAAUUCACUGUUCAGUUUAUGGGUUAGAUUUUUAUUCAAAAUAAUAUUAAACCCACCUCAGAUUUUAUCCCGUAGUAUGUAAAGUUCAUGUAAAGUUUCCACCUUUACGACCGUCCGAUGUUUAAAGUUCUAAUUUUGUUCCGGGGUUUUAUCAGUGUAUUUAGAAAUUAUGUCCAUUGUUUUUAUGAAAAUGGAACUAUUUUCAUUUGUUUAUUUCUCUAUGGAUGAGAAAACCGGUCUUUAAGCUUUAUAAUCUUUAUUUGAUUAUUAGAUUUCUCUUUUGUUAUUCAGAUGAGUUCAGUUUUCCAAUUCUGUGCAAUUGUUUUGUUGCAUUUUUCAAUUUUAUCUUUUUCCAAUGCGACGUUUAUGUUUGUAUUUUCUUAAAAGUGGACAUGAAUUUUGAUUUGUUGUUGCUUUGUUGUGAUUGAGUAGCCAAUUUUAAGUCCAUAUUAAACUUUCUCAAUUAUUAGUUGAAUUAUUUGGAUUUGAAAUUUUAAGUUCUUAAAACCGCCAUUUUAACUUGUUUGUUAAUGGCUCUGUUGAGCUUCAACAUUUGUUUUCAAGAACAAAAUUGAUGGAACUAUAAACCUUCGUUUCUCACAUGCGGGCAACAUGUUAUGUUAGACAGAGUGAAAUCGACAGAAGAAACCAAAACAUUGGAAACAGAGACACAGAGAGAGAUCAGCAGAAAUGGCUUGGUGCAGAGUACGCUCAGCUUCAUCGACACUCUUCAUUAGGCUUCUCUGCCCUUUCAUUCUCAACAAUAACACUACUUAACGCUAUCAGUCCUGUGGUACUCUUGUUUCUAUACUUGUGGAAUCUCUUUUUUAAUCCUCAAAGUUUGAAUUAAAUUAUAUUGCCUCUGUAUUUCUGCAGAAACGGAAUCAGUUGGUGAUGACAUUAAUUCUCAAGUUGGAAGUUGCAUGCCACUUUCUUGUAUGCAUGUUGGGACCAUCAUCAACAACAUUGAGGUAAACUCAGCCAAGAUUUUGAAAAAGAAUCCACUUCAAGGUACUGCUUAGUUUCUGGAAAUGAGAAAUUGAUUGACACUAGACGUCAACCCACCAUUGAUACAGCGUCUAACCCCAGCCAUGAAGCUAAGAUGCUUAGGAAGGCUGGUCAGAGCCAUUGGUUGGGCCAAAGACCUGUGAUUAGAGGAGUACCCAUGAAUCCAGUUGAUCAUCCUCGUGGUCGAGGUGAGGGACAAGGCAAAAGUAGUGGUAAGCAUGGAAGGUGUUCACUUACACCUUGGGGCAAGCCUUGUAAGUGGUGUAAAACUGCAUCUCGUAAGAAGAAAAGGAAAUUUAGCCGUCUGAUAAUAUUGUCCUUCUGUGCUAUUUAGCCUUUUUAAUAUUGUUACAUUGUUUGUUAUAUCUUUGAUGUUAGUUUUGGACCAGCUUUUAACUGAUCCAUAAUGAAACUGAAGUUUAAUUUUCGAUUGAACUUUUACUGGUUUUACUCCUGUCAUUUCAAUUUAGCUUUGAUUUAAGAUGCUGAAUUCUGUGAUUGGAGUAUGUAGAUUGGAAAGAGAGAUAUUAUGGGAUAGAAUAUAGAUUUUGUGUUUUGGUUUCUCAUGUUUAGAGAUAUUCUGUUCUUUUUCAUUUAUUCAAUUUGGUUAGUGGUGAUCUCUUAAAGAGUUAAUGCAUGUGUGUUUAUGUACUUUUCUUUUGGCCUUGAUUCUAUUUCUUGGGGAGUUUAUACAGAUUCCUCUUUUAUGCUUCACAUGCCACAUGCCACAUGAAAGAUGAAAGCCUUUUGUGUGAUUAGAAUUGACUUGCAUCAUAGUAACUUUGAACCACUGUAACAUUUUUAUAAUAGCAGUCUGCGAUCUCCUUGAAGGAUUCAAAGCAUUUUUUUUGUUAGUCUUGGCUUGCAUUAAAAUCCUUUAUACCGAUUGGUUGGUCUCCUUUAAAGCAAUUCCUGUUUUAAGUAAUCAAAAUCUUGAUUCGGAAGUGUGUUUUAGCACUACUAAAGGUUCUUUUAAAUACUAAAUUGAUUGUGAGUCUUCUAUAUCAUCUGAUUGAAAUACAUGAAAGCGAUAUUGGCUACAAAAGUACACUUGGGGUUGUUUAUAAAGUCUUCAACAGGAUUUUUUUUUCCCCUUCCUCAUGGUUUAUUUUUUAGUUGUUGUUUAACAAAACACUUAAAAGGUUCUCUUUAUAGGUUUCUGAAAAUAAUUUUAACAUAACCAUUUUUCAGAAGCACUUUAGAUACCUGUGGCAUUUAGAAAAUUUUGUUCCAGCAUUCACAUAAUAUACAUAGAAAUUUGAAUUUAUUUAAUUAUGAGCAUGUGCUAGUGCCUAUUGGCAUCCACUUGUAUAUACAAAUGUAUUAUACAAUACAAUAUUAGCUUGACUGUAGCAUAGAGGAGAAUAGGGUCGGAAUUGGUCUGAAUUCUGAUCUUUGAAUAAAUAUAAUAGCUGAUUGAAGCUGCUCAUGUGACUCCAUUGUCAGCAGCUUACACAAGGUCUUUUAGCUUUUUAAAAAGUUUUGUGAUAUUUCAUAGUUCACAUGGAUUGCUACAGUAUAGAAUACCCAAUUAGGGCAUUUUUAAUUCCUAUGCAUAGGAGUCUUCCUUCAUGCGCACGCGCGUACACACAUAUAUUUCCCACUUCCGUUCACUCCAAAAGUGAAAAUUGCGGGCAAUUUUUAUCUUCAGUAAAAUUGGAGUAGAUGUUGUUCUUAUUGGCGCAAAUUUGCGUACCAUGUUUGUGGGACCCUUAACCUUGCGCCUUUGUUACAAUCAUAUGCAUUCAGGCUUUUGGUAGACCCUUGGAUAGUAUGAUCAGUGUAUUAGAAUUUAGAAUUCGUGUUUAUAAGGGUCAGUUUGGUAAUGUUAUAAUUUUUAAAAUAAUUACUGUUAGCUAUACUAUAGAAAUAAUCAGUUGUGAAUAAAAUCAGUUAAACAGUUGAUAAAUUUUGUUUUUAAGGUGUUGUGAGUUUUAAACAAUUUGUAUGUAUUUAGUAAAUCUCGCUUUUAAAGUAUUAUAAGAAUGCAAAGACUUAAAUAGAUAGAAAUCUAUAAAAUUUAUUUACAUGUGCAUUUAUACAAUAAUAUUUUAUGCAUGUAUAUAAUAAUUAAUAACAGAAAUAAAUAUUUUUAUUUUAUUAAUUAUAUAUUUUUCUUAUUAUCUCAAUAUAAUUGGUAAUAAUAAUCUUUUUAAUAGUACAUUUAUUAAUCAGUAAUCGAAAUGGGCUGGAAUCGGAAUGGGGAAUGAAAAUCAUAAUAAUUUGUUUACUUUAGCUGUAGGAAUCAAAAUCACAUGGAGCUAUAUUAUCAUUAAUAUAUUUAUUUUGUCUUGGAAUCGAAAUAGAUUGUUACAAAUUACUAAACUGAUUUUAUUAUUAUCAAUAUUAUUAUUAAACAAGGUAAAGGGAAUUUUUAAUUUUCACUAGGUGUAGAAAUGUCGAUUCACUUCUCAUUCUCAUUCUCUGUUCUCAUUCCCCCUCCUCAUAGGAUUACCAUUUCACAUUCUCAAAAAUUUAUAAUUGACUCACAUUUCAUUCUCAUUCCUCCUUAUUUUGGAAGUAAAUAAGUUAAAGAAUCAUAUUCCUUUAUUCUUGUUUUUCAUUCACAUUCCUUCUCCUUAUUUUGGAAGUAAAUAACUUAAAGAAUCAUAUUCCCUUAUUCUUGUUCUCGUUCUCGUUCUCAUUCUCAAUUAGUAAGCACACUACAAAUGCAAUGAUUUUGUUUCCUAAUUAAACAAGGAUAAUUUUUAGAUUUUUAUAAUAUAUGUUAAGAUAUAUGUAGAAUUGUAUUAAAUAUGAAACUGACUCCCAAAAUCAUAUUUUAAAAAACUAUUUUUUUCUUAUUUUUUGAAAUUUAUUGUAGGCUAGGGUGAUUUUAUCAAAGUAAUUUUUUUAAAAAUUUUCGGACCCAUUUGGGAUUGUUUUUGGAAGACUCAAAAAGGAUUUUGAAUAGCUAAAAUCUAAGUUUGGUGUUUUAUAAUUUUUUUUUAAAAAAAUUACUUCUGAUAAAAUUAUCUUAUCCACGUUAAAUUUUAAAAAGAAAGGAAAAAGUAAUUUUUUAAAAUCUGAUUUUAAGAAUCAUUUUUAUACUUAAUACAAUUUCAUAAAUAUCCUGAUAUAUAUCAUAAAAAUUCAAAAUUAUCUUUAUUAGUUAGGAAAUAAAAUCAAUAAUUUUAAAAAGAUUAUUAUUAUUUCUAAUUAUAUUGAGCUAACAAAAAGAAAUAAAAUUACUAAUAUAAAAUUUAUUUUAACUAUUAAUUAUUAUAUUUACCAAUAAAAAACAUUUUAUAUACACGUUUAUAAAUAUUUAAAUAAAAUUUAUUCAUGUCGAGUUCAACCAUUUAUAUUAUUACAGCAAUUUAACAACUGGUUGUCGUUGCUCGGGAAUUAUAGAAUUACCAUAUGUUGUAAAAAUGCACUAAGCCAUGCCAUGUGUUUGAUACAGGUUAUGCUUGUUCGAUUAAAUUGUACUCACCUAUAAAUCAAAGAUUCAGUACAUGUGCAUGUUAGUGGUCUUCAGAAUCCAGAAUAAUAAAUGCCUUGAAAUGCUUGAGUUCAAUGAUUUCGCAGAAGACCAAGUUCCUUGUUAAUGAGUCAGCAUGACUGAAUCCUUCACUAAGCCAAAUUUGUUUUCACUUUUAGUUUAGAAAUUGUCAUUAAUUAAGAAAGUGUUUGAUAAAAUGCUUUGGAAGGCACUGUUCGUUGGACGUUUGCCCAGAAUUUAUGAAAUCAUUGGUGUUUCAUCCUACUUGUAACACUCUUCUUUAUUUUCUAUUCUAACGAAGAAAUCUUUUAUUAGAAAAGUGACAAGAUUGCACCUUUCAUUUGUAUGUUAAGGAGGUGUAAAAUUUUCUCGUUAAAAUCCCAUCAUGAAAAAAACUCACGGGCAAAAACCUACUGCAAAUUAAAGAAAGAAGAGUAAAUCAUGAUAAAUACACUCUCUUUUACAAUGCAAGCGGAUGCUUCAAUGAGUGGAUCAUGCGCCAAACUUGUAUAUCGUUGUUGGUAGUGCUUUGUUGAAUCAAUAUGAUAGAUUUUCACUUUUCUUUUUUUUCUUUUCUUUUUUUUUUCCUUGUGGAUACGAAAAUGAUUUGGGUUAAACUAUACUUAAUGCCGGUUUGGUACGACUUCUCUACUAAUUAAAAGAGUUUUUUUUCUUAAAUGUUCAAAAAGAUUUUUUAUUAUAAAUUGUAAUUUGAGUGGAUUUCUUGGGAUUAAACAAGUUACAUUUUUGUCUCUAUAAAGAAGUUCAAGUUAUAGAUUUUGGCAAUAGAGAUGUAGAGGUUUUUUUUUUUUCAGAGAACUAAAUUGUGGAGACUAUCUUUAUUUGGUUAUACAACUUUUUUUUUUUUAAUUUCAUAACAUAAUUUUAAAAGACUUAUUUAAUAAAUUUGAUAUUUUUUUGUAAAAAUUAUCAUUCACGUCCAAACUACUGAAGAUUUUUUUGUUAAACGCACUACUUAAAAGUUAUAUUAAUUAUAAACUUUCUAAAAAAAAAAAACAAUUCAAAGAGUUAUAGCAAACAAAGUGCUAGUUAACUUCAGUCGAUAAUAAUCUUCUAAUCCGUCCUACAAAUGACUUUCGACAAGAGUGGUGCUACUCACAUCUCUUCAAAACCCAUUUGACACCCCGUUUUCUUUAUUUAAAAUUUUAUACAUUUGAAAAUUAUUUUUUCUUUUACUUGACACUCUUCAAAUUCUAAAACUAAGCUUCAAAGAACCUUCGUCAUUAAAUCUCAUUGCCUUCCUUUAUUCUUGUUACUUGAGAAGAAGAAUGAGAGUCUGGAAGAAUGAAAGAAAAUUCAGCGAGAUAGAAAUCUAGUAAUUUCAUACCAUGAUUCAGAAUUUUUUUUUUCUCAAAAGAAUCUACUAUUCUUCUAUAUUUUAUAUAAAAAAAAGAGGAAAAGAGGAAACUGAGAGACUCUUUGUUUAAUGCUUGAAAGUUAGAAAGAAAAGGUCAGGAAGCUGCCUGGUAAUGAGAGUGAUGCAUCAGCACUAAUUUCUAUCUCGAUAGCUACCAAUUACCACCCCUAGAAAGGCUGUUGAUCAACAAGCCAUAUCUACUGGUUUCCUUUCUUUAAAAGUUCUAAUGGUCCCCUUAAAAAUCUCUAUAUGCUCAGUCUUCUCAUGAUAUAUCUGAUUUUCGCUGAGAAUUAUAGCAAGCGCUUCAGAUAUCAUAAUACUUUGUGACUGACUACUGUGCAUGCUUAAUUAUAAGAUUAUUCCUUGUGGCCAAAUAAAAUGACCCCCUUUAGAGCCUCUGUAUUUGAAAAAGCAAGACAAUGAGCUUAAUUAUUGUCAAGGUCUCCAGUAGGAUACUCCUAAAUCCAUAUACCCACCCACCAGAACUCCAAUCUUGAAACUUAUAGAUCAAACCAUAACUUAAUGUGCCUGGCAACCAGGGAUAUGUCAGGCCUUUAAAAAACCACUACAUACAUUUGAGUCUGAAAUUGCUCCAAUUAGUAUUAUGAUUAUUAUUUUAAAAAACUCAACCUAAGCAAAGUGCCUCAGCAUACAAUAUUUAUUGACAACUAAAAAGUAAUAGUGGGUGGGGGUUGCCCUGGGUUUUGUUUAAAAAUUGAAGUAAAAAAUUUUCAAAUUUCAAAUUUCUAGUACAAAGAAAAUUGAUGACUAAAUUAAAUUCUGCAAAUUAAUUUCUAAUAUUACAUGAAAAUAUAUCAAGUUAAUUGGUAACAUUGUUAAUCACUUAAUCCUCAAUCUAAUACGUUAUGUAUUUGUUACUCUGUCUUAAAUCAAAAGUGGCGGUGAUUUAUUUUUAUUUUCACUAAUAAGAAAGGCAUGUUAGAGCUUUUAUUUUGUUGAAAAUGAACCAAAAAACUCCGAUUGGGAGAUUAUAAAUGUAUUUAACAAUAAUUUAACUUCCAUUUUGAAAGUCAUUAUAUUGUUUAUUCAGGAGAAGCGUUCUUUUAUAUUUUAUAGAUAUAAUGUUUGCUAAUCCUAAUUUAAGCUAAAGCAUAUGCAUUUCCUAAUUAAUUCUAAUUUAAGCUUAUUCAACUGCAUUCAAUUAAUGUUCGAUAAUACAAAUUCUAAAUACUAUAUACUCUAAGAAUUUUAAUCGUAAUGACAAGGUGAUCAUUUAAUUAUUACCGUUAAAUUAUAUAUGUAUGGUGGAGACGAGUCCACACGGUUUUGACGAGAAAUUAAAGACAAUAUUUAGUUAAGCUAGUAGUAUUUGUUCUGUUUAGUACGUCGUUUUACCAGCAAGCAUCCCGGCAAUGCACGCAUUAAUAAAAAAAUUUAUCUGUUUGGACUGAUUGGUAGUGAAAAAUUCCACAUACUUUAAAUUAAGAAAAUGCUAAGUAUCUUAAAGAAAACAAUUAAAAUAUUGUCACUUGAUGCUUGAAUCAUUAUUGUUAAAUAUCUCCGUUGAGUUGUAUUCCCCAGCUGUGAGUAUCAUUAUUGUCUUUGCUAUCUAAUCAAUUCAAUUUUCUUUCUGGAGACAAGAUUUUGAUUCCUUUCAUCGUUACAAAAACGGAACCAUGGUUGAUGUGGGAGAGAUCUUACUCAACGCCUUCUUUCAGGUGUUGUUCGACAGGUUGGCUUCCCGUGAUUUGCUCAGCUUUGUCCGUCAACUUGGAGGGGGGGUCGAUUCCGAGCUCAAGAAGUGGGAAAGAAAGCUGAAGAUGAUUCAGGCGGUGCUCAACGAUGCAGAGGAGAAGCAACUGACUGAUGAGGCUGUGAAGAUGUGGCUGGACGAUCUCCAAGACUUGGCUUAUGACGCUGAGGACAUUCUUGAUGAGUUUGCUACUCAAGCUUUGGAAAGCAAGUUGAUGGAGCAAAAUCAGGAUAGCUCUGGCCAGGUUCUCAGUUUCAUCCCGGCUAGUUUGAAUCCGAAUGCUAUUAUGUUCAAUUAUAGCAUGGGGUCCAAGAUUAAAGAUAUUACUAGCCGGCUGGAGCAACUCUGCCAAGAAAGAAUUGAACUUGGACUGCAGCGGAUUACUGGAGGGGCAUCAUCAACUGCUGCUGCUACACAGCAGAGGCCGCCCAGUUCGAGUGUCCCAACAGAACGUGAAGUAUUUGGAAGAGCAAAAGAUAAGGCCAAAAUUCUUGAUAUGGUAUUGGCCGAUACCCCAAGUGAUCAUGCCGACUUUGUUGUAAUACCCAUUGUUGGCAUGGGCGGGAUAGGAAAAACAACUCUCGCUCGGGAGGUUUACAAUGACAAGGCCGUUGGCGGUUCCAAGUUUGAUGUAAAAGCAUGGGUUUGCGUAUCUGACGUCUUUGAUGUUUUGGGCAUCUCAAAGGCACUUCUCGAGUCAAUCACCCGCAGGCCAUGUCUUCUAAACAGUUUAAAUGAAGUGCAGGUUGAAUUGAAAGUAGCUGUGGAUAAAAAAAGAUUCUUGCUGGUCUUAGAUGAUGUUUGGAACGAGGAGUACAGCUUGUGGGUAGACUUAAAAGCUCCGUUCCUGGUUGCUGCACCAAACAGUAAGAUGAUCGUCACCACACGCAAUUCAAAUGUUGCAUCAACAAUGGGGCCAGUUGAACAUUACAAUCUCAGGAGUCUAUCGGAUGAUGAUUGCUGGUCCAUUUUCAUAAAGCAUGCAUUUGAAUCUAGAGAUCUUAACGCACAUCAAAUUUCAGAAUCAUUCCGCAAGAAAGUUGUUGCCAAGUGUGGAGGCUUGGCCCUGGCAGCAAAAACACUCGGAGGCCUUCUGCGUACGACGAGGCAUGAUGCGUGGGAUGAUAUAUUAGAGAGCAAAAUAUGGGAUUUACCACGACAAAGUGGGGUUCUCCCAGUAUUAAGAUUGAGUUACCAUCAUCUUCCUUCUCAUUUGAAAAUGUGUUUUGCUUUCUGUGCAAUCUUUCCAAAAGAUUAUGAAUUCAAAGAGAAGGAGCUGACUUUUUUAUGGAUGGCCGGAGGAAUUAUUCGACAGUCAAGAAGCAAAGAGCGGCUAGAAGAUUUGGGCAGCAAGUGCUUCCAUGAUCUGGUGUCAAGGUCAAUUUUUCAGAAAUCAGCAAUCUCUGCUAGUUCUAAAUUUGUAAUCCAUGACCUUAUCCAUGAUCUUGCUGAAUUGGUCUCUGGAGAAACCAUAUUUAGGUUAGAGGAGGCCAAUACUCUGUCAAGAAGAUUUGAAAGGGUUCGCCAUUCCUCCUAUGCUUGUGGUGGAUAUGAUGGUAAAAAUAUGUUCGAUGUUUUCAAUGAAAUUGAACAUCUACGAACAUUCUUGCCAUUACGCUUACGCAUAAGAGGUGGCUUUAGUUCUGGUUACAUAAGUCGAACGGUCCUAUCUGACUUGCUGCCAAAGUUCAAAAGGUUGAGAAUGCUAUCUUUAGAAGGAUACUGUAUUGGCGAGUUACCAAUUCCAUUUGAAGAUUUGAGACUUUUAAGGUUUCUCAACCUUGCUGACACUGACAUAAGAAGUUUACCCGAGUCAACAUGCAAAUUGCUGAACUUGGAAAUUUUUAUAUUAAGAAAUUGUUCCCGUUUGAUAAAGCUUCCAGCCAAAAUGAGGAAUUUGAUCAAUUUACGCCAUCUGGAUAUAAGAGGUGCGAAGUUGCUGAAGGAGAUGCCAGUCGGAAUGAAAGAGCUGAAGAAGCUUCAAACAUUGUACAAUUUCAUUGUGGGCAAGGGUGAAACUGCAUCCGGUUUGGAAGAAUUAAAAAGUUUAAACUUUCUUUGUGAUGAACUUUGCAUUGCUGGAUUAGAGAAUGUGAAUAAUCCACAGAAUGCAAGAGAAGCGGCAUUAUGCGAGAAGCACAAUCUUGAAGCACUGACUCUAGAUUGGGGGUCUCAAUUUGACAAUUCUCGAGAUGGAGUAGUAGAAGAGCAUGUACUGGAAAUUCUACAGCCUCAUAAACGUAUAAAAAAGGUGGCAAUCAGGAACUAUAGAGGUGCAAGAUUUCCACAUUGGAUAGGAGAUCCUUUGUUCUCCAAAAUAGAGUUCCUUGAAUUGGAGAACUGUGACAAUUGUGUAUCUUUGCCAUCGCUUGGCCGUUUGAGUUCACUUAAACACCUUGCUGUUAAAGGGCUGAAGAAACUAAAAAGCAUAGAGUCUAAGGUUUAUGGGGAGGGUUUCUCAAUGCCUUUUCCAUCAUUGGAGAUUCUAAGUUUCGAGAAUUUGCCAGAAUGGGAGCAUUGGGACACCGAUAUCAAAGGAAAUGUACUUGUUGAAAUAUUUCCUCGUCUCCAUAAACUUUCCAUUGUGGAAUGUCCCAAACUCUCCGGAGAACUGCCUGAUCUCCUGCCCUCCUUGGAGACACUUGUUGUUAGUAAAUGUGAAAAGUUGGUAGUUCCAUUGUCUUGCUAUCCGAUGCUCUGCAGAUUAGAAGUUGAUGAGUGCAAGGAACUAGCGUGCGCGACUCCAAUUGAUUUUAAGUUGAUAAAGUCUGUGACUAUUUCAAAUUGUUCACUAGACAUGUAUGGAUGCAAGGGGAUGCUAUACAAUGGUCCAGCUGGCUCUUCACUGCCGAAAUCCAUGACUAUUACAAAUGUUUUGGCGUUUGGAAAAUUAUUGAAGCCUGAAUUUCAGAUAUUAGAAACUUUGGUAAUUGACAAUUCUGAACAGCUCAUGUCAUGGAGGCAGCGUGGGAAUUUCCGAGAAGAAUAUUUGGCCGUUCGCCGAAGGCUUAUCAAACCAUUACAAGGGCUAAAUAUGCUCGCUUCCCCAGAAGAGGUAACAAUUGAAGAAAGUUGUGUGAGUUUUGUUUUAUUUUCAGAGAUCAAUUUCUUUCCCAGAAAUCUGCGCUCUCUUCUAAUUUGCAGCAGCACAGCUUUAAAAUCCUUACCCGAUGAAAUGAUGGACAACAGUUCACAACUCAAAAGGUUGUAUAUCAGAGAUUGCGAUUCUCUAACAUUCAUCACAAGACGCAAGCUACCUUCAUCUCUAAAAAGUAUAGAGAUUCAGAAUUGUGAGAAACUGCGACAUUUGUUCGAUGAUAAAGAGGAUGCUUCUUCUUCUUCUCCUCCUUCAUCCUCGCCCUCCCCAGUGAUGCUGAAACACCUGAGUAUAAAUAAUUGCCCAGAGCUCACCAGUUUAUCAACAGGAAUCCAAUUACUUGAGGCGCUUGAACACCUCGACAUACGGGAUUGUCGAAAGCUGGAGUCAUUACCAGAUGGCCUUCACAAUCUUAACUGUUUACAGGAGAUUACUCUAAACAGUUGUCCAAGUCUUCUUAGAGGGCUUCCCAACACGAUUUCAAGGGUUGACAUUUACAGCUGUCCAAGUCUUGUUUCCUUCCCAGAAAGAGGACUUCCCAACACGAUUUCAAAGGUUGACAUUUUUAAUUGUGAGAAGCUCGAAGCCCUGCCCAAUGACAUGCACAAACUCAACUCUCUUCGAGAUUUAAGCAUAUUGGGGUGUCGAAAUCUUGUAUCCUUUCCAGAAGAAGGUUUUCCUACCAGUCUAACAUCACUUAGAAUUGGAGAUUUCAAAAUGUAUAAGACACUCAUCCAGUGGGGGUUGCACAGGCUUACCUCUCUUAGACGCCUCUAUAUCGUUGAUUGUGAUGACGAAGCAGAGUGUUUUCCAGACGAGGAGAUAGGAACGAUGCUGCCUACCUCCCUAACUCAUCUAUCCUUUCGGGGAUUCCGAAAUUUGAUAUCUCUGUCUUCGACGGGUUUUCAGAGCCUCAACUCUCUUCAAUACUUGUGGAUCAGGGAUUGCCCGAAUCUCACAUCAUUCCCAGAGGUGGGCCUUCCAUCCUCACUUUUGGCAUUAUGCAUUAUCGAUUGUCCAAAGCUUAAAAAAGCGUGCAAAAGAGAUCAAGGAAAAGAGUGGUCCAAAAUUGCUCACAUCCCUCGCAUUGACAUAGACAGGAAAUUCAUAUACGAUCCAGAAUCAGAGGAGUAGAUUCUACUAUUAAGGUCAGUUGAUUUGUAUUAUCCGCCAUAACAAGCUCCUCCUUUUUUUUUAAAUAAUAAUAAUAAUUCUUACCAAUUAAUGAUGGUAAGAUGUGUACUUAUUCUUUCUUCCGGACAACCUUGCCUUCUUUCUUCGGUAGCAUAUCUAAUGAAUAUUUCUCUGUUUAGUUAAGGAUGAAUGCUUGGAGUGGAGUAUUUGGUAACAUUUCUGCCGUAGAUGAAACCUUGAAGAAAUGCCUGCACUUCCUGAGACCAAAUACAGGUCUGAUUCACAACAACACCUGUCCCAGAAAAUAUGAUACAAGCCAAAGCCAUGUUCUGAAGCAGAAAUAACGCAUUUCAAUUUUUAUCUGGUAAAAAUACACAGCCCUCGCCUACAAAAUUCUUAUCUUGGCUUUCACGGAUAUUUUUAUCACGUAACCACGUGAGGAAGCAUGUGCUGGAGCCUGAAUUCAGUUAGUUAAAGUUUGUUAACCACGUGUCAACAAACUGUAUAAUCUGGAAAAUACGCUAGCUAUUGAAACAGGGUAUAAAGGCUGGUUUUUCAGGGACUAUCGAGAGCUGAUUCUAGAGUCUUGUAGAAAGAGGUUUGUGAGAGAGAAAGUGUCAUCUUGUUCUCUGUAAAAUCCGAUAUAGGGCUCUGUAACGAUCUCCAUUGUUGAAUCAAUAAAACUCAUCUAGAAGCUUCUCCCGUGGACGUAUUCUGAGCAUUCAAUGCACAGCUGAACCACGUAAUAUCUUGGUUUCAGUGGGUUCUUGUUUUGGUUCUUGAUAAAUUCUUGUUGUUGUAUUGAGGUGUGAUUUGAUGUGUCUAAACUUGCAUCUGUGCAACUUGAAUUGAUUUGAUGAUAAUAAUCUUGGGCAGUGAUCAGAUUCGUUUAGUUUAAAGAACAAGCUGAUUACUACCGUACCUAUGCAUGGACCUGUAACCUGUGCUGACAAAACUGAAACUAUGAGUUUGAGGUAAAAAGGUCCUGGACCCUCACAGUUUAACUUGGACUUGUAGCUUUCUGGAUAAACACAUUUUAGAAGUUUGCAAUUUGUUGUUAAUUACGGUAUGUGAUUUUCUUUUUUGUUUUCGCUUUUGUAGAAUCUACCGUAUUACAUAUUGGCAGUUGUAUCUGAGGUACCAUUUUUGCAUUUAACUUGCCUUUAUCUGUUUUGCCUGUUACUUAACAACACAUCAUUUCCCAAAGAUUUGGAGAAGCAUCUCAAGAUGCUUAACAAACUUGACAAACUUCAAGAUGCUCCCAAGCCUUGAUUCUUCACAAAGGAAGACCUGUGAGUACACUUAUGCCCGCAAUUAUUGUGAAGUGAUUGCAACUUUGAUGCAGCGAAACGGUUUGCUGGUGCAAAGCUUUAAAACUGUUAAGAAUUACCCUGCAGGCUUGUUGGAUGUUGUAUACUCCGAAAGCCACCAACACCAAGAACUAUAACAGCAAGACUAGGUUUGCAUUAAUUCAAUUAGCUGAAAUAAUGAUGCAAAUGGCACUAUCCAGCUCGACUUAGAGACUAGUCAGGUCAAUCAUCCAUUUCAUCAACAGUUAAUGUCAGGAUGGUGGCUAGCAGAGGAAACAAAGGAUAUGUUGGAAUCAAUAAGAACAGUGAGAAGCAUGAGAGGAGCUUUGAUUAUAAGUAGGCUCAAUGAACUAGUGUUGGUAAGUGGUAAUUAGAGCAAUUUGUGAGCUUAGUAGAGUUUCAAUAUUUUCUGUUUGGGAUAUAGUUGAUAAGUUGAUACUCUGAUAAAGAAGGCUGAUUAUAGUAGCUGACUAUAUUAACCGGGUUCUCUUUUUUGGUUUGCUGUUGUUUUUUCUUUCAAUAUCUUUUUCAACAUUAGGUUUAAGAACAAGCUUGGGUUUGAUUAUCAGGUAAGAACAAAUGAAUGCUUUAACCAUGUUUCUCACUUAUCACAAUGCACGGAUUGAAGGCGUCUGAGUUGAUCCUGAAACGUGCCUCAGCAAGUAUUAUGAUUAUUAUUUUAAAAAACUCAACCUAAGCAACGUGCCUCAGCAUACAAUAUUUAUUGACAACUAAAAAGUAAUAGUGGGUGGGGGUUGCCCUGGGUUUUGUUUAAAAAUUGAAGUAAAAAAUUUUCAAAUUUCAAAUUUCUAGUACAAAGAAAAUUGAUGACUAAAUUAAAUUCUGCAAAUUAAUUUCUAAUAUUACAUGAAAAUAUUAUCAAGUUAACUGGUAACAUCGUUAAUCACUUAAUUCUCAGUCUAAUACGUUAUGUAUUUGUUACUCUGUCUUAAAUCAAAAGUGGCGGUGAUUUAUUUUUAUUUUCACUAAUCAGAAAGGCAUGUUAGAGCUUUUAUUUUGUCGAAAAUGAACCAAAAAAACUCCGAUUGGGAGAUUAUAAAUGUAAUUAACAAUAAUUUAACUUCCAUUUUGAAAGUCAUUAUAUUGUUUAUUCAGGAGAAGCGUUCUUUUAUAUUUUAUAGAUAUAAUGUUUGCUAAUCCUAAUUUAAGCUAAAGCAUAUGCAUUUCCUAAUUAAUUCUAAUUUAAGCUUAUUCAACUGCAUUCAAUUAAUGUUCGAUAAUACAAAUUCUAAAUACUAUAUACUCUAAGAAUUUUAAUCGUAAUGACAAGGUGAUCAUUUAAUUAUUACCGUUAAAUUAUAUAUGUAUGGUGGAGACGAGUCCACACGGUUUUGACGAGAAAUUAAAGACAAUAUUUAGUUAAGCUAGUAGUAUUUGUUCUGUUUAGUACGUCGUUUUACCAGCAAGCAUCCCGGCAAUGCACGCAUUAAUAAAAACAUUUAUCUGUUUGGACUGACUGGUAGUGAAAAAUUCCACAUACUUUAAAUCAAGAAAAUGCUAAGCAUCUUAAAGAAAACAAUUAAAAUAUUGUCACUUGAUGCUUGAAUCAUUAUUGUUAAAUAUCUCCGUUGAGUUGUAUUCCCCAGUUGUGAGUAUCAUUAUUGUUGUUUGUGCGAUAUGUUUCGACGAAGACCAGCAGUGAUGAGCAGGCGUCUGGUAGCAGGGUUCCUCGAACAGGUAUAUCUUGCAAGAGUCUGGUAGCAGGGGGAGCAAGAGCAGGAGUAUCCUGCUCGUCCACGAGUACGUCAUCCACGAGGCCGGUCUCCUGUUGGGAGCGUAAAGCCAUUCCUGCUAUAUUCCUGCUAGCGGUUGAGUCGAGGAGACCCGGUCAACGACAGUUGACGAGACAUGCUCUCCAGUCCGAGAAUCAAGGCGCGAAGGCCACGCAACCACCCACGACUACGGAAAUGGAGCAUCCACUUUCGAGAAGUGGGAGGAUGACAAGCGCAAAGGGAGGAAAUGCAUGGGCUCAGAAGUGGCCUAUAAAAAGGUAACCAACGAAGGUAAAAGGGUUAGCAAUUUUGAGAUUAUAACAGAGACUAAGGAAAUUCUAAAGAAGAGAAAACUAUUAAAAAGCCAUAAGAUCUGUGGCAAGCGUUCCCAGAGCCUUCAUAUCUGACUUGAGCGUCGGAGGGUUUACGCCGGGAAAACAACCGGCGUGCUCUGACUUGUUUCUGUGGACGCAGGAAUACUUGGAGAAGAAAGCAUACAAGGAGAGAUCCUGGUCGAGGUGAGGUUGAUUGAGCAGAUAUCCUGGUCGUAGGAAGAGCGUAACCAGAAUCUCGCAUCAAUAUUUUGGCGCCGUCUGUGGGGAGCUGAGCAAAAAGUUUCUGUUGAUAGCAAAGAAGAGGAGUGAAGCAAGUGAAAAGCAAUGGAGACAGGAGGAAGUAGUGCACAAGGGGGUGAUAUGAGGCUUAACGAUUCCGUGACGCUGAGGGAGAUAGCCAGUGAAGCACGGGAAAAAGCCAUGUUCGACCGGAUGGAACGGAUGGAAAAGCAGAUGGAGACCUUGACAACCAUCCUACAUGAGCUGCGGAGCGAACGAAGGGUAACCCAGGAGGAAAGGGUGAGAGGUGGUGGAGUGGCACCAGGUCCCGAUAGUGCGAGGAGAAGUCAAACCACCGGGAGAUUUGGUGGUGAGAGAGGUAACAUACCUCUGCAGGGAAAUUGCAUAGAGAGGAAGAGCAGUCCCCGGCAAGACAGAUUUUUGACGAGGACGACGGGGUGGCGAAUGCAGAGGAAGCAGAGUUGAGGCAAUACUUGCAUGAUGUAGUGCAAGAGCGGGAUCAAGUCGCAGCACGUGACCCUGGUCGUGCAGAGCAGCUGGAGGAGGAAGUGUGCAGGCUAGCGCAGAUAAUUGACGACAUACAAGGAAGGAGCAGAGCUCCUGGUUGGAGGAUAAUGCUGGACGGAGAAUCACCGCUCGCAGCAGAGAUCAUGAGGGCAGUUAUUCCAAGAGAUUUCCGCCUCCCAGACCUUAGAUAUUCGGGAUGAACUGAUCCGCUGGUGCACAUAGAGCGCUUCAACGACAUAACUGGGGUACAAGGAUUAUCUCAAUCCUAAAGGUGCAGGGUGUUCCCACUAUCCCUUGAGGGACGCGCACGAGAGUGGUACAGGAAACUUCCUCGGGGGAGCAUUAAAACCUUCGAGCAGAUGUGCCAGGAAUUUGCAGAACAGUUCCGUGGGGCAAUGGCACCAGAAGAUGACAUGAUGGAGUUGAAAAACAUGAAGCAGGGGGAACAAGAAACACUUCGGGAAUUCAUCAAGAGGUUUCACCGUGCUGUCCUCGACUUGGGAGCCUUCAACCACCCUCAAACGUUAAGGGGAUUGAAAGAAGGGGUGAAGAUAGGAAGGCUGUGGUACAACUUGAGAAGCCCAGUUAUUCAGACGUAUGCGGCCGCAUACGAGCAGGCUAAGAGAGACAUUGAGAUUGAAGAGGAGAAGGCAGCACAGAUUAAGACAGACCAGUUAGAAGGGUGGGGGAGGAAAGAGAAGAAAGCAUUACCGGGGAAUGGGCCGAUCAGGAGGAGGAACCACCAGGCCUCGAGUAGUGGAGCAGAAGGUCGGGUAACUGCUUACCAGCCUCAUCAGAGGCCACUACAGUAUCAGCACAGCAGGGCGCAACCUCCUCGUUCCCCAGCUGGGGAGCCUUGGAGAAGGCAUGACUCGGCGUAUGGUGGUCUUCAUCAACACUCCCACGGUAGUAGAAGGGGCAGACCAGAAGCGCUGCCACCGCCUCCAACUCAGAACGGAGCAAAUAGAGAAAGGGCAGUGCACCUGAUCGACCAGAACCAGGACUAUGGGCGAUAUACUUCCUUGAAGAUGUCCCUGGCCGAGGUGUACGAGGCCAUAAAGGAUCGAGGGUCGUUAUACCUCCCUGCCCCAAUAACAAAGCUACCCAGCAGGAGGGAUAGGGGACGCUAUUGUAAGUUCCAUGGCACUCAUGGCCACACCACAGCAGAUUACAGGGAUCUCAAGACCCAGGUUGAAGAUUUGGUGAGAAAUCGGUAUCUGGACGAGUUUAUAGAUGGGACCUUCCCAAUGGUAGCCUCGACCAGCGAAUGGGAGCAGAGUGACAGGAACUUGAGGCGCGAGCAGCCUGCAGUAAGGGUGAUAGCUGGGGGCCCAACAUUGGCCGGAGAUUCCAACAGGUUGAGGAAGAAUUACGCUAGAUACGCCAUGACCAGCAAAGAUGUAUUCUUCACCACCCCAGCAGCCAAACGUGCAAGAGUCAGGCAAGUGCCAAUUAUGUGGACAGAUGAGGAUGAAGAAGGGAUUCUAUACCCCCACGAGGAUGCUUUGGUCAUCAAGGCCACUGUUGCCAGCAAGAAGUUUGACAGGAUACUGGUUGACACAGGGAGCUCAGUUGAUGUGUUGUUUAAGUCAACCCUGGAGGAGAUGGGAAUAGCAGACCUGAAGUUGGAUUACACCAAUACCUCCUUGAAGGGGUUUGGAGGAGGAAAGUUGGUCCCUCUGGGCGUGGUCGAGCUGCCUAUCACGAUUGGGAGCUCCCCGACAGAAGGGACAAUGAUACUGGACUUUGUGGUAGUGGAUGAGGAAGGUCCUUAUCAGAUGAUCCUAGGCCGGCCAUUUCUGACGAUGAGCAAAGCGGUGCUGUCCAGCCAUUAUCUGGCUCUCAAGUACCGGGUGAAUGGGGUAGUUGGAGUGGUACGAGGAGACCAGAGGAUCGCAAGAAGCUGCUACUCCUCGGCAGCAAAGGAAGCAAUGCAGAUAACAUCCCUUGAUACCCGAGUGGAAGCCAGGAAUGGCAGCUAGUUGGACCCGGAGUUUACAAGCUGGUUCGCACGGAUGGCCACAAGGUGAAACGCCCAUGGAGCGCGACACACCUCAGGAAAUAUUUCUAGUAAGACUUACUCAUCUUUUAAAGUUAUUUCUGUUCGUGCCCGUUGUUUUCUAUUUUUCAUUUCUUAUUUCAAAGCAAUCUCAUGUAAGCCGAAUUCAAUAAUAAAUGAAUCAAUGAGGAGUUUCAGUCAACUACACUGUUCAAGAAAUUAUCAAAGGCAUGCAAAGGCUAGUCAAGUCUCAAAGCCUGUUUAUGGCGAGACCAGAAGCCAAGCGUGCCAGGAUCUGCUCGACCACGAGAAGGCGAGCAGAGUCCCAAGCUUUCAAGAAAUUAUCAAUGGCAUGCAAAGGCUCACCAAGUCUCAAAGCCUGUUUAUGGCGAGACCAGAAGCCAAGCGUACCAGGAUCUGCUUGACCACGAGAAGGCGAGCAGAGUCCCAAGCUUUCAAGAAAUUAUCAAAGGCAUGCAAAGGCUCACCAAGUCUCAAAGCCGGUUUAUGACGAGACCAGAAGCCAAGCGUUCCAGGAUCUGCUCGACCACGAGAAGGCGAGCAGAGUCCCAAGCUUUCAAGAAAUUAUCAAAGGCAUGCAAAGGCUCACCAAGUUUCAAAGCCUGUUUAUGACGAGACCAGAAGCCAAGCGUGCCAGGAUCUGCUCGACCACGAGAAGGCGAGCAGAGUCCCAAGCUUUCAAGAAAUUAUCAAAGGCAUGCAAAGGCUCACCAAGUCUCAAAGCCUGUUUAUGGCGAGACCAGAAGCCAAACGUGCCAGGAUCUGCUUGACCACGAGAAGGCGAGCAGAGUCCCAAGCUUUCAAGAAAUUAUCUAAGGCAUGCAAAGGCUCGCCAAGUCUCAAAGCCUGUUUUAUGGCGAGAUAGAAGCCAAGCGUACCAGGAUCUGCUCGACCACGUGAAGGUGAGCAGAAUCCCCAAGCAUCGGAAUAUUUUCCAAGGCAUGCAAAGGCUCGCCAAGUCUCAAAGCCUGUUUUAUGGCGAGACAGAAGCCAAGCAUGCCAGGAUCUGCUCGACCGCGCGAAGGCGAGCAGAAUCUCAAGCAUUGAAGAAUUUUCCAAGGCAUGUGGCAAAACCAUAUGCCGAGCCAGAACCUGCUAAACUAGACGAAGACGAGCAGAUUCUCAGACGAAAAAUAACUCAUGAUUACAACACAAGAAAGUAAUCAAAAACAUUUUUAUUAAUUUGUUAAUAAUUAACAGAGGAGAUAAUCUUCACAAACAUUGUUCAUUACAAUACAAGAAAUAUAUUAAGAGGACGGUGGAUCCGUAAGCCGAGCAGCCUCAGUCGGUUGGUCCACCUCAGGUGCUGGGGGAGUAUCACCGGUCGCGUCCGGGGGGGUGCUUGCCUCACCCACAUCAACAGGAACGGCACGAGGAGGAGAGUUUUCCUCAACUACGAUUGGUUCCACCGUUUCGGCAUCUUCCUUUGCAGCCUCCUCGUCCAUAUGUUGGGCGACACCAGUUGCAAGGUCGUCCAUCUUCAGAUCAGGAUGCUGCUUCCCGAGGACGACCAUGAUGCAACGAUAGGAAUGCCGAAGCCCCUAGUCGUACUGGUUGUCGGCCUCCCUCUCCAAGUUCUCGACCUGAGCUCGGUGGGAAUCGCGGAGAGAUUCGAGCUGAGCCUCAUAUAUAGCCUUCUGCCUUUGCAGAUCCUCCUCGACCUUGGUCAGCUCCUCCUCGAGGGUAAUGGCUUUUGCUUGAGCAAGAGAUUCUUGCUCUAUCAGCUUGAGGUUCUCAACAUUCAGCUCCCCUGCUUUCUUCUCGGCAGCGUCAGCUCUGGUCGUCGCCGAUUGAAUGUCCUCCUUAAUCUUGCGGUCGUAGCGGCCAACCUUCGCCUUGUAAUAGGUGGUCAUGCAGCUGAGGUAGAAAGCGCUAUACUGCAUGGCCCCCACCAGCUCACCCAAGGUGCAGCCGUCAAAGUCCUCCAGGUCCUUCUUGCUCACGAGUUUAGAUAACUCAUUGAGGUAGGGGACCAAGUGUUCUGCUUGGCUGUCAGGUAAGCGAGAUCGAGGCCCGACAGGAGGAGAAGAGGAAGCAGGAUCCGUGGCUGCUCCACUAGUUUCCCCAACUUUGGCAGGAGCAGGAGGUAAAGUCUUCAAGGGAGAGACUUGCUGUACGAUGUUGGCCUGCUUUGCAGAAGGGGCGUCCUUGUUCUGGUCCCUCUUCGUGGCUUGAGGUUGAGAACGUUUCCUGUUCAGAGCCCCAAUCACAGCGUCCUCCAUCUUAUGGCCAGGGAGUACCAAGCGAGACUCGAGCAAGUUGUAAACAGUUAUCAAUUCUCGGCUCGGGCAAGAGUUGGCUAGUAUAGCCUCGACCCGUUUGAGCUGAUCAGGUUGGAGCGAGAAGUGAACACCCCAAGAACCUGCAACACAAACAAACAUUUGAUUAGAGACAAACCAGUAAAGUGCAAACAACAAGGGAGACAAGACAUCUAAUACGAGCAGGCAACCUGGGACCAUGAAACGGGGUGGGACGCGACAAUCCUUCCCGUCUAUUUGUGCAACUUGACCCCAAGGACCCCCAGCAAAAAAGAAUUUCCUCUUCCAAGUCCCACCACCACCAGUUGGAAGAUCAGUUAUGGGUUUCUUGCUCUUGGUACUAGAUUGGAAGUAGUACCAGCCGGCAUCUUUGGGGCUGCUCUUUAGCUGGUACAGGUGCUUCACCUCAUCAACCGUGGGCUCGCUUUGGCAACAUCUGUCCCACAAUAUGAACAGACCAGAGAGCACCCUCCACCCAUUGGGGUUCAGUUGACCAGGAGCUAGAUUGAGCCCGUGGAGUAUGCGAGCAAAAUAGGGUUGCAAGGGGCACCUUAACCCGUACUUAAAACUCUCCUGGAACAAGGUGACAUAUCCCCUAGGAGGCCUGCUAGGACUAUCUUUUUUUCCUGGGAUCCUAAGGAGUACUUCACCAGGAAUAUGAUACCUGAGCCAGAGGUCAUCCAGCUCGUUGAAUGUGGUCGUGCAGGUCAUGUAAUCAAUAGCAUAAUCCCGCAACAAGGCUCUACCUCCUACUGUACUACGCCCUUCUGGUCGCAGUGUUCCCGGUGAAGAUCCCUCACCAGAGUCACCUCCUUGAUCCUCACUUAGGGUGUCUUCCGAGCCAGAAGGUCCUUCCUCGCCACUACUUCCGCUCGUGGAGGUUGUUUGGGGGGACAUCCUCCUAGCGCUAGUCCCGACACUAGACCUAGUGGGCUCUAAGGGGAUCCCGGGGUCAAAAGCAGAAUCAGUGAGCAGACUAGGCAAGAAACCUAGUUCGUCGUCAUCAGUCUCAAUGACUUUCUCCUUACCCUUCGACAUUCCCUAAGUUCUAACCAAAACACCACCACCGACUACAACCCCAAGUAAAGCAAAGAGAAAAGAAAUUAUCUACAACUAUCCGAGACCGAGGAGAUAGAAGUAAUACCUGAAGUAAUGGUUCAGUUAGAGAAAGGCAGGGGAGGAGACUUUUAUGCCGAGACUUCUUUGCCGGAGAGACAGAGACAGAGAUGGAGUAAAUGACGAAUUUUCCCUUUGAGAGGUUUUGGGUUUUCCUAAUGGAGAAUGAACUUUUGGAUUGCCAGCAUUUAAUAGCAUCGAAUCCCAAGGGUCUCGUAACCGUCGGUUUAAAAUUCAAAUAGAUGGGUAGAUUUCUGCCACAUCACCUGGUCCACAAUUAAAUGCGACACGACUCUUGGCAGCCUUUUCCUAUCCCGCGCGAGCAAGAACUGUCGAGUUUCUACUGUUGGCUCACUACGCUACCCAACACAAGAAACUGGGGGACUGGUGUUUGUGCGAUAUGUUUCGACGAAGACUAGCAGUGAUGAGCAGGCGUCUGGUAGCAGGGUUCCUCGAACAGGUAUAUCUUGCAAGAGUCUGGUAGCCGGGGGAGCAAGAGCAGGAGUAUCCUGCUCGUCCACGAGUACGUCAUCCACGAGGCCGGUCUCCUGUUGGGAGCGUAAAGCCAUUCCUGCUAUAUUUCUGCUAGCGGUUGAGUCGAGGAGACCCGGUCAACGACAGUUGAUGAGACAUGCUCUUCAGUUCGAGAAUCAAGGCGCGAAGGCCACGCAACCACCCACGACUACGGAAAUGGAGCAUCCACUUUCGAGAAGUGGGAGGAUGACAAGCGCAAAGGGAGGAAAUGCAUGGGCUCAGAAGUGGCCUAUAAAAAGGUAACCAACGAAGGUAAAAGGGUUAGCAAUUUUGAGAUUAUAACAGAGACUAAGGAAAUUCUAAAGAAGAGAAAACUAUUAAAAAGCCAUAAGAUCUGUGGCAAGCGUUCCCAGAGCCUUCAUAUCUGACUUGAGCGUCGGAGGGUUUACGCCGGGAAAACAACCGGCGUGCUCUGACUUGUUUCUGUGGACGCAGGAAUACUUGGAGAAGAAAGCAUACGAGGAGAGAUCCUGGUCGAGGUGAGGUUGAUCGAGCAGAUAUCCUGGUCGUAGGAAGAGCGUAACCAGAAUCUCGCAUCAACAAUUGUCUUUGCUCUCUAAUCUAUUCAAUUUUCUUUCUGGAGACAAGAUUUUGAUUCCUUUCAUCGUUACAAAAACGGAACCAUGGUUGAUGUGGGAGAGAUCUUACUCAACGCCUUCUUUUAGGUGAUGUUCGACAGGUUGGCUUCCCGUGAUUUGCUCAGCUUUGUCCGUCAACUUGGAGGGGGGGUCGAUUCCGAGCUCAAGAAGUGGGAAAGAAAGCUGAAGAUGAUUCAGGCGGUGCUCAACGAUGCAGAGGAGAAGCAACUGACGGACGAGGCUGUGAAGAUGUGGCUGGACGAUCUCCAAGACUUGGCUUAUGACGCUGAGGACAUUCUUGAUGAGUUUGCUACUCAAGCUUUGGAAAGCAAGUUGAUGGCGCAAAAUCAGGAUAGCUCUGGCCAACUUCUCAGUUUCAUCCAGGCUAGUUUGAAUCCGAAUGCUAUUAUGUUCAAUUAUAGCAUGGGGUCCAAGAUUAAAGAUAUCACUAGCCGGCUGGAGCAACUCUGCCAAGAAAGAAUUGAACUUGGACUGCAACGGAUUACUGGAGGGGCAUCAUCAACUACUGCUGCUGCACACCAGAGGCUACCCGGUUCAAUUGUCCCAACAGAACGUGAAGUAUUUGGAAGAGAAGAAGAUAAGGCCAAAAUUCUUGAUAUGGUAUUGGCCGAUACCCUAAGUGAUCAUGCCAACUUUGCUGUAAUACCCGUUGUUGGCAUGGGCGGGAUAGGAAAAACAACUCUCGCUCGGGAGGUUUACAAUGACAAGGCCGUUGGCGGUUCCAAGUUUGAUGUAAAAGCAUGGGUUUGCGUAUCUGAUGUCUUUGAUGUUUUGGGCAUCUCAAAGGCACUUCUCGAGUCAAUCACCCGCAGGCCUUGUCUUCUAAACAGUUUAAAUGAAGUGCAGGUUGAAUUGAAAGUAGCUGUGGAUAAAAAAAGAUUCUUGCUGGUCUUAGAUGAUGUUUGGAACGAGGACUACAGCUUGUGGGUAGACUUAAAAGCUCCGUUCCUGGCUGCUGCACCAAACAGUAAGAUGAUCGUCACCACACGCAAUUCAAAUGUUGCAUCAACAAUGGGACCAAUUGAACAUUACAAUCUCAAGAGUUUGUCAGAUGAUGAUUGUUGGUCCAUUUUCAUAAAGCAUGCAUUUGAAUAUAGAGAUCUUAACGCACAUCAAAUUUCAGAAUCGUUCCGCGGGAAAGUUGUUGCCAAGUGUGGAGGCUUGGCCCUGGCAGCAAAAACACUCGGAGGCCUUCUGCAUACGACGAGGCAUGAUGCGUGGGAUGAUACGUUAGAGAGCAAAAUAUGGGAUUUACCUCAACAAAGUGGGGUUCUCCCCGUAUUAAGAUUGAGUUACCAUCAUCUUCCUUCUCAUUUGAAAAGAUGUUUUGCUUACUGUGCAAUCUUUCCAAAAGAUUAUGAAUUCAAUCAGAAGGAGCUGACUUUCUUAUGGAUGGCUGGAGGAAUUAUUCGACAGUCACGAAACAGUGAGCAGCUGGAAGAUUUGGGCAGCAAGUGCUUUCAAGAUCUAGUGUCAAGGUCUAUUUUUCAACAAACCAGCUCUGGUAGUUCUAAAUUUGUAAUGCCCUAUCUUAUCCAUGAUCUUGCUGAAUUGGUUUCUAGAGGGACCAUUUUCAAGUUAGAGGAGUCCACCAACUUGUCGUCGAGGAGAUUUGAAAGAGUUCGCCAUUCUUCCUAUGCCCGCGGUUGGCAUGACGGUAAAAAUAAGUUUGAGGUUUUCUAUGAAAUUGAACAUCUACUAACAUUCUUGCCAUCACGCAUAAGAGGUGGCACUAAUACGAGUUACAUAACUCGAACGGUUCUAUCUGAUUUGUUGCUGAAUUUCAAAAGUUUGAGGAUGUUAUCUUUACAAGGAUACUGUAUUGGUGAGUUACCAAUUUCAUUUGAAGAUUUGAGACUUUUAAGGUUUCUCAACCUUGCUUACACUGACAUAAGAAGUUAUCUGAGUCAACAUGCAAAUUGCUGAACUUGGAAAUUUUGAUAUUAAGAAAUUGUUCUCGUUUGAUAAAGCUUCCACCCAAAAUGAGGAAUUUGAUCAAUUUACGCCAUCUCGAUAUAAGAGGUGCGAAGUUGCUGAAGGAGAUGCCAUUCGGAAUGAAAGAGUUGAAGAAGCUUCAAACAUUGUCCAAUUUUAUUGUGGGCAAGGGUGAAACUGCAUCUUGUUUGGAAGAUUUAAAAUGUUUAAACUUUCUUUGUGAUAAACUUUGCAUUGCUGGAUUAGAGAAUGUUAAUAAUCCACAGAAUGCAAGAGAAGCCGCAUUAUGUGAGAAACACAAUCUUGAAGCAUUGACUCUGGAUUAGGGGUUUCAAUUUGACAAUUCCUGAGGAGUAGUAGAAGAGCAUGUACUGGAAAAUCUACAGCCUCAUAAAUGUAUAAAAAAGGUGGCGAUCCGGAACUAUGGUGGUGCAAGAUUUCCCCUUUGGAUAGGAGAUCCUUUGUUCUCCAGGAUAGAGCUCCUAAAAUUGGAGAACUGUGACAAUUGUGUAUCUUUGCCAUCGCUUGGCCUAUUGAGUUCACUUAGACGGCUUGCUGUUAAAGGGCUGAAUAAACUAAAAAGCAUAGGGUCUGAGGUUUAUGGGGAGGGUUUCUCAAUGCCUUUUCCAUCAUUGGAGAUUCUAAGUUUCGAGAAUUUGCCAGAAUGGGAGCAUUGGGACACCGAUGUCAAAGGAAAUGUGCUUGUUGAAAUAUUUCCUCGUCUCCAUCAACUUUCCAUUGUGGAAUGUCCCAAACUCUCGGGAGAACUGCCUGAGCUCCUGCCCUCCUUGGAGACACUUUUUGUUAGUAAAUGUGAAAAGUUGGUAGUUCCAUUGUCUUGCUAUCCGAUGCUCUGCAGAUUAGAAGUUGAUGAGUGCAAGGAACUAGCAUGCGGGACUCCAAUUGAUUUUAAGUUGAUAACGUCUGUGACUAUUUCAAAUAGUUCCUUAGACAUGAAUGGAUGCAAGGGGAUGCUAUACGAUGGUCCAGCUGGCUCUUCACUACCAAAGCCUAUGAUUACUACAAAUGUUUCGGAGUUUGGAAAAUUAUUGAAGCCUGGAUUUCAGAUAUUAGAAACUUUGGUAAUUGCCAAUUCUGAACAGCUCAAGUCAUGGAGGCAGAAUGGGGAUUUUCCGGAAAAAUACACGGCCCCUGAACAUAGGUUUAAGAAACCAGUACGAGGGCUGAAUAUGCUCGCUUCCCCUGAAGAGGUAACAAUUGAAGAAAGUUGCGUACGUCUUGUUUUGUUUCCAGAGAUCAAUUUCUUUCCCAGAAAUCUGCGCUCUCUUCUAAUUAACAACAACACUGCUUUCAAAUCCUUACCCGAGGAAAUGAUGGAAAACAAUUCACAACUCGAAAGGUUGUAUAUCAGAGAUUGCGACUCUCUAACAUUCAUCGCAAGACGGAGGCUACCAGCAUCUCUUAAAAGGCUUGAGAUAGAAAAUUGUGAGAAAUUGCAACGUCUGUUCGAUGAUGAAGAGGAUGCUUCUUCUUCUUCACCUUCACCCUCGUCUUCCCCAGUGAUGCUGCAACACCUGAGUAUAGAGAACUGCCCAGAGCUCACCAGUUUAUCAUCGGGUGUCCAAUUCCUUGAGGCGCUUGAAGACCUCGACAUACAGGGUUGUCCAAAGCUGGAGUCAUUACCGGAUGGCCUGCCCAAUCUUAAAUGUUUACAGAGCAUUUAUAUACGGGGAUGUCCAAGUCUUGUUUCCUUCCCAGAAAGAGGGCUUCCCAACACGAUUUCAAGGGUUGACAUUUGCAGUUGUGACAAGCUCAAAGCCUUGCCCAAUGAUUUGCACAAACUCAACUCUCUUCGAGAUUUAAGAAUACGGCUGUGUCGAAAUCUUGUAUCGUUUCCAGAAGAAGGUUUUCCUACCAAUCUAACAUCACUUACAAUUGGAAAUUUCAAAAUGUAUAAGACACUCGUCCAGUGGGGGUUGCACGGGCUUACCUCUCUUAAACGCCUCUCGAUCAGUGGAUGUCAUGAAGCAGAGUGUUUUCCAGACGAGGAGAUAGGAAUGACGCUGCCCACCUCUCUCACUCAACUGCUCCUUUAGGGAUUCGAAAAACUGAUAUCUCUGUCUUCGACGGGUUUUCAAAGCCUCAACUCUCUUCAAUACUUAUUGAUCUGGGGUUGCCCAAAUCUCACAUCAUUCCCAGAGGCGGGUCUUCCAUCCUCACUUUUGGAUUUAGGCAUUUACAAUUGUCCAAAGCUUAAAAGAGCGUGCAAAAGAGAUCAAGGAAAAGAGUGGCCCAAAAUUGCUCACAUCCCUCGCAUUGAGAUAGACAGAAAAUUCAUAUACGAUCCAGAAUCAGAGGAGUAGAUUCUAUUACAAAGGUCAGUUGAUUUCUAUUAUCCUCUAUAACAAGCUCCUCUUAAUUUUUUUUUUCUAAGUAAUAAUUUUGCAGUUCUGUAUAAUUAUUAAUCGUCUGCUCUUAAUUGAAAAUGUCACUCACUUGAUUCCGUUUUCACUAGUCAAAUUGUAUGUUGAGGCUAUUUGCUUUUUAAUUAUAACACUUAUCUUAAAAUUUAAUACCAAAUUUUUUUGAUUCACUUCAAUUAGCAUUUUGUUUUCCCCAAAUUAGGCAAGCCGAGAGCUUCAUUAACUAGAGUUUUUUAUUUUUCGGACCUUGCAUCUGAAAGGUUCAGUGUAUUUUUUUUUUUUUCAAAUUUAUUGUUCAGAUCUCAGACGAGUAUACGGUUUAGAUUACAAAACACCUAUGAUUAAUUUCUUUUUUUUUUUUUUAAUUUCAGGGAGAAGAAGUGGUCAGUUUCAAUCCGGAAUUGGAAUAUGGCAAUUUGGUUCAAGCACACACACCUGGUCACUUGGUCAGUGAACCUGAACUUUACGCAGUUUUUUCAACUCAGUGAUUUUUGGAACGCAUAUUGGUGUAAGGAAAUCAAUAGAAAUUUAUGCAUAGUCAAAUUCUGAUAUUUGCUAUAAUAUUAUACAUUCUAAAGUUUCUCCAGUUUGUUCUCAGAUUACCAUCAUUUUUUGCCUUCACCAAAAAAAAAUCGAGUGGCUUUCCAGUGGAUAUUUAAUCGGAGGUAUGACUGGAUUUUUUUCACUUCUGUAAAUCUUGCAUUUUAAACUGGCAAAUUUAACUUUAAUUUUAAUACGACUUGUUUGAGGGAAAUACUCCGACGAGACCAGACGUGAUGAGCAGAUGUUUGGUGGCAGAAGUCUGCGAGCAGGUGUGUCCUGUAAGAGCCAGGUAGCAGGGAAACAGGGGCAGAAAUAUCCUGCUCAUCCACGAGCAUGUCAUCCGCGAGGCCAAUUUCCUGUAAGAAACAUAAAGCCAUUCCUGCUGUAUUCUUGCUAAGGGUUGAUUCGAGGAGACCCGGUCAACGACAGUUGGCGAGGCAUGCUCUCCAGCCCGAGAAUCUAGGCACGAAGGCCACGCAACCACCCACGACUACGGAAAUGGGGAAUCCACGUUCGAGAGGUGGGAGGAUAACAGACGUAGACUGCGGAAAACUGGGAUUCAGAGGAAGCCUAUAAAAAGGUAGCCAACGAAGGUAAAAGGGUUAGCAAUUUUGAUUCUAAAAGAGAGAAAACAACCUAACAACCAUAAGAUUUUUGGCAAGCGUUCCCCGAACCUUCAUAUCUGACUUGAGCGUCGGAGGGUUUGCGCCGGGAAAACAACCGGCGUACUCUGACCUGUCUGUGUGCGCAGGAACCUCUGGAGAAGAAGCUUUACGAGGAGAGAUCCUGGUCGUGGUGAAGUUGAUCGAGCAGAGACCCUGGUCGUAGAACGAGGAGAACCAGAAUCUCGCAUCAACACGACUUUGUUGGUGCCUUGUGUUCCAGAAACUAGAAUGAUGUGUAGUUUUCAGAUUAAGGGGCUUGUAAAUUCUCUAGUAAGAAUCCAAUAAUUUGCUUUUGCACAUUCAUUUUAUUUGUGGAUCCUUGCAUCUGAAUUUGAUCAAUCCAAAAGGAAUUGCUUUUAGACAGAAGAAGAAUUGCAGUACCUAGCCUACGACAUAGUAAAUGGACCUGCAAACCUGUAACUAUUAGUUUGAGGUAAAAAAUUCAUGACCCUCACAUGUUAACUUCUUCUAGUUACUUUCAUCAAAAACACAUUUAAGAAAUUUGCAAUUUUUUGUUAGUUUUGUAUACCGAUGUUGUUUUCUGUUUUAGCAUUUGUAUAAUCUACUGUAUUAUAUUUUGGCGGUUGCAGUAUCUGAGGUAUCUUUUGCAUUUAACUUGCUUUAUUUGUUUUGCUUGUGACUUAAGAACACCAAUAUUUGCCAGAGAUUUAGAGAAGCAUAUCAAGAUGCUUGGCAAACUUGACAAACUUCAAGAUCCUUCAUUCUUCACGACCCAAAACUUGUGAGUACACUUAUGCCCGCAAUUAUUGUGAAACGCUUGCAAUUUUGAUGCAGCGAAAUGGUUUGUUGAUGCAAAGGUUUAAACUUUUAAGAUUUACACUGCAGGGUAGUUGGAUGCUGUAUAGUCGAACGGCCACCAACAUCAAGAACUAUAACUCCAAGACCGGGUUUGCAUUAAUUCAAUCAGCUGAAAUAAUGAUGCAAAUGACACUAUCAGCUGGACUUAGAGACCAGUCAGAUCAAUCAUCCUUUUAUCAACAGUUAAUGUCAUGAUGGUGUCUAUCGGAGGAAACAAAGGAUGUGUCGGAAUCAAUAUGAACAGUGAGAAGAAUGAGAGGAGCUUUGAUUAUAAGUAGGCUCAAUGAACUCAUGCUGGUAAGUGGUAAUUAAAGAAAUUUGUGCGCUUAGUAGCAUUCAAUAUUUUCUGUUUGGGAUAUAGUUGAUGAGUUGAUACUCUGAUUAAGAAGCCUGAUUAUAGUAGCUGACUUUUUUUUUGUGGUUUGCUGUUGUUUAUUCUUUCGAUUAAUUUCAACAUUAGGUUGAUCUGUUGAAGAACAAACUUGGGUUUGAUUAUGCUUUAACUACAAGGAAGAGCCAGACUUGGAUGCAGGCGUUCAGCUUUUAAUGGGUAAGAACAAAUGUAUGCUUUAACCAUGUUUCUCACUUAUUACAAUGCACACAUUGAAGGCAUCUGAGCUGAUCCUGAAAAUGUGAUGGAAAUACUUCUCUGUUUACAUAAAACAGACAAAUAGAGAUCUCUGAUCAUGCCUGAGAAUUCGUUGCAUUUAAAAUUUCUACCAUUGCCAAAAAUAGAAUAAACUACGGAUACAUUAGCUUAAGACUCAAUUUUGAGAAGGAAGUUUGCACAUGCAGCCUAAAAAAUCACGUCCGUGUUGUAUACUUGUAUGUUUCUUUGGGAAAUGAAAGAUUCUGUGUUCUUUUAUUUCAAGUUUGCUGAAAUCACAUUUGUUUUCUUAGAUGCUUUUGGGAAGGUAACAACAUCAAUUUCAUAAAUGCUGGGGUAAGAUGCAUCACGCAGUGCUACUCAACAUGAGAAUUCCCGGCCGCAUUACCUGUAUGUUGAGUGAUCGCACAGUACAACCUUUAGAAGCUUGUAAGGAGUAGACAACUAGAUGCGAAUAGUUUCAAUAUGGAUUCGCAUCAAAUGAUCUCUUGCCAGUGAUUACUAUAACCUCUAUCCCAAAAUUCUUGGAACUGGUCAUACCAAUAAUGAAGUAUUGUGUACGUUGAAGACGUAGCUCAAGGCCUUGCGAAAGCUCCGUCAGCCUUUGUAUUGGAAAACAGUUGGUUGUAGUUGCUUCUGAAUGAUAUUAUUAAUAGAUACUGUAAAAAUGAAGUGUGCCACUCAUUUUCAGAGCCCUGUUAAGAUGUGUUGGUAAUGUGUUUGAAGGUUGUUUGAUUUGUGUUGUAUUCAGCUAUAAAUCAAAGAUUCAGAACAUGGUUAUGUUACUGGUUUCCAAAUAAAAAAAUUGCCUUGUGAUGUUAGUGUUCAUUGUUUUCACAGGAGAUCAGGUUCCCUGUUGAUGAAUCAAGAAGGCAAACGCAUCCAUGCCUUAAGUUCAAAUGUGUCUCUUCUAUUUUCUAUUACUGACUCCUUUAUUUUGAUUUCUUCAUUGUAAUGGAAUUGGUUUUCAUUCCAAAUUAGUCAAAACCUCCUAGAGUCAUUAAGUUCUGUUAGCAUUUGAAGAUAGAACUAGAACUAAAUGAUUGACUGGAUUAAAUUCCGAUAAAGAAUUAAGUUAUGUAUUUAGAGAUAUUUUGUUUUUUUUUUCAUUUGUUCAAUUUGGUUAGUGGUGAUUUCUUAAAGACUCAAUCCAUGUGCGUUUAUGCAUUUUUCUUUUGCCUUAAUUUCUGUUUCUUGGGGAGUUUAUACAGAUUCUUAUUUUAUGCUUCACAUGCCACAUGAAAGAUCGAAGCAUUUUGUGUGAUUAGAACUGACUUGCAUCACAGUAACUUUAAACCACUGCCACAUUUUUAUAAUAACAGUCUGAGAUCUCCCUGAAGGAUUCAAAGCAUUUUAUUUUAUAUUAACCUCCUUUAAGUGGGUUUCGACACUACCACAAGUUCUUUAAAUACUAAAACGAUUUUGAGUCUUUUGUAUCAUCUGAUUGAAAUACCUGAAAGCACUCGUGGCUGCAAAAAUAUAUCGAUUUUGAGUAUGGCGUGCAUGUAAAUUAUAUCGAUUUUUUCUAUAUGACAAGUAAGACUCUCUUUUACAAUGGCACGGAUGCGUCAUUGAGUAAUCAUGAUUCUUGCUGGUAGUGCUUUGUUGUAUCAAUCUGCUAGCUAUUCAGCUUUCUUUCUUUCUUUCUUCUUUUUUUUUUUUUUUUUUUGUUUUCAAAUAGCUUGUGGUUGUAGAAAUAUUUCAAUUAAACUAUACUUAAGUACUUAUUUAGUAUAACUUCUUUACUAGCCAAAAUAAUUUUUUUUUGGUUUUUUAUAAUUUAAUUAUACUUUAACUAGAGUUUUUGGGAUUAAACAAGUGAUAAUUUCUCUCUAUUAAGAAAAACUCAAAAUUUUUUAAUUACUAGAAUGCGUCUAAAUUAAAUUACAAUUAUAGACACUAAAAUAUAGUAAAUUUUUUUUUUUACUCUUUAAAACUGUCUUUACAUUCGAUAUCAUAUUUUUUUCUUAAAAUCUAAAUUGAUAUUUUUAUUUUAUUUUUGAUUAAUCUUAGAACACAUAUAAAGUGAUUCAUAUUGAUUUUAUACUAACAAACUAUCAUAGCACAUUCGAAAAUAAUUAACUCGUUCUUAUUUGCAUAGUGAAAAAGGCAAAUAGCUCACCCAAAUGUUAAGGAACUGGAGAGCUGCUGCUGGAGACGAAAGGAUGUGAAAAGCAUGGUAAAGAAAAAUUGCAUAAUUCUCACUUAGAAGAGGAAGAAAAAAAAAAUACAAUUAGAAUGAGAGGUAGCCAGUAGCCAGUAGCCGCCACCACCACCAGUCAAACUAUUUCGACACACUAAUACUGUAAUACAUAUCAAAAUGCAAUAUCGGUCCUAACAAAAUGAAAAUAAAAAUUCAUUACGAAUAUGUGUUAAAGAUAUCCCAAGUAUUGAUGUGAUUGAAAUAUUUGAGAUUGAAGUAGAAAUAAGACUCAAAAUCAAUUGAGAGGAAUAAAUGAGAAACUCUAAUACUAAUAAAAUAUAUUCACAAAUCCUAAUGCUAAUUAAAAUCACGGAUUAAAAAAAAUAAUAUGAAUGAAUUACAGGCGCAACUGUUUCAUUAAAAAAUUAAUAAAAUCGUGUAUUAAUAUUUUGUACACAUACAUUUUUCCAUAUAUAACUUUUGGUAAUUUAGUUUUCCACUUAUCAUUUUUACUCCAAAAAAAUAAUUGAGAAUAUUAUUUAUGUUUUGGUGCAAAAUAUUUAAACAACAUAAAAAUUUUCAGUUUAAUAAAUCUAAACAAUUCUCAAGUUAUAAAUGAAUUUAAUGGGUUUAAUUAGUAAAAAUACUAUUAUUUUAUAAAUUGGGUUUAGUAAUGGUAUAUUGGGUAUUUAAAUGGGUUUGUUGAGUAAAUUUUAAAAUUUUAAAGUUCAAGGGUAGGUUUAUUUAGUAAAUGGGUUAAUGCAGCAAUUUUCAAACUAAAUUUUUGGAAAAAGAGGCUAUUGAGUUUUUUUUAAGAAAAAGAAUUAAAAUGUUGAGAAUACCUUUAUUUAAUUUUAUAAUCUAAUUUUAAAAAAUUUACCCAAUAAAUUUUAUAAUUUUUUAUAAAAAUUAUCAUUAACAUCCAAACAGCUGAAGAUUAAAAAAAAAAAAAGAAGGGAACUGUACUAGCAAAAGUUAGAUUAACAAUAAAUUUAGUCCAAAGAAUAAAGUUAUAGCUAAAAAGUGCUCCUAUCCUAUUUUUCUCUAUUUUAACAAUAAUCUUCCAAUCCAUUUUACAAUGGACUUAACAAAUGGGCUCAAUCUCUAAACUUCAUUUUCUUUUGCUAACCCAUGGCCAUUAGCCAGAAAGCCUAAAACAAUUUUAGGAUCACAUGUGUAAAUGGAACCCCAAGAUUGAUCAAGAAUUAACAAGACAAGAUGAAGAGAUGAUCUUGUAACUAAGAAUGAAGAAAUUGAAUCAAGACAGUACUCUAGUAAAACCCAGAAAACAGAGCUUGAAGAAUCACGCACAAAGCAGUAAAUUUGUAAAACCAGAAUUGGAGCUUCACUUCUCAAGAUAGACGAAACAGGAUACAAUCUAGCUUUGGUCAACUUCGUUUGGCCACGUCAUAAAGUCUUCCCCCACAGUCUUUCCCGCCAAAACAGAAAAGCUUUAAAAGCCAUUUACCCUCCUGAGUUACUUGCUCCUAUUACAUCAAGGCCCUGUAAGUCUAUAUUUAUUAUUACAAAAGCACCCUUAAACCGAGAUUUGAGAUAUUUUUUCAAAGAUCGAAGCGCAUGAUUUCACGGCUAUGUUGCAUAGUGAAUUUUAGUGCUUUACAGUUAAGGGAUAGUUUAAAUUCAUUACAAAGCAUUCGCAAAGAAAUUGUUUUUAAAUGAAACUCCUCGUCUUGACCAGAUUAUUUAUUAUUAUUAAAAAAAAAAUGUUCAAAACUUAGCCAAAGUGAUAAACUCGUAAUUAUUCUACAAAGGGAACAAUUUUGAACGGUGGGAAAUUCCAUAAUUAUGCUUUUCUGUGAAUUAUUUUAAAUAAAAUUAUAAAAAUUAAUAUAAAAUUAUAAUAAUGAUAGAGCCACAAACUCUUGUACAAAUUUAUUUUAUACAAACUCAUGUGGCAUGAUAAGAUUGGUUGAAUUAAAUAUUACUUGGCCCACAUGAUUUGUUUUUAUUAUUUUAUAUUUUUAUUCAACCAAUAAAUUAAUACCACGUCAGUUUGUACAAAAUAAAUUUAUACAAAAAUUUGUGACUCGAUCAUCACUCAUAAAAUUAAUACCCGGUAAAGACUGUAGAGAGACAAGUGCCCCCAACAGAAUCAAGUGAAUAUGCCCCACAAAGAUCACAUGAUCAUUUCUGUUCUUUUUCUUUUUGAUAAUUUUAUCUGUGGUUUCAACUUUUAUGCUUUAUUGUCGUAUCCCGUUGAGGGCUCCGCUGCACCCAUUACAACUUACCCCUAAAUUGCCUCUUACUAACUAAACCGUUAGAUUUUAUGGAAGCACGUUCAAUGUUGAAUUUUAAUUAUGUCAUCGAAUUUCGUUUAGCUCCUUAAACUCCAUUUUAUUUGUAAUUUCUUCAUAAAAUAUUCAAAGCUUCAUCAAGCUCCUGAUGGACCAUCAUGGCUAGGGGUGCAUUAGAGCCGAACUGAAAUAUGUUAGUUCAGUUCAGUUUGGUCAGUUUAAAUCGAAUGGUUUAGAAUAUAUAAACUGAUCAAUUUUAAUUUUGAAUUGAACCGAACCGAAAAUCAAUUGGUUCACUAUUAGUAUUUUUGUAUAAACAAGAAUGAUUAGUGAUUAUAAUUAAAUUGGACUAAAAAAAAUUCAAACUAAGGUGAAAAAUAUCAAAUCUUAGACAAUAUAAAAAAAAAUAUUAAAUUUUUUUAACCGAAACGAACCGAAUUAUUUUGACUCAGUUUGGUUCAUAAUUUUUUAAACCAAACUGAUUUAUUCCCACCCCCUAAUCGUGGCUCUCUAUCUUUAGUCAUUCACCCUUGAGUUUGAUGCCAAUUGUUGGGUUUCAAAUGAUUAUACACUCAAAUGGAACCCUCAUAACAAAAAACUAACAGAAACAAUAAGAACACGAUGUUAAAAUCUUAAAUCAAUCGCAAAAAAGCACCCAAAACAGAUCGAUUAGGAACAGUUAAGAACAAAAGAUUUGAUGGUUCAAAAUCAUAAUGUGACCUACGUACUUUCAUCCAAGAAUCAUACUAAUUGCUUUACUAGUUGUCAAACUCAAGAUCACAAGAUUGUUUAUCACUCUACAUAAAAAUUUUUUUUAGAAGAAAUACUCCCCAAUUUUUCUCUUAAUAGUUAUGAAUCAACACCCCUAGGAAGCCUGUUGAUUUACUUUUCCUUAUUUCCUAUGAUCGGUUGCUGCAACUUAAUCCUUGCCAAGCUCCAACAUAGUCCAAACACUUUUAACGGUACAGGCAUAGUGCACCUUCAGAAACUUUACAGCUCCUCUUAAAACCUCAGGCAUCGUAAGCACAUUAAGCAGCCGACAACACUCUUCUUCAUUUCUUCAUUGUCAAUUUCCUUCUUGGAACAUUGCUCCAUUGAGAGUCUGCUAGAAUUGCUCCAAUUAUUAUUAUUAUUUAAAAAAAAAAGAAAACCCUGCAAUAAGAGUAUAAGACUAAGCAACGGUCCUUUUUUUUUCCCCAUUCUUGAACCUAAAGUAUUUGAGUAUGCAAAUUAAUAAAUAAAUUCAUUUAUUUUUAUUAAAAUUUUGUAAAAUUAUAAUUUUUAAUAAAAAUAAUUAUUAAAAUUUUGUAAAAUCUAAAUUUAGAAAAAUUCAGUUGGGCACCUCUAUUUGAGAUUUAUUUUUUAUUAAAUUUAGGGAUAUUUUUAUAAUUAUAAUUUUUAAUUUUAAAAGUUUUUAUAAGAUAAAAUAGUCUUUUAAUUUAUUUAGGGGGUAAAAUUGGUGUUUUAUUAAAAUUAUUUAAUUGUGUUAAUGCAAAAGUGGCUAUUUGAUACAAAUGUGAAAAGAAAGGUGGUGCAAAAUAUAUGUUAAAAUUUUAUAUUGGUUGGAUGAACAUAAGCUAAAAUAAAGGUGGUGCAAUGAUAAUUUCCCUAUCCUAAAACUUAAUUGACUUAAUUCUUACGGUGCAAGGAAGAGGUUUCCAAGUUUAAAUCUAAAGGCUUGUAUUUAAUUUGGGGUUGGGAAAGCACUGAGAAAUAAAUGUAACUAAGGAAAAAAAAAAAGUCACGCAGUCCAAAUAAGUAGAUAUAUUUAAUAUGAGGUGGGGAUGGGUGAACUGUAAUUCAGAAAAAAAUAAAAUAAAAUUUUAUAUAAAGUUGAGGGUGUGUUUUAAUGGUUUCUUAUGCUGCGUUUAUUUUUUGGACUAGAGUGAGAAUUCUAAAAAGUGAGAAUCCUAUGAUUAGGUGUGUGGAGUGGGAGUGGGAGUAUGGUAUUUACUUAGACUAAAUAAAAGUAUGGAUUGUCAAUCAGAAUCUCAAUUAUUUGUUACUUUGUCUUGGAUUGAGAGUAAAUUAUUUUAAAUUACAAUUUUAUCCUUAUGUAAAGAAUUAUAAUUUGUAAUUAAAAAAUUAAUAAAAAUAUAUUGGAAAAUAAAAUAAAUAUUUUAUUAUAUUUAUAAAAUAAUAAUAAUUAAUAAAAUUCUUAAUUAUGUAAAUCAUAAUUUUUUAUUAAUUUAAAUUUAAAUUAUGUGAAUAAAAUUAUUAAUAAUAGCAACACAAAUGAAACAUUAUUAUUAAUAAUAUAGUAUAAAAUUAAUAUUUUUUUAGAAUAAAAUAUUUAUUAUUAUUAAAUAAAUAAAUAAUAUUUAUUAAAAUUAAUGUUUAAUAUUAUUAAUUUAAAUAUAAUAUUUAUUUAUUUUUAUUUUAUUUUAUUAAAUUUAAUAAAAUAAAUAUGUUAUAAUUAUUAUUUUUAAUAAAUAUGAUAUUAUUUAUUUUAUUAAAUAUUAUUUAUUUAUUUUAAUUAUGAGGGUAAAAAUGGAAGAGGGGGAGUGGAUUCCCACUCCCACCUCCCCCCAUGGGAGUGGGAAUCCCACUCUCCCCUUAAAAAUGGUAAGUAAAUAUUAGAAUGGGAAGAAUCUACACUCUACACUUUCUAGAAAAUAAACACUACCUUUAUUUAAAUCGAUUUGUUGGAUAUUUAGCUAAAAUGAGAGUAGCUCUCUAAUAAUUAUUGCAUUAUUACAAACAUAUCCAACGGUUAUAAUAGCGCGCUGAAUCAAUGCUUCAGAAGGAUGACAGUCUGAGUGAAAAGGAAAUAAACGCUUUCAAUUGAAUUACUACCACUACACUCCAAUACUCUAUUAUUGUUUGUGUGCUUGCUUGUGGACCUUUUUACUUCUUACUAUCAUUAUUGAAUUCCAUUUCCAAAUUUUCAGCAUACUUUUGCUUUCUUUCAGUAUCUUCAGUUUCUCUUUUGCUUGCUAUCAAUUCAGUUUUCUUCUUGUGAAGAUCGAACGGAACCAUGGUUGCUGUGGGAGAGAUCUUACUCAACGCCUUCUUUCAGGUGUUGUUUGACAGGUUGGCUUCCCGUGAUUUGCUCAGCUUUGUCCGUCAACUUGGAGGCGGGGACGAUUCCGAGCUCAAGAAGUGGGAAAGAAAGCUGAAGAUGAUUCAGGCGGUGCUCAACGAUGCAGAGGAGAAGCAACUGACCGACGAGGCCGUGAAGAUGUGGCUGGACGAUCUCCAAGACUUGGCUUAUGACGCUGAGGACAUUCUUGAGGAGUUUGCUACUCAAGCUUUGGAAAGCAAGUUGAUGGCGAAAAAUCAGGAUCGCAUUGGCCAGGUUCUUAGUUUCAUACCGGCUAGUUUGAAUCCGAAUGCUAUUAUGUCCAAUUAUAGCAUGGGAUCCAAGAUUAAAGAUAUUACUAGCCGGUUGGAGCAACUCUGCCAAGAUAGAAUUGAACUUGGGCUGCAACGGAUUGCUGGAGGGGCAUCAUCAACUACUUCUGCUGCACAUCAGAGGCGAGACAGUUCGAGUGUCCCAACAGAACGUGAAGUAUUUGGAAGAGAAGAAGAUAAGGCCAAAAUUCUUGAUAUGGUAUUGACCGAUACCCCAAGUGAUCGUGCCAACUUUGUUGUAAUACCCAUUGUUGGCAUGGGCGGGAUAGGAAAAACAACUCUUGCCCGGGAGGUCUACAAUGACAAGGCCGUUGAAGAUUCCAAGUUUGAUGUAAAAGCAUGGGUUUGUGUCUCUGAUGUCUUUGAUAUUUUGGGCAUCUCAAAGGCACUUCUCCAGUCAAUCACCUCCGCAGCUAGUGAUCUCAAGACUUUAAAUGAGGUGCAGGUUCAACUGAAAAAAGCAGUUGACGGAAAAAGAUUCUUGCUGGUCUUAGAUGAUGUUUGGAACGAGAACUACAACUUGUGGGAAGACUUAAAAGCUCCGUUCCUGGAUGCUGCACCAAACAGCAAGAUGAUCGUCACCACACGCAAUUCAAGUGUUGCAUCAACAAUGAGACCCAUUGAACAUUUCAAUCUCAAGAGUCUGUUGGAUGACGAUUGCUGGUCCAUUUUUAUAAAGCAUGCAGUUGAAGGUGGAGAUCUUAACGAGGAUCAAAUUUCAGAAUCAUUCCGCAAGAAAGUUGUUGGCAAGUGUGGAGGCUUGCCUCUGGCAGCAAAAACUCUCGGGGGCCUUCUGCGUACGACGAGGCAUGAUGGGUGGGAUGGUAUAUUGGAUAGCAAAAUAUGGGAAUUACAUCAACAUAGCAGCAUUCUCCCUGUGUUAAGAUUGAGUUACCAUCAUCUUCCGUCUCAUUUGAAAAGAUGUUUUGCUUUUUGUGCCAUCUUUCCAAAAGAUUAUGAAUUCACUGAGAAGGAGCUGACUUUCUUAUGGAUGGCUGGAGGUAUUAUUCGACAGUCAAGAAACAAUGAGCAGCUGGAAGAUUUGGGCAGCAAGUGCUUUGGUGAUCUAGUGUCAAGGUCAAUUUUUCAACAAACAGCAAUCUCUGAUAGUUCUAAAUUUGUAAUGCACGACCUUAUCCAUGAUCUUGCUGAAUUGGUCUCUGGAGGAACCAUAUUUAGGUCAGAGGAGGCCAAUACUCUAUCAAGAAGAUUUGAAAGGGUUCGCCAUUCUUCCUAUACCCGUGAUUGGUAUGAUGGUAAAAAUAAGUUCGAGGUUUUCAAUGAAAUUGAACAUCUACGAACAUUCUUGCCGUUAAGAGGUAACUAUUGUACUAGUUACAUAACUCGACCGAUUCUAUCUGAUAUGCUGCCAAAGUUCAAAAGGUUGAGAACGCUAUCUUUACAAGGAUACUGUAUUGGUGAGUUACCAAUUCCAUUUGAAGAUUUGAGACUUUUAAGGUUCCUCAACCUUGCUGACACUGACAUAAGAAGUUUACCUGACUCAACAUGCAAAUUGCUGAACUUGGAAAUUCUGAUAUUAAGAAAUUGUUCCCGUUUGAUAAAGCUUCCGCAGAAAAUGAGGAAUUUGAUCAAUUUAUGCCAUCUGGAUAUAAGAGGUGCGAAGUUGCUGAAGGAGAUGCCAGUCGGAAUGAAAGAGCUGAAGAAGCUUCAAACAUUGUCCAAUUUUAUUGUAGGCAAGGGUGAAUCCGCAUCUGGUUUGGAAGAUUUAAAAAGUUUAAACCUUCUUUGUGAUGAACUUUGCAUUGCUGGAUUAGAGAAUGUGAAUAAUCCACAGAAUGCAAGAGAAGCCGCAUUAUGUGAGAAGCACAAUCUUGAAGCAUUGACUCUAACAUGGUGGCCUCAAUUUGACAGUCCUCGAGGUGUAGUAGUGGAAGAGAAUGUACUUGACGUUUUGCAGCCUCAUAAAUGUAUAAAAAAGGUGGCAAUCAGGAACUAUGGUGGUGCAAGAUUUCCACCUUGGAUAGGAGAUACUUUAUUCUCCAAGAUAGAGCUCCUUGAAUUGAAGAACUGUGACAAUUGUGUGUCUUUGCCAUCGCUUGGCCUAUUGAGUUCACUUAAACACCUUGCUGUUAAAGGGCUGAAGAAACUAAAAAGCAUAGAGUCUGAGGUUUAUGGGGAGGGUUUGUCAAUGCCUUUUCCAUCGUUGGAGGUUCUAAGUUUUGAGAAUUUGCCUGAAUGGGAGUAUUGGGACACCAAUAUCAGAGGAAAUGUGCUCGUUGAAAUGUUUCCUCGUCUCCAUAAACUUUCCAUUGUGGAAUGUCCAAAACUCUCUGGGGAACUGCCUGAGCUCCUGCCCUCCUUGGAGACACUUGUUGUUAUUAAAUGUGAAAAUUUGGUAGUUCCAUUGUCUCGCUAUCCGAUGCUCUGCAGAUUAGAAGUUGAUGAGUGCAAGGAACUAGCGUGCGGGACUCCAAUUGAUUUCAAGUUGAUAAAGUCUGUGACUAUUUCAAAUAGUUCCUUAGACAUGGAUGGAUGCAAGGGGAUGCUAUACGAUGGUCCAGCUAGCUCUUCACUGCCAAAGCCCACGAUUACUACAAAUGUUUUGGAGUUUGGAAAAUUAUUGAAGCCUGGAUUUCAGAUAUUAGAAACGUUGGUAAUUGGCAAUUCUGAACAGCUCAAGUCAUGGAGGCAGCAUGGGGAUUUUCUAGAAGAAUAUAUGGUCGCUCGCCAAAGGUUUAAGAAACCAGUACAAGGGCUGAAUAUGCUCGCUUCCCCUGAAGAGGUAACAAUUGAAGAAAGUUGCGUACGUCUUGUUUUGUUUCCAGAGAUCAAUUUCUUUCCCAGAAAUCUGCGCUCUCUUCUAAUUAACAACAACACUGCUUUCAAAUCCUUACCCGAGGAAAUGAUGGAAAACAAUUCACAACUCGAAAGGUUGUAUAUCAGAGAUUGCGACUCUCUAACAUUCAUCGCAAGACGGAGGCUACCAGCAUCUCUUAAAAGGCUUGAGAUAGAAAAUUGUGAGAAAUUGCAACGUCUGUUCGAUGAUGAAGAGGAUGCUUCUUCUUCUUCUUCUCCUUCAUCCUCGUCUUCCCCAGUGAUGCUGCAACGCCUGAAUAUAAAGAACUGCCCAGAGCUCACCAGUUUAUCAUCGGGUGUCCAAUUCCUUGAGGCGCUUGAAGGCCUCGAGAUAUGGGAUUGUCCAAAGCUGGAGUCAAUACCGGAUGGCCUGCACAAUCUUAAAUGUUUACAGAGCAUUCAUAUAGAUGGAUGUCCAAGUCUUGUUUCCUUGCCCAAUGACAUGCACAAACUGAACUCUCUUCGAGAUUUAAACAUACGGGCGUGUCCAAUAUCGUUUCCAGAAGAAGGUUGUCCUACCAAUCUAACAUCACUUACACUUGGAUAUGUCGAAAUGUAUAAGACACUCGUCCAGUGGGGGUUGCACAGGCUUACCUCUCUUAGAAGCCUCGACAUUUUUGGAUGUGAUGAUGAAGCAGAGUGUUUUCCAGACGAGGAGAUAGGAAUGACGCUGCCCACCUCUCUCACUCAUCUGCACCUUUUUGAUUUCGAAAAAUUGAGAUCUCUGUCUUCGACGGGUUUUCAGAGCCUCACCUCUCUUCAAUCUUUGGAUAUCUGGUUUUGCCCAAAUCUCACAUCAUUCCCAAAGGUGGGCUUUCCAUCCUCACUUGUGGAAUUACGCAUUAGAGAUUGUCCAAAGCUUAAAAAAGCGUGCAAAAGAGAUCAAGGAAAAGAGUGGCCCAAAAUUGCUCACAUCCCUUGCGUUGAGAUAGACGAUAAAUUCAUAUACCAUCCAAAAUCAGAGGUGUAGAGUGUAUUAUUAAGGUCAGUUGAUUUAUGUUAUCCACCAUAACAAGCUCCUCCUUUUUUUUUAAAUAAUAAUUUUGCAGUCACUCGCGUGAUUCCGUUUUCACAAGUCAGAUUGUAUGUUGAGGCUAUUUGCCUUUUAAUCGCAGAUUAAAUUAUAACACUUAUCUUAAAAUUUAAUACCAUAGACAGAUAGACGAUUUUUUAAUCCAAAGUUUUUUUAUUCACUUCAGUUAGCAUUUUUUUUUUCCCCAAAUCAUGCAAGCCGAGAGUUUCAAUCAACAGAAUUUUAUUCACUCAUUGACUUUUCAACUGCUGUGGUUAUUUAUGGGUGAAAGAUAAAUUUCUUAGAUGGUAGAUAUAUCGACAUUUUAGAUUUCAGAUAUUUGUCACCAAUUUCAUUCCUUUUUUUAAAAUUUUUUUUAAGCAAGUUUGACUAAUUUUAACCAGAAUUGGAGUAUAAUAUUUUGGAGCAAGCAUACUUGAAAUUUCUGUCUUCAAUUUUUUUGAUGCUUUUUUAAUUUUGAUCUAGUAAAAAUACAUAGCCUUCACCGGCAGGAUUCUAGUCUUGGCUUUCACCUCUCUAACUCAUCUGUCCCUAUUGGGAUUCCAGAAAUUUAAAUUUCUGUCUUCAAUGGGUUUUCAAAGCCUCACCUCUCUUCGAUUUUUGUGGAUUGGGAAUUGCACAAAUCUCACAUCAUUUCCCGAGGUCGAGGAAAAGAGCGGCCCAAACUAUCAGCGGUGUUGAUUCUCUUAUUAAGGUCAGCUGAUUUCUAUUAUCCACUCUGACAAUCUCCUAUUAGUGUUUUUUUUUUAAAAAAUUUGCAGUUCUGUAUAAUUGAAAUGCCACUCACUUGUUUCCUUCUUCACAGGUCAGAUAGUAUGUUAAAGCUAUUAGUGCUGCCUCAUAGGUUGAUUACUCACAGAUGAAAUCAUAACUUUUAUCUUAAAAUUUAAUAGCAUACACAGAUAGACGAUUUUUAGUCCAAAGUUUUUUUUAUUCACUUCAAUCAAAAUUUUAGAUUGCAGAUUUUUGUCGAGUAUUUUCAUUCCAAUUUUUUCAUUUUUUAUUUUAAACCAGAAUUGGAGUAUAAAAUUUUGGAGCGCGCAUACUCUGAUGCAUGCAAUUAACUGUUUUUAAUCGUUGGAUUUUGAAAUUAAUGAUGGUAAGAUGUGUACUUAUUCUUUCUUCCAACAACCUUGCCUUCUUUCUUCGGUCGCAUAUCUAAUGAAUAUUUCUCUGUUUAGUUAAGGAUGAAUGCUUGGAGUGGGGUACUUGGUAACAUUUCUGCCUUAGAUGAAUCCUUGAAGAAAUGCCCGCAGUUCCUGAGACCAAAUACAGGUCUGAUUCAAAACAGCACCUUUCCCAGAAAAUAUGAUCCAAGGCAAAGUCAUGUUCUGAUAAUGUUUCCUUAAGUACUAAGUUGCAAGGAAACUUGAUUCAUUAACUACAGUUUUUUAUUUUUAGGACCUUGUAUCUGAAAGGUUCAGUGUUUUUUUUUUUCAAAUUUAUUGUUCAGAUCUCAGAGGAGUAUAUGGUUUAGAUUACAAAACACCCAUGAUUAAUUUCAUUUUUUUUUUAAUUUCAGGGAGAAGAAGUGGUCAGUUUCAAUCCGGAAUUGGAAUAUGGCAAUUUGGUUCAAGCAAACACACCUGGUCACUUGGUCAGUGGUCACUUGGUCAGCGAACCUGAACUUUACGCAGUUUUUUCAACUCAGUGAUUUUUGGAACGCAUAUUGGUGUAAGGAAAUCAAAAGAAAUUUAUGCAUUGUCAAAUUCUGAUAUUUGCUAUAUAUUAUACAUUCUAAAGUUUCUCCAGUUUGUUCUCAGAUUACCAUCAUUUUUUGCUUUCACCAACCAAACAAAAACAAAAUGAGUGGCUUUCCGGUGGAUAUUUAAUCGGAGGUAUGACUGGAUUUUUUUCACUUCUGUAAAUCUUGCAUUUUAAACUGGCAAAUUUAACUUUAAUUUUAAUAGGACUUUGUUGGUACCUUGUGUUCCAGAAACUAGAAAGAUGUGUAGUUUUCAGAUAAAGGGGCUUGUAAAUUCUCUAGUAAGAAUCCAAUAAUUUGCUUUUGCACGUUCAUUUUAUUUGUGGAUCCUUGCAUCUGAAUUUGAUCAAUCCAAAAGGAAUUGCUUUUAGACAGAAGAAGAAUAGCAGUACCUAGCCUAUGACAUAGUAUAUGGACCUGCAAACCUGAAACUAUUAGUUUGAGGUAAAAAAUUCAUGACCCUCACAUGUUAACUUCUUCUAGUUACUUUCAUGAAAAACACAUUUAAGAAAUUUGCAAUUUUUUGUUAGUUUCGUAUCCGAUGUUGUUUUCUGUUUUAGCAUUUGUAGAAUCUACUGUAUUAUAUUUUGGCAGUUGCAGUAUCUGAGGUAUGUUUUGCAUUUAACUUGCUUUGUUUGUUUUGCUUGUGACUUAAGAACACCAAUAUUUGCCAGAGAUUUAGAGAAGCAUAUCAAGAUGCUUGGCAAACUUGACAAACUUCAAGAUCCUCCAUUCUUCACAACGCAAAACUUGUGAGUACACCUAUGCCCGCAAUUAUUGUGAAAUGCUUGCAAUUUUGAUGCACUGAAAUGGUUUGUUGAUGCAAAGGUUUAAACUUUUAAGAUUCACCCUGCAGGGUAGUUGGAUGCUGUAUAAUCGAAAAGCGACCAACAUCAAGAAUUAUGACUCCAAGACCGGGUUUGCAUUAAUUCAAUCAGCUGAAAUCAUGAUGCAAAUGACACUAUCAGCUGGACUUAGAGACCAGUCAGAUCAAUCAUCCUUUUAUCAACAGUUAAUGUCAUGAUGGUGGCUAUCGGAGGAAACAAAGGAUGUGUCGGAAUCAAUAUGAACAGUGAGAAGAAUGAGAGGAGCUUUGAUUACAAGUAGGCUCAAUGAACUCAUGCUGGUAAGUGGUAAUUAAAGAAAUUUGUACGCUUAGUAGAGUUUCAAUAUUUUCUGUUUGGGAUAUAGUUGAUAAUUUGAUACUCUGAUUAAGAAGCCUGAUUAUAGUAGCUGACUUUUUUUUUGUGGUUUGCUGUUGUUUAUUCUUUCGAUUAAUUUCAACAUUAGGUUGAUCUGUUGAAGAACAAACUUGGGUUUGAUUAUGCUUUAACUACAAGGAAGAGCCAGGCUUGGAUGCAGGCGUUCAGCUUUUAAUGGGUAAGAACAUAUGUAUGCUUUAACCAUGUUUCUCACUUAUUACAAUGCAUGCAUUGAAGGCAUCUGAGCUGAUCCUGAAAAUGUGAUGGAAAUACUUCUCUGUUUACAUAAAACAGGACAAGAGAUCUCUGAUCAUGCCUGAGAAUUCGUUGCAUUUAAAAUUUCUACCAUUGCCAAAAAUAGAAUAAACUAGGGAUAGAUUAGCUUAAGACUCAAUUUUGAGAAGGAAGUUUGCACAUGCAGCCUAAAAAAUCAUGUCCGUGUUGUAUACUUGUAUGUUUCUUUGGGAAAUGAAAGAUUCUGUGUGUUCUUUUGUUUCAAGUUUGCUGAAAUCACAUUUGUUUUCUUAGAUGCUUUUGGGAAGGUAACAACAUCAAUUUCAUAAAUGCUGGGGUAAGAUGCAUCACGCAGUGCUACUCAACAUGAGAAUUCCCGGCCGCAUUACCUGUAUGUUGAGUGAUCGCACAGUACAACCUUUAGAAGCUUGUAAGGAGUAGACAACUAGAUGCGAAUAGUUUCAAUAUGGAUUCGCAUCAAAUGAUCUCUUGCCAGUGAUUACUAUAACCCCUAUCCCAAAAUUCUUGGCAUUGGUCAUACCAAUAAUGAAGUAUUGUGUACGUUGAAGACAUAGCUCAAGGCCUUGCGAAAGCUCCGUCAGCCUUUGUAUUGGAAAACAGUUGGUUGUAGUUGCUUCUGAGUGAUAUUAUUAAUAGAUACUGUAAAAAUGAACUGUGCCACUCAUUUUCAGAGCCCUGUUAAGAUGUGUUGGUAAUGUGUUUGAAGGUUGUUUGAUUUAUGUUGUAUUCAGCUACAAAUCAAAGAUUCAGAACAUGGUUAUGUUACUGGUUUCCAAAUCAAAAAAAUGCCUUGUGAUGUUAGUGUUCAUUUUUUUCACAGGAGAUCAGGUUCCCUGUUGAUGAAUCAAGAAGGCAAACGCAUCCAUGUCUUAAGUUCAAAUGUGUCUCUUCUAUUUUCUAUUACUGACUCCUUUAUUUUGAUUUCUUCAUUGUAAUGGAAUUGGUUUUUUAUUCCAAAUUAGUCAAAACCUCCUAGAGUCAUUAAGUUCUGUUAGCAUUUGAAGAUAGAACUAGAACUAAAUGAUUGACUGGAUUAAAUUCCGAUAAAGAAUUAAGUUAUAUAUUUAGAGAUAUUAUGUUUUUUUUUUUUUCAUUUGUUCAAUUUGGUUAGUGGUGAUUUCUUAAAGACUCAAUCCAUGUGCGUUUAUGCAUUUUUCUUUUGCCUUAAUUUCUGUUUCUUGGGGAGUUUAUACAGAUUCUUAUUUUAUGCUUCACAUGCCACAUGAAAGAUCGAAGCCUUUUGUGUGAUUAGAACUGACUUGCAUCACAGUAACUUUAAAUCACUGCGACAUUUUUAUAAUAACAGUCUGAGAUCUCCCUGCAGGAUUCAAAGCAUUUUAUUUUAUAUUAAACUCCUUUACGUGGGUUUGGACACUACCACAAGUUCUUUAAAUACUAAAACGAUUUUAAGUCUUUUGUAUCAUCUGAUUUAAAUACAUGAAAGCACUCGUGGCUGCAAAAAUACAGUUGGGGCUAUUUCUAAAGUCUUCAACAGCAUUUUCUUUUUAACCUUUAUCCUCAUGGUUGUUUUUGCAGUUGUUCUUUAAGAAAACAUUUAAAAGGUUCUCUUUAUGGAUUUUUGAAAAUAAUUUUAACAUGAGCAAUUUUCAGAAGCACUUUAGAUGUCUGGCAUUUAGGAAAUUUUAUUUCGGUGUCACAUAAAAUACUUAGGAAGUUAAAUUUAUUUAUUUAUGAGCAUGUGCCAGUGCCCAGUGGCAUCCUCUUCACUUGUGAUAGUCAAAUGUAUUAUACGAUACAAUAUUAGCUUGACUGUAGCACAGAGGAGAAUAGGGUUGGUGUUGGUCUGAACCAGCUUAUGUAACAGCUGCCAAAGGAUAAUUUAAUUGUACUUUGAGUAAAGCUUUUGCGAAUUAAACAAGUGAUAAUUUGUUUUUAUUAAGAAAAACUUAAGGAAUUAGGCUAUUUUAACUGACCAAAUUACACAUUAAAAAUUCAUUUACAAAAAUAGUUUUUAGUUAUUAAAAUAUUCCUAAAUUAAAUUAUAAUUAUGGACACUAAAAUAUUUUUUUUAUAUUUUACUCUUUGAAACUGUCUUUAUAUUCGAUAUUAUAUUUUUUUCUUAAACUCUAAAUUGAUUUUUUUUUUUGAUUAAUUUUAAAACACCUAUAAAGUGAUUCAUAUUGAUUUUAUACUAACAAACUAUUAUAGCACAUUCGAAAAAUAAUUAAAUCGUUCUUAUUUACAUAGUGAAAAUGCAAAUAGCUCGUUCAAAUGUUAAGGAAUUGGAGAGCUGCUGCUGGAGAUGAAAGAUGUGAAUUAAACAUCAGAAAAAAAAUUAUGUUUACUAUCUUGCCAGACCAAGCACCGAAAAGCAUCGUAAAGAAAAAUUAGAUAAUUUAGAAGAUAAAGCACGUGGAAUGGAGGCAGAAAGCAAGUAAUGAUAACUCUUUCGACAAACUAAUAUAUACCAAAAUGCAAUAUCAAAAAUGAAAAUAAAAAUUCAUUACGAAUACGUGUUAAAGAUAUCCCAAGUAUAGAUGUGACUGAAAUAUUUGAGAUUGAAGAAGAAUUAAGACUCAAAAUCAAUUGGGAGGAAUAAAUGAGAAACCUCAAUACCAAAAAAUACACGCGCAAAUCCUAAUACUAAUUGUAAUUGCAGAUAAAUAGCAUAAUACGAAUAAAUUCCAUGGGCAACUAUUUCAUUGAGAAAUUAAUUAAAUCGUGUAUUAAUAUUUUGUAUACAUAUAUUUUUCUAUAUAUGACUUUCGGUAAUUUAAUUUUCCACUUAUCAUUUUUACUCCAAAAAAAUAAUUGAGAAUAUUAUUUAUGUUUUGGUGCAAAAUAUUUGAACAAUAUACAAAUUUUCAGUUUAAUAAAUCUAAACAUCUAUUAAGUUAUAAAUGAAUUUAAUGGGUUUAAUUAAUAAAAUUACUAUUAUUAUAUAAAUUGGAUUUAGUAAUGGUACAUUGGGUGGGUUUGUUGAGUAAAUUUUAAAAUUUUGAAAUUUAAGGAUGGGUUUAUUUAGUAAAUGAGUUAAGGGAGUAGUUUGUUGGGAUUCACAUAACGCCACCAAAUUCAAAUGUAAAAUUUAUGGAAAAAGAAGCUAUUGAGUUAUUCUUUUUAAAAAAAGAAUUAAAAUGUCAAGAAUACCUUUAUUUAAUUUUAUAAUCUUAUUUUAUAGUCAUAUUUUAUUUCCACCUUAACAUAAUUUUAAAAAACCUUAACUAAUAAAUUCUAUAUUUUUUUUAUAAAAGUUAUCAUUAAUAUCCAAACGGCUAAAGAUUUUUUUUUUUAAAAAAAAAGAAACUAUGCUUACAAAAGUUGUAUACAUUAACAAUAAAUUUAGUCCAAAGAAUAAAGUUAUUCCAAACAAGCACUCCUAUUCAUCUUGCUAAUGAAUCAAGAUGACUGAAUCCAUUCUCUAAGCCAAAUCUAUUUUCACUUCUAGGUCAGAAAUUGUCAUUAAAAAAGUGUUUGAUAAAAUAUGCUCUGGGAACACUAAUUCGUCAGAUGGUUACUCCAAGUUUAUGAAAUCAAUGGGGUUUCAUCAUAUUCAUAACAUUCUUCUUUAAUGUCUAUUCUAACAAAGAAAUUACUAGAAAACUUUUACUAGAAAAACUAACCACAAUUCAUCAUUCAUUUAUAUCUUAAGUAAGCGUAAGAUUUUAUCAUUAAAAUCUCAUCAUGAAAAAACUCAUGGGAGAAAAACUAUAAAAAUUGAAGAAAAAAGAGUAUGGCGUGCAUGUAAAUUAUAUCGAUUUUAUCUAUAUGACAAAUAAGACUCUCUUUUACAAUGGCACGGAUGCUUCAUUGAGUAAUCAUGAUUCUUGCUGGUAGUGCUUUGUUGUAUCAAUCUGCUAGCUAUUCAGCUUUCUUUCUUUCUUUCUUCUUUUUAUUUUUUUUGUUUUCAAAUAGCUUGUGGUUGUAGAAAUAUUUCAAUUAAACUAUACUUAAGUACUUAUUUGGUAUAACUUCUUUACUAGCCAAAAGAUUUUUUUUUUGGUUUUUUAUAAUUUAAUUAUACUUUAACUAGAGUUUUUGGGAUUAAACAAGUGAUAAUUUCUCUCUGUUAAGAAAAACUCAAACGGUAGGGUUAUCUCAAUCCACCAAACUAUUUAUUAAAAAUCCACUUAUGAAAAUAAUUUUUAAUUAUUAGAAUGCCUCUAAAUUAAAUUACAAUUAUAGACACUAAAAUAUAGUAAAAAAAAUUUUUUUUUACUCUUUAAAACUGUCUUUACAUUCGAUAUCAUAUCUUUUUCUUAAAAUCUAAAUUGAUUUUUUUUUUAUUAAUCUCAGAACACAUAUGAAGUGAUUCAUAUUGGUUUUAUACUAACAAACUAUCAUAGCACAUUCGAAAAUAAUUAACUCGUUCUUAUUUGCAUAGUGAAAAGGCAAAUAGUUCAUCCAAAUGUUAAAGAAUUGGAGAGCUGCUGCUGGAGAUGAAAGAUGUGAAAAGCAUGGUAAAGAAAAAUUACAUAAUUCUCACUUAGAUGAGGAAGAAAAAAAAAAGAAUACAAUUAGAAUGAGAGGUAGCCAAUAGCCACUAGCCGCCGCCACCGCCACCAGUGAAACUAUUUCACAUAAUAGAAGAUAAAGCACGCGUAAUGGAGGCAAAAAGCAAUUAAUGAUAACUCUUUUCGACACACUAAUACAUAUCAAAAUGCAAUAUCGGUCCUAACAAAAUGAAAAUAAAAAUUCAUUACGAAUAUGCGUUAAACAUAUCCCAAGUAUUGAUGAUGUGAUUGAAAUAUUUGAGAUUGAAGUAUAAAUAAGACUCAAAAUUAAUUGAGAGGAAUAAAUGAGAAACUCUAAUACUAAUAAAAUACAUUCACAAAUCCUAAUGCUAAUUAAAAUCACGGAUUAAAAAAAAUAAUAUGAAUGAAUUACAGGCGCAACUGUUUCAUUAAGAAAUUAAUUAAAUCGUGUAUUAAUAUUUUGUACACAUACAUUUUUCCAUAUAUAACUUUUGGUAAUUUAGUUUUCCACUUAUCAUUUUACUCCAAAAAAAUAAUUGAGAAUAUUAUUUAUGUUUUGGUGCAAAAUAUUUAAACAACGUAUAAAUUUUCAGUUUAAUAAAUCUAAACAUUUCUCAAGUUGUAAAUGAAUUUAAUGGGUUUAGUUAGUAAAAAUGCUAUUAUUAUAUAAAUUGGGUUUAGUAAUGGUAUAUUGGGCAUUUAAAUGGGUUUGUUGAGUAAAUUUUAAAAUUUUAAAAUUUAAGGGUGGGUUUAUUUUAGUAAAUGGGUUAAGGCAGCAAUUUCCCAAACUAAAAUUUUUAGAAAAAGAGGCUAUUUAGUUUUUUUUUUUAAAAAGAAUUAAGAUGUUGAGAAUACCUUUAUUUACUUUUAUAAUCUUAUUUUAAAAAAUUUACCCAAUAAAUUUUAUAAUUUUUUACAAAAAUUAUCAUUAACAUCCAAACAGCUAAAGAUUAAAAAAAAAAAAAAAGAAGGGAACUGUACUAGCAAAAGUUAGAUUAACAAUAAAUUUAGUCCAAAGAAUAAAGUUAUAGCUAAAAAGUGCUCCUAUCCUAUUUUUCUCUAUUUUAACAAUAAUCUUCCAAUCCAUUUUACAAUGGACUUAACAAAUGGGCUCAAUCUCUAAACUUCAUUUUCUUUUGCUAACCCAUGGCCAUUAGCCAGAAAGCCUAAAACAAUUUUAGGAUCACAUGUGUAAAUGGAACUCCAAGAUUGAUCAAGAAUUAACAAGACAAGAUGAAGAGAUGAUCUUGUAACUAAGAAUGAAGAAAUUGAAUCAAGACAGUACUCUAGUAAAACCCAGAAAACAGAGCUUGAAGAAUCACGCACAAAGCAGUAAAUUUGUAAAACCAGAAUUGGAGCUUCACUUCUCAAGAUAGACGAAACAGGAUACAAUCUAGCUUUGGUCAACUUCGUUUGGCCACGUCAUAAAGUCUUCCCCCACAGUCUUUCCCGCCAAAACAGAAAAGCUUUAAAAGCCAUUUACCCUCCUGAGUUACUUGCUCCUAUUACAUCAAGGCCCUGUAAGUCUAUAUUUAUUAUUACAAAAGCACCCUUAAACCGAGAUUUGAGAUAUUUUUUCAAAGAUCGAAGCGCAUGAUUUCACGGCUAUGUUGCAUAGUGAAUUUUAGUGCUUUACAGUUAAGGGAUAGUUUAAAUUCAUUACAAAGCAUUCGCAAAGAAAUUGUUUUUAAAUGAAACUCCUCGUCUUGACCAGAUUAUUUAUUAUUAUUAAAAAAAAAUGUUCAAAACUUAGCCAAAGUGAUAAACUCGUAAUUAUUCUACAAAGGGAACAAUUUUGAACGGUGGGAAAUUCCAUAAUUAUGCUUUUCUGUGAAUUAUUUUAAAUAAAAUUAUAAAAAUUAAUAUAAAAUUAUAAUAAUGAUAGAGCCACAAAUUCUUGUACAAAUUUAUUUUAUACAAACUCAUGUGGCAUGAUAAGAUUGGUUGAAUUAAAUAUUACUUGGCCCACAUGAUUUGUUUUUAUUAUUUUAUAUUUUUAUUCAACCAAUAAAUUAAUACCACGUCAGUUUGUACAAAAUAAAUUUAUACAAAAAUUUGUGACUCGAUCAUCACUCAUAAAAUUAAUACCCGGUAAAGACUGUAGAGAGACAAGUGCCCCCAACAGAAUCAAGUGAAUAUGCCCCACAAAGAUCACAUGAUCAUUUCUGUUCUUUUUCUUUUUGAUAAUUUUAUCUGUGGUUUCAACUUUUAUGCUUUAUUGUCGUAUCCCGUUGAGGGCUCCGCUGCACCCAUUACAACUUACCCCUAAAUUGCCUCUUACUAACUAAACCGUUAGAUUUUAUGGAAGCACGUUCAAUGUUGAAUUUUAAUUAUGUCAUCGAAUUUCGUUUAGCUCCUUAAACUCCAUUUUAUUUGUAAUUUCUUCAUAAAAUAUUCAAAGCUUCAUCAAGCUCCUGAUGGACCAUCAUGGCUAGGGGUGCAUUAGAGCCGAACUGAAAUAUGUUAGUUCAGUUCAGUUUGGUCAGUUUAAAUCGAAUGGUUUAGAAUAUAUAAACUGAUCAAUUUUAAUUUUGAAUUGAACCGAACCGAAAAUCAAUUGGUUCACUAUUAGUAUUUUUGUAUAAACAAGAAUGAUUAGUGAUUAUAAUUAAAUUGGACUAAAAAAAAUUCAAACUAAGGUGAAAAAUAUCAAAUCUUAGACAAUAUAAAAAAAAAUAUUAAAUUUUUUUAACCGAAACGAACCGAAUUAUUUUGACUCAGUUUGGUUCAUAAUUUUUUAAACCAAACUGAUUUAUUCCCACCCCCUAAUCGUGGCUCUCUAUCUUUAGUCAUUCACCCUUGAGUUUGAUGCCAAUUGUUGGGUUUCAAAUGAUUAUACACUCAAAUGGAACCCUCAUAACAAAAAACUAACAGAAACAAUAAGAACACGAUGUUAAAAUCUUAAAUCAAUCGCAACGGUCCUUUUUUUUCCCCAUUCUUGAACCUAAAGUAUUUGAGUAUGCAAAUUAAUAAAUAAAUUCAUUUAUUUUUAUUAAAAUUUUGUAAAAUUAUAAUUUUUAAUAAAAAUAAUUAUUAAAAUUUUGUAAAAUCUAAAUUUAGAAAAAUUCAGUUGGGCACCUCUAUUUGAGAUUUAUUUUUUAUUAAAUUUAGGGAUAUUUUUAUAAUUAUAAUUUUUAAUUUUAAAAGUUUUUAUAAGAUAAAAUAGUCUUUUAAUUUAUUUAGGGGUAAAAUUGAUGUUUUAUUAAAAUUAUUUAAUUGUGUUAAUGCAAAAGUGACUAUUUGAUACAAAUGUGAAAAGAAAGGUGGUGCAAAAUAUAUGUUAAAAUUUUAUAUUGGUUGGAUGAACAUAAGCUAAAAUAAAGGUGGUGCAAUGAUAAUUUCCCUAUCCUAAAACUUAAUUGACUUAAUUCUUAUGGUGCAAGGAAGAGGUUUCCAAGUUUAAAUCUAAAGGCUUGUAUUUAAUUUGGGGUUGGGAAAGCACUGAGAAAUAAAUGUAACUAAGGAAAAAAAAAAAGUCAUGCAGUCCAAAUAAGUAGACAUAUUUAAUAUGAGGUGGGGAUGGGUGAACUGUAAUUCAGAAAAAAUAAAAUAAAAUUUCAUAUAAAGUUGAGGGUGUGUUUUAAUGGUUUCUUAUGCUGCGUUUACUUUUUGGACUAGAGUGAGAAUUCUGAGAAGUGGGAAUCCUGUGAUUAGGUGUGUGGAGUGGGAAUGAGAGUAGGGUAUUUACUUAGACUAAAUAAAAAUAUGGAUUGUCAAUCAGAAUCUCAAUUAUUUGUUACUUUGUCUUGGAUUGAGAGUAAAUUAUUUUAAAUUACAAUUUUAUCCUUAUGUAAAGAAUUAUAAUUUGUAAUUAAAAAAUUAAUAAAAAUAUAUUGGAAAAUAAAAUAAAUAUUUUAUUAUAUUUAUAAAAUAAUAAUAAUUAAUAAAAUUCUUAAUUAUGUAAAUCAUAAUUUUUUAUUAAUUUAAAUUUAAAUUAUGUGAAUAAAAAUUAUUAAUAAUAGCAACACAAAUGAAACAUUAUUAUUGAUAAUAUAGUAUAAAAUUAAUAUUUUUUUAGAAUAAAAUAUUUAUUAUUAUUAAAUAAAUAAAUAAUAUUUAUUAAAAUUAAUGUUUAAUAUUAUUAAUUUAAAUAUAAUAUUUAUUUAUUUUUAUUUUAUUUUAUUAAAUUUAAUAAAAUAAAUAUGUUAUAAUUAUUAUUUUUAAUAAAUAUGACAUUAUUUAUUUUAUUAAAUAUUAUUUAUUUAUUUUAAUUAUGAGGGUAAAAAUAAAAGAGGGGGAGUGGAUUCCCACUCCCACCUCCCCCCAUGGGAGUGGGAAUCCCACUCUCCCCUUAAAAAUGAUAAGUAAACACUAGAAUGGGAAGAAUCCACACUCUACACUUUCUAAAAAAUAAACACUACCUUAAUUUAAAUUGAUUUGUUGGAUAUUUAGCUAAAAUGAGAGUAGCUCUCUAAUAAUUAUUGCAUUAUUACAAACAUAUCCAACGGUUAUAUAUGCUUGCCUGUGGAAAUAAAAGUCCCAAGUUUCUUUGAAAGGUAAGCUAGUGUGAAUGUUUUCAUCCGUGCAACUUACUUGAUGAAUGAAGUUUUCAUCCCUGACCUUGAUGUUUCUGGUGGCUACAAUCAUUUCAGCUGAUCUAUUCCAUUUUGUUAAGGUGAGAAUUUAGAGUGGCUUUAACUGUUAGCAAAUAGCCUAAUGUAAGACUUGAUCAACUUCCUGCCCUGUUGUAUGCUUAUGAAUUUUGAUAGAGUUAUGAGUUUGCAGAAGCUACUGUAUUAUAUGUUGUUAGAGGCUGUAAAAAUGAGGCAGAUCAAACACACAUUUAAAUUUCAAUGACAAUUUACUAGAAGUAAAUUUCCUAUGACCCUCCAGGUGACUAAUCAAUGAGAACUUGACAAUAACAAAAGAAAGUGUAUGAGCUUUGCAGGCGGGCACGCCAAUCUUGACUGCAUGGCACCAUCCGCCAUUUGCAAGUGAAUAUCAUUAUUGUUUAAUCAACAUGGUGGAGUCCACUGGGACCACACCACAUGGUCAGUCUUAUCUCUAUUCCUCAAUUUUCAGUAUUCCAUACAUCAAAACAAUUUCAGUUUUGUUAUCAAUUAUAAUUUCAUUGUUGGAGACGAUUCUGAUUCCUUUCUUUCUGACAAAACGGAACCAUGGUUGCUGUGGGAGAGAUCUUACUCAACGCCUUCUUUCAGGUGUUGUUUGACAGGUUGGCUUCCCGUGAUUUGCUCAGCUUUGUCCGUCAACUUGGAGGCGGGGUCGAUUCCGAGCUCAAGAAGUGGGAAAGAAAGCUGAAGAUGAUUCAGGCGGUGCUCAACGAUGCAGAGGAGAAGCAACAGACUGACGAGGCUGUGAAGAUGUGGCUGGACGAUCUCCAAGACUUGGCUUAUGACACUGAGGACAUUCUUGAUGAGUUUGCUACUCAAGCCUUGGAAAGCAAGUUGAUGGCGCAAAAUCACGAUAGUUCUGGCCAGGUUCUCAGUUUCAUCCCGGCUGGUUUGAAUCCGAAUGCUAUUAUGUUCAAUUAUAGCAUGGGGUCCAAGAUUAAAGAUAUCACUAGCCGGCUGGAGCAACUCUGCCAAGAAAGAAUUGAACUUGGACUGCAACGGAUUACCGGAGAGGCAUCAUCAACUGCUGCUGCUGCUGCACACCAGAGGCCACCCAGUUCGAGUGUCCCAACAGAACGUGAAGUAUUUGGAAGAGAAGAAGAUAAGGCCAAAAUUCUUGAUAUGGUAUUGGCCGAUACCCCAAGUGAUCAUGCAAACUUUGUUGUAAUACCCAUUGUUGGCAUGGGCGGGAUAGGAAAAACAACUCUUGCCCGGGAAGUCUACAAUGACAAGGCCGUUGAAGAUUCCAAGUUUGAUGUAAAAGCAUGGGUUUGCGUAUCUGACGUCUUUGAUGUUUUGGGCAUCUCAAAGGCACUUCUCGAGUCAAUCACCCGCAGGCCUUGUCUUCUAAACAGUUUAAAUGACGUGCAGGUUGAGCUGAAAGCAGCUGUGGAUAAAAAAAGGUUCCUGCUGGUCUUAGAUGAUGUUUGGAACGAGGACUACAGCUUAUGGGUAGACUUAAAAGCUCCGUUACUGGUUGCUGCACCAAACAGCAAGAUGAUCGUCACCACACGCAAUUCAAGUGUUGCAUCAACAAUGAGACCCAUCGAUCGUCACCACACGCAAUUCAAGUAUUACGAUCUCAAGAGUCUGUUAGAUGAUGAUUGCUGGUCCAUUUUCAUAAACCAUGCAUUUGAAUCUACAGACCUUAGCGCACAUCGAAUUUCAGAAUCAUUCCGCGAGAAAGUUGUUGGCAAGUGUGGGGGCUUGCCUCUAGCAGCAAAAACACUCGGGGGCCUUCUUCGUACUAAAACGCAUGCUGAGUGGGACGGUAUAUUGGAUAGCAAAAUAUGGGAUUUACCUCGGCAAAGCAGCAUUCUCCCCGUGUUAAGAUUGAGUUACCAUCAUCUUCCUUCUCAUUUGAAAAGAUGUUUUGCUUUUUGUGCCAUCUUUCCAAAAGAUUAUGCAUUCACUGAGAGGGAGCUGACUUUCUUAUGGAUGGCUGGAGGUAUUAUUCGACAGUCAAGAAACAAUGAGCAGCUGGAAGAUUUGGGCAGCAAGUGCUUUGGUGAUCUAGUGUCGAGGUCAAUUUUUCAACAAACAGCAAUCUCUGAUAGUUCUAAAUUUGUAAUGCACGACCUUAUCCAUGAUCUUGCUCAAUUGGUCUCUGGAGAAACCAUAUUUAGGUUAGAGGAGGCCAAUACUCUGUCAAGAAGAUUUGAAAGGGUUCGCCAUUCCUCCUAUGCCCGUGAUUGGUGUGAUGGUAGAAAUAAGUUGGAGGUUUUCAAUGAAAUUGAACAUCUACGAACAUUCUUGCCAUUUUGCAUAAGAGGUGGCGUUACUUCUGGUUGGAUAACUAGCACGGUUCACUACGAUUUGUUGCCGAAGUUCAAAAGGUUGAGGAUGCUGUCUUUAGAAGGAUACCAUAUUGGUGAGUUACCAAUUCCAUUUGAAGAUUUGAGACUUUUAAGGUUCCUCAACCUUGCUGACACUGACAUAAGAAGUUUACCUGAGUCAACAUGCAAAUUGUUGAACUUGGAAAUUCUGAUAUUAAGAAAUUGUUCCCGUUUGACAAAGCUUCCCCAGAAAAUGAGGAAUUUGAUCAAUUUACGUCAUCUGGAUAUAAGAGGUGCAAAGCAGCUGAAGGAGAUGCCAUUUGGAAUGAAAGAGUUGAAGAAGCUUCAAACGUUGUCCAAUUUUAUUGUAGGCAAGGGUGAAUCUGCAUCUGGUUUGGAAGAUUUAAAAAGUUUAGACCUUCUAUGUGAUGAACUCUGCAUUGCUGGAUUAGAGAAUGUGAAUAGUCCACAGAAUGCAAGAGAAGCCACAUUAUGUGAGAAGCACAAUCUUGAAGCAUUGACCCUAGAAUGGGGGUCUCAAUCUGACAGUCCUCGGGAUGCAGUACUAGAAGAGAAGGUACUUGACACUCUACAGCCUCAUGAACGUAUAAAAGAGCUGGCAAUCAGGAACUAUGGUGGUGCAAGAUUUCCACCUUGGAUCAGAGAUCCUUCGUUUCCCGAGAUGAAGGUCCUUAAAUUGGAGAACUGUGACGAUUGUGAAUAUCUGCCAUCACUUGGCCUGUUGAGUUCACUUAAGCACCUUGCUGUUAAAGGGCUGAAGAAACUAAAAAGCAUAGGGUCUGAGGUUUAUGGGGAGGGUUUGUCAAUGCCUUUUCCAUCAUUGGAGGUUCUAAGUUUUGAGAAUUUGCCUGAAUGGGAGUAUUGGGACACCAAUAUCAGAGGAAAUGUGCUCGUUGAAAUGUUUCCUCGUCUCCAUAAACUUUCCAUUGUGGAAUGUCCCAAACUCUCUGGGGAACUGCCUGAGCUCCUGCCCUCCUUGGAGACACUUGUUGUUAGUAAAUGUGAAAAGUUGGUAGUUCCAUUGUCUCGCUAUCCGAUGCUCUGCAGAUUAGAAGUUGAUGAGUGCAAGGAACUAGCAUGCGGGACUCCAAUUGAUUUUAAGUUGAUAGAGUCUGUGACUAUUUCAAAUAGUUCCUUAGACAUGAAUGGAUGCAAGGGGAUGCUAUACGAUGGUCCAGCUGGCUCUUCACUGCCAAAGCCUAUGAUUACUACAAAUGUUUCGGAGUUUGGAAAAUUAUUGAAGCCUGGAUGUCAAAUAUUAGAAACUUUAGUAAUUGGCAAUUCUGGACGGCUCAAGUCAUGGAGGCAGCAUGGGGAUUUUCUAGAAGAAUAUAUGGUCGCUCACCAAAGGUUUAAGAAACCAGUACAAGGGCUAAAUAUGCUCGCUUCCCCUGAAGAGGUAACAAUUGAAGAAAGUUGUGUGAGUUUUGUUUUGUUUCCAGAGAUCAAUUUCUUUCCCAGAAAUCUGCGCUCUCUUCUAAUUUGCAACAGCACUGCUUUGAAAUCCUUACCCGAGGAAAUGAUGGAAAACAAUUCACAACUGGAAAGGUUGUAUAUCAGAGAUUGCGACUCUCUAACAUUCAUCGCAAGACAGAGGCUACCAGCAUCUGUUAAAAGGCUUGAGAUAGAAAAUUGUGAGAAAUUGCAACGUCUGUUCGAUGAUGAAGAGGAUGCUUCUUCUUCUUCUUCUUCUCCUUCAUCCUCGUCUUCCCCAGUGAUGCUGCAACACCUGAUAAUAGGGAAAUGCCCAAAGCUCACCAGUUUAUUAUCGGGUGUCCAAUUCCUUGAGGCGCUUGAAUUCCUCAAGAUAGAGCAUUGUCCAAAGCUGGAGUCAAUACCGGAUGGCCUGCCCAAUCUUAAAUGUUUACAGAGCAUUUAUUUACUCAAUUGUCCAAGUCUUGUUUCCUUCCCAGAAAGAGGGCUUCCCCACACCAUUUCAUUUGUUUGCAUUUGCGGAUGUGACAAGCUUGAAGCCCUGCCCAAUGACAUGCACAAACUCAACUCUCUUCGACAUUUAAGCAUACAGCUCUGUCCAAAUCUUGUAUCGUUUCCAGAAGAAGGUUUUCCUACCAAUCUAACAUCACUUACAAUUGGAGAUUUCAAAAUGUAUAAGAUACUCGUCCAGUGGGGGUUGCACAGGUUUACCUCUCUUAGACGCCUCUAUAUCGUUGAUUGUGAUGACGAAGCAGAGUAUUUUCCAGACGAGGAUAUAGGAAUGACGCUGCCCACCUCUCUCACUCAACUGGAACUUUCGGGAUUCAAAAAAUUGAUAUCUCUGUCUUCGACGGGUUUUCAGAGCCUCACCUCUCUUCAAAGAUUGCGGAUCUGGGAUUGCCCAAAUCUCACAUCAUUUCCAGAGGUGGGCCUUCCAUCCUCACUUUUGGAAUUACACAUUUACAAAUGUCCAAAGCUUAAAAAAGCGUGCAAAAGAGAUCAAGGAAAAGAGUGGCCCAAAAUUGCUGACAUCCCUUGCGUUGAGAUAGACAAUAAAUUCAUAUACGAUCCAGAAUAAGAGGAGUAGAUUCUACUAUUAAGGUCAGUUGAUUUGUAUUAUCCGCUAUAACAAGCUCCUCCUUUUUUUUUUUUAAAUAAUAAUUUUGCAGUCACUCACGUGAUUCCGUUUUCACAAGUCAGAUUGUAUGUUGAGGCUAUUUGCCUUUUAGUCGCAGAUUAAAUUAUAACACUUAUCUUAAAAUUUAAUACCAUAGACAGAUAGACGAUUUUUUAAUCCAAAGUUUUUUUUAUUCACUUCAGUUAGCAUUUUUUUUUUUCCCCAAAUCAUGCAAGCCGAGAGUUUCAAUCAAGAAUUGGAGCAUGGGAAUGGAAUUUUUGUGAAAACAUAAUGGAUGAACGAACAUUUCAUCUGUGAUCUCAAAGUCAACAGAAUUUUAUUCACUCAAUGACUUUUCAACUGCUGUGGUUAUUUAUGGGUGAAAGAAAGAUAAGGGCAAUUACAAAAAAUUUGCAAAAUUUGUCAAUUUCUUAGAUGGUAGAUAUAUCGACAUUUUAGAUUUCAGAUAUUUGUCACCAAUUUCAUUCCUUUUUUUUUAUUUUUUCAAGCAAGUUUGACUAAUUUUAACCAGAAUUGGAGUAUAAUAUUUUGGAGCAAGCAUACUUGAAAUUUCUGUCUUCAAUAUUUUGAUGCUUUUUUAAUUUUGGAUCUAGUAAAAAUACAUAGCCUUCACCGGCAGGAUUCUAGUCUUGGCUUUCACCUCUCUAACUCAUCCGGCCCCAUUGGGAUUCCAGAAAUUGAAAUUUCUGUCUUCAAGGGGUUUUCAAAGCCUCGCCUCCCUUCGAUUUUUGUGGAUCGGGAAUUGCACAAAUCUUACAUCAUUUCCCGAGGUCGAGGAAAAGAGCGGCCCAAACUUGCUCGCAUCCCUUGGGUUAUGAUAGAUGGAAAAUUCAUAUACGAUCCAGAGUCAGAGGUGUUGAUUCUCUUAUUAAGGUCAGCUGAUUUCUAUUAUCCACUCUGACAAUCUCCUAUUAGUGUUUUUCCCUUUUUUUUUUUCAAAAUUUUGCAGUUCCGUAUAAUUGAAAAUGCCACUCACUUGUUUCCUAUUAGUAUGUUGAGGCUAUUUGCUUUCUAUCGGUGUUUGUUAAGGUAAUUACUCACAGAUGAAAUUAUAACUUUUAUCUUAAAAUUUAUUGCCAUUGACAGAUGGACGAUUUUUAGUCCAAAGUUUUGUUAUUAACUUCAAUCAAAAUUUUAGAUUGCAGAUUUUUGUCAAUUAUUUCAUUUUUUAUUUUUAUUUUAAAGCAGAAUUGGAGUAUAACAUUUGGAGCGCGCAUACUCUGAUGCAUGCAAUUAACUGUUUUUAAUCGUUGGAUUUUGAAAUUAAUGAUGGUAAGAUGUGUACUUAUUUUUUCUUCCGGACAACCUUGCCUUCUUUCUUCGGUAGCAUAUCUAAUGAAUAUUUCUCUGUUUAGUUAAGGAUGAAUGCUUGGAGUGGUCUGAUUCACAACAACACCUCUUCCAGAAAAUAUGAUACAAGGCAAAGCCAUGUUCUGAAGCAGAAAUGAUACAGCAGUUGCGGUACCCGAGGUACCUUUUGCAUUUAACUUGCCUUUAUUUGUUUUGCUUGUGACUUAAGAACACAUCAUUUCCCAGAGAUUUGGAGAAGCAUCUCAAGAUGCUUAACAAACUUGACAAGCUUCAAGAUGCACUUGCUCCCAAGCAUUGAUUCUUCACAAUGGAAAACCUGUGAGUACACUUAUGCCCGCAAUUAUUGUUAAGUGUUUGCAAUUUUGAUGCAGCGAAAUGGUUUGUGGAUGCAAAGCUUUAAAACUGUUAAGAACUACCCUGCAGGCUUGUUGGAUGUUGUAUACUUCAAAAGCCACCAACACCAAGAACUACAACAGCAAGACUAGGUUUGCGUUGCUUCAAUCAGCUGAAAUAAUGAUGCAAAUGACACUAUCAAGCUGGACUUAGAGACUUGUCAGGUCAAUCAUCCAUUUCAUCAACAGUUAAUGUCAUGAUGGUGGCUAUCAGAGGAAACAAAAGAUCUGUUGGAAUCAAUUCAAACAGUGAGAAGCAUGAGAGGAGCAUUGAUUAUAAAUAGGCUCAAUGAGCUCAUGCUGGUAAGUGGUAAUUAAGAAAUUUGUGAGCUUAGUAUAGUUUCAAUUUUUUUCUGUUUGGGAUAUAGUUGAUAAGUUGAUACUCUGAUUAAGAAGCCUGAUUAUAGUAGCUGACUGUGCUAACUGCGUUCUUUUAUUUUUUAUUUUUUUGGUUUGCCGUCGUUUUUUCUUUUGAUUAUUUGUUCAACAUUAGAUUGAUCUGUUGAAGACUACGAGGAAGAUCCAGACUUGGAUGCAGGCGUGCAGCUCGUAAUAGGUGAGAACAAAUGAAUGCUUUAACCAUGUUUCUCACUUAUGACAAUGCACGGAUCAAAGGCAUCUGAGUUGAUCCUGAAAAUGUGAUGGAAAUAGGUCUCUGUUUUCAUAAAACAGAACAAAUAGAGAUCUCUGAUCACGCCUGAGAAUUCAUUGCAUUGAAAUUUCUACCAUUGGCAAACAUAGAAUAAACUGGGGAUACAUUAGCUUUAGACUCUAUUUUGAGGAGGAAGUUUGUACUUGCAGCCUAUAAAAUCAUAUCCCUGUUGUAUGUUUCUUUGGGAAAUGAAAGAUUCUGUGUGUUCUUUUAUUUCAAGUUUGCUGAAAUCACAUUUGUUUUCUAAGAUGCUUUACAGAAGGUACCAACAUCAUUUUCAAAAAUGCUGGGGUAAGAUACAUCGUGCAGUGCUCCUCAACAUGAGAAUUCCUGGCCGCAUUACCCAUAUGUGGAAUGAUCUGAGAGUACAACCGUGAGAAUGUUGUAAGGAGUACACAACCAGAUGUGAGUAGUUUGAAAAUGAAUUCGCAUGGAAUGAUUUCUUGCCAGUGCAGAAAUGGCUUGGUUCAAAAUAUGCUCAGCUUCAUUGACACUCUUCGGUAGGCCUCUCCGUCCUUCCAUUCUUAACUACAAUACUACUCUUGUCUGUCUAGUUAUGGAAUCUCUCUUUUAAUCCUCAAAGUUUGAAUUAUAUUAUAUUGCCUCUGUGUUACCGCAGAAACUGAGUCAGUUGGUGAUCCUUCAAAACAAGAAAAACCAAAAACAGAUACAGCGCGCGAUAAGAUAAUGAGACAGAUGGCUCCCGUUGCUGCAUGCCACUUGCUUGUGUGCGUAUUGGGACCAUCAUCAACAACAUUGACGUAAACCCAGCUCAAGGUGGGAAGCUAGUUCGAGCUGCAGGGACGUUAACCAAGAUUUUGAGAAAGAACCCACUUCAAGGUGUUGCUUAGUUAGGCUACGUUGUGGAAAUGAGAAAGUGAUUGACCCUAGAUGUCGCGCCACCAUUGGUACAGUGUCUAACCCCAGCCAUGGAGCUAAAAAGCUUAGUAAGGCAGGUCAGAGAAGUUGGUUGGGUCGAAGAGCUGUGGUUAGAGGAGUAGCCAUGAUUCCAGUUGAUCACCCUCAUGUUGAACAAAGCAAAAGUAGCGGUAACAAUGGAAGGUGUUCACUCACACCUUGGGGCAAGCCUUGUAAGUCUGGGAAUUAAACUGCAUCUCCUAAGAAGAAAGAGAAAUCAGCUGUCUGAUAAUAUUGUCCUUUUCUGCUAUUUGGUCUUUUUAACAUUGUUACACUGUUUUUACAUCUUUGAGGUUAGUUUUAGACCAAUUUUUAACUGAUCCAUAAUGAAACUGAAGUUUAAUUUUUGAUUAAACUUUCACUGGUUUUACUCUUCUGUCACUUCAAUUUAGCAUUGAUUUAAGAUACUGAAUUCUGUGCUUGGAGCUUGUAAAUUGGAAAGAGAUAUUUUGGGAUAGAAUGUAGAUUUUGUGUUUUGCUUUCUCAAGCUAGUUGUGACUUCUUAAAAGAGUCAAUCCAUGUCUUUAUAUAUUUUUCUUUUGUCUUGAUUCUGUUUCUUCAUACAGAUUCUUAUUUUAUGCUUCACAUACCACAUGAAAGAUGAAAGCCUUUUCUGUGAUUAGAAUUGACUUGCAUUAUAGUAACUUUAAACCACUUGGAUAUUUUUAUAAUAGCAGUCUGAGAUCUCCUUAAAGGAUUCAAAAGCAUCCACUGGCAUCCACUUUACUCGUAUCGGUCAAAAGUUUUGUGCAAUACAAUAUUAGCUUGACUGUAGCGCAGAGGAGAACAGGUUGGUGUUGGUCUGAAUUCUGAUAUUUGAAUAAAUAUAACAGCUCAUGUGACUCCACCACUUUUUACUUGUUCUGUAGUCUGUACCUACCUCCAUUGUCGGCACUGCCCAUACAAGGUCUUUUAGCUUUUUAAAAAGUUUCAUGAUAUUCCAUAGUUCACAUGGAUUUCUACAGUUUGUAGAAAACCUAAUUAGGGCACAUUUAAUUACUAUGCAGAAGAUUCUUUUAUCUUGCUCACCAAUAAUUCUUUGUACUUAUUUGAAAGAUGUGUUUCAAAAAAAUAAAAAAAAACUAUUUGAAAGAUGAGAAAUCCCUUAGCCGAACGACAAACUCAUCUAUCAGUCCUAUCAAAAAAAAAAAAACUCAUGUUUUAGUGGUUUUUUUUUUUCACUUGUAUUCAGUCGCACAAGUGAAGAUUGUGGGCAAUUUUUUCCUUGAGUAAAAUUGGAAUAGAUGUUUUUAUUGACACAAAUUUUUGAGCUAUGUUUGGGAAACCCUUAGACUUAAGACUUUGUUACGAUGAUAUGUAUCUAAGCUUUCAACAGACCGUUGAGGUCUUAUUAUCAAAAUACUAGAAAUUUACAAUUCAAUUUUGGUAAGGACCAAUUUAAUAAUGCUGUAAUUUUUAAAAUAAUUACCGUUAACUGUGUUGUAAAAAUAAUCAAUUAUGAAGAAAAUUAAUUAAACAUUUAGUAAACUUUAUUUUUACAAGUGCUUUGAAUUUUAAAAAUAGUCAUAUGUGUUCAGAAAAUCUCACUUCUAAAAUAGUAUAAGAAUGGAAAAAACUUAAAAAGACAAAUGUAUAAUAUUUAUUUACACAUGCAUUUAUAAAUAUGUGUAUAUAAUAACAUUUUAUGUGUACAUAUAAUAAUUGAUAACUAAAAUAAAUAUUUUUAUUUAUUAAUUAUUUUUUUGUCUCAAUGUAAUUGGUAAUACUUUUUUUUAAUCUUCUCAUCCUAAGUUUUUUUAUUGUUUUGUACAAAAUUCAAGGUUUGGACUUUUAUAAAAUGUCCACUCAAAAAUAAAUUGUUUUCUAACUAAGAUUUGUUGCUAAUGUAUAACUCAAAGUAAUACUAGCUAUUUGUAAUUUUAUUUCAAAAUUUUUAUUCAAAUGAUAUGGUAACUAAUGUACAUUAGUUGAUAGCAAUUUUUUUUUUUUUACAAUAUUCAAAUCAAUCAAUUGCAUCAUCUCAACAUUUUUAUGAUGUCGUGUUAUUUUAAACGAAUUUUUUAUUUUUAUAUAAAAUUUAUUAUGUUUAACAUCAUUUGCAUAACUUGACCUUUUUUUUUUCCUACAAAUAUUAAGUCAAAUUUACUCACCCUAUAUUUCUAUCUAAAAUCUACCUAAAACUCAUGCAUCACUGUAAAACAAAUCCAAAGAUUGCGGUACGUUUUUCUUGGUAACAAAUCAAUAAUUAGGUCAAGUACUACUACUAAGCGUGCUCAAUUAAUUCUAAAAUACUACGGUGAUCAAAAUCAUACUUGACGCAAGAGGAUAAGGGCUAAACCUCAAUUAGGCAUUAUUCAUCCAAAAUUCGUUGACCCGGCAUUCUUUGCAAGUUGUAGCACGGGACAGCUAAGAUUAGCAAAUGCUGUGGACCAUAUGCCCCCAUACAUUUGUGACAUGUGAAACUUGGCAUUAAAGGAAAGGCAACGUGUUAAAAUUUAAUAGCGCCCAAUUCUUCAUUGAAUGAUUAUCAGAUCCAAUGAGCAUCCUUUGAUUGGAUUAUUUUAAGUCAAUUAUUGGUGGAUUGGGGCCCACUUGACUCUACCAAAUCGGGCUCCACCAUAUCACCUAUUAACGACCACCUGUCCUUAUCAUAAAUAGCAAAUGUCACUUGUUUUAUUUUGUAUUUUACCAAAAGCAAAGUCACUAUGAACCCAAAUGAAAGUGACCCCAAUUUUGGGGGUCAUGAGCUUUGGAUUAUUAUGGACACAAGAGACAAGCGCAAAGUUUCUCAUUUAUCACCGGAUAAGAUUUAAGUUAUCAACCCAACAUUAAUAAAUUCUGCUUAAAGUAAAGUUUGAAGCUUCAUUUUGCGAAUAUUCAAUGGUUAACAUUUAAGUAAUUAACCUGAUAUUAAUCCAAUUAAACUUUUUAUGUAAUCCAAGUCAAAAAUAUGUUGAUAAACCUAAAUUAAUCUAAUUGGACAUAUUAUUUCAACUUGAAAAGGCGAAUCUAUCAUUUUUCAAUUAAUUUUGAAUCAAGCUAUGUAAAAUAUAAGCUUAUUAAAGACAUAUUUUUAUCAUGUUAAAAUAUCGAAAUACUUCUUACUCGUUUCGUAAUAACAUUAACAAACCUUUUGGUAAAUUUGACAGUCCAAUCAAUUCAGUUGGUUUUUUGUUAUUGAAACUCCAACAAAAUUCAUCACGAUUAUUAAAAACCCAUUAAAAAAAAAUGAAGGUAACUAUUUAAAAAAUUCUAAUUGAAUUAUUUAACAACUACAUUUCAACUAAAUUGUGUUGCUAAUUAACUUCCUCAACUUAAACUAUAUUUUUCUCAAUUAAUUCAUAACAAAUAAUGUUAGAUAUUUUAUUCGAAUAAUAACAUUCAACAUCCUUAUUCUUUAUGAUUAUUGCAUAAAAACAUAUUUUAUCCAUUUACAUCACAUAUGUUCCUAAAUUGUAUAAGAAAAUCACCAAAUUUACUCUUGUAAGUUACUAUAUCAAUGAACAUGAAAUUCACUAAUCAUUAAAGUCUCGGAAUGACAUCAUGAGAGGGAUUCAGUUACAUUUAUUGAUAGGAUUAGAUAUAUGUCUUCUCAAAUAUUAGUAGGAGCAAUUUAACAGAUGCAGCUACUAAAAAUAUAGAAUUACUUAUCUCGUCAAUAACUAACGAUAUUUUUUAUCUAUGCUCAAUAAAUUGUAAUAUUUGUAGAUUGUAACAAUUGUUAAAAAAAAAGAGCUCCCUGAGACUAAAUGACAAAAGGACUGUUUUGAAAUAGAUAGAUAAAAUAUGCCCUUAUUUGAGAAAAUGUAAAACACUAGGGAUCUAAAUGUUAUUAUAAUCCCAUGCACAAAAAUACCAAAAAUAACUAAUAACAACUAACCGAAAAUCCCAGGCGUCAUAUUCCUUUUUUCCGCGUUUUAAAAUGCCCUCUGAUUCAUUCACAGUCAGACGCUGUCGGCAUUUCUCUUCUCUCCCUCUCUCUCCACGUAUUAAAACAUGUAAAGUACGGAAAAAUUUAAAAAAAAUUUUAAAAUUACAUAAUUUAAAAGAUAUAAAAUUAUAAAUUUUUAAAAUUAUACGGUUUUAAAAUUUUUUUAAAUUUUUUCGUAUUUUAAAAUUUCAGACUAAAAAAUUAUUAUACGAAUACUUCGUAUAACCGCUUUGCGCUUAAAAUCUGUGCCUAACAAACUCACGAAAUCACUCCUCAUUUUCCUCUCUCCCUCUCCUCCUCUCAUUCCCUUUCAAAUCCUUCCACCACCUUCCCCGCCUCUCUCUCUUUCUCUCUCCCCUCACCGCCACAGCUCAACUUUUCCAUGUAAACCACCACGGGCGCCGUCGUUUCAACCUCCCACUCAUCCGACGUCGUUUUGUGUGAAUAAGAUAACGAUUUAAAUUAAAAUACGAAAAUGGAGAACUUAACGGCGCAGUUGAAGCGAGGGAUAUCGCGGCAGUUCUCGACGGGAUCGCUGCGGCGGAGCCUGACGAGGCAGAUGUCGAGGCAGUCGUCGUUCGAUCCGAGGAGGAAUAACAUGAGGUUUAGCUUCGGGAGGCAGUCGUCGUUGGAUCCGAUACGCAGGAGUCCGGUUCAGGACGAGUUGACGGUGCCGGAGAACCUUGACUCGACGAUGCAGCUGUUGUUUAUGGCAUGCAGAGGUGACGUCAAGGGAGUCGAGGAUUUGCUGAACGAAGGCAGUGAUGUCAACAGCAUUGAUCUUGACGGACGGUUUUGGCGAGAAAUCAAAGAAUUAAGAGACAAUAUUUAGUUAAGCUAAUAGUAUUUGUUCUGUUUAGUACGUCGUUUUACCAACAAGCAUCCCGGCAUUGCACGCAUUAAUAAAUUUUUUUUAUCUGUUUGGACUGAUGGUGGUAAAAAAUUCCACAUACUUUAUAUUAAAAAGGAAAAAGGACAAACACACCCCUAACGUCAACUUGGAGGGGGGUCGAUUCCGAGCUCAAGAAGUGGGAAAGAAGAAAGCUGAAGAUGAUUCAGGCGGUGCUCAAUGGUGGGUAUGACGGCAAAAAUAAGUUGGAGGUUUUCUAUGAAUUUGAACAUCUAAGAACAUUCUUCCCAUUACACAUAAGAGGUGGCUCCAAAACUGGUUACAUAACUCGUAUGGUUCUAACUGAUUUGUUGCCGAAGUUUAAAAGGUUGAGGGUGCUAUCUUUACAAGGAUACCAUAUUGGACCAAUUCCAUUUGAAGAUUUGAGACUUCAAAGUAUAAUUACCCAAAGUGUAUACAAUAAAAGCCAAAUUUAAGAAAUUCCUGAACCUUGCUGACACUGACAUAAGAAGUUUACCAGAGUCAACAUGCUCAAUGUUGAACUUGGAAAUUUUGAUAUUAAGAAAUUGUUUCCGUUUGAUGAUACUCCCACCCAAAAUGAGGAACUUGGUUAAUUUACACCCAGACUCUUUUCUUUUGACAUGGGGUUAACGAUCAAAGUUGGUUUCGUGCGGUAUAUAUUUACAAAUUGAUAGGUAUGCCUGGUGUUGAUGCAGGAUUCCGGUUCUUCUCGUUCUACGACCAGGAUCUCUGCUCGAUCAACUUCGUCACGACCAGGAGGUCUCCUCGCAAGACUUUUUCUCCAGAGAUUCCUGCGCACACAGACAAGUCAGAGUACGCCGGUUGUUUUCCCGGCGCAAACCCUCCGACGCUCAAGUCAGAUAUGAAGGUUCGGGGAACGCUUGCCACCGAUCUUAUGGCUUUUUCGUGGUUUUCUCUUCUUUUUAAUUCCUUUUCUAAUGAGAAAAAUGCCAACCCUUUUACCUCGUCGGCUACCUUUUUAUAGGCUUCCUCUGAAUCCCAGUUUUCCGCUCUUUUCGAGACGGUAUGGGACUCUGACUGCUGUGUUAUGGGCAAACGUGGGAUCUUGCGUGUUACGCCACCGUUCUGGGAAAAGCGCGGCAGUCGUGGUUCUGUGAGAUCUUGCGUGUUACGCCACGGUUCUGGGGAAAGCGUGGCUGUCGUGCUUAGGUUCUCGGGCUGGAGAGCAUGUCUCGUCAACUGCCGUCGACCGGGUCUCCUCGCCUCUCGACCUCUAGCCGGAAUGACCUUAUGCCUCUUACAGGAAAUUGGCCUCGCGGAUGACCUGCUCGUGGACGAGCAGGAUAUUUCUGCUCCUGUUCCCCCGCGUACCAGGCUUUUACGGGACACACCGGUUCGCAGAACUCUGCCAUCAGAUAUCUGCUCACCGUGCCUGGUCUCGUCGACGUAUUUCUCCCAAACACCGGUCCCCCAGUUUCUGGUGUUGGGUAAUGUAGUGGACCAGCAGUAGAAACUCGUUAGUACUCGCCCGCGUGGGAUUGGAAAAGGCUGCCAAGAGUCAUGUCGCAUUUAAUUGCGGACGAGGUGACGUGGCAGAAAUCCCCCCCUCCAUUUGAAUUUCAAACCGACGGUUAUGAGAUCCUCGGGAUUCAGCGCCGUUAAAUGCUGGCAACCCAAGAGUCCGUCCUCAUUAGGAAAACCAAAUCCUCUCGAACGGCAUAUUCGUCAUUCACUCCGUCUCCGUCUCUGUCUCCCCGGCAAAGAGGUUCCGGCAUAAAAGCCCUCCAUCUCUGAUUUUCACCGACUGAACCGUUACUUCAGGUAUUUCUUCUAUCUCCUUGGUCUCGGAUAGUUGUAGAUAAUUUCUCUUCUCUUCUGUUGGGUAGUAGUUGGUGGUGUUGUGGUUAGAGCUUAGGGAAUGUCGAAAGGCAAAGAGAAGGUCAUUGAGGUUGGUGACGACGAGUUGGACUUCCUGCCUAGUCUGCUCACCGAUCCUGCUUUUGACCCCGGGAUCCCCUUAGAGCCCAUUAGGUCUAGUGUCGGGACUAGUGCUAGGAGGAUGUCUCCCCAAACAACCUCUACGAGCGGAAGUAAUGGUGAGGAGAGAUCUUCUGGCUCCGAGGAUACUUUGAGUGAGAAUGGCGAAGGUGACUCUGGUGAGGUGUCUCCAUCUGGAACAUCACGACCAGAAGAACGGGGUAUAGUAGGAGGCAGAGCCUUGUCGCGCGAUUAUGCCAUUGAUUACAUGACGUGCACGACCUCGUUUGACGAGCUCAAUGACCUCCGGCUUAGGUAUAGCAUUCCUGGUGAGAUACCUCUCAAGGUCCCAGGAAAGAAGGAUGCUCCCAGCCGGCCUCCUAGGGGAUAUGUUACCCUGUAUCUGGACAGCUUUAAGUACGGGCUGAGGUGUCCCUUGCAACCUUACUUUGCCCGGAUACUUAACGGGCUAAAUCUAGCUCCUGGUCAGCUGAAUCCCAAUGGGUGGAGAGUGCUCUCUGGUCUGUUCAUAUUGUGGGACAGAUGUUGCCAAAGCGAGCCCACGGUUGAUGAGGUGAAGCACCUGUACCAGCUAAAGAGCAGCCCCAAAGAUGCCGUCUGGUACUACUUCCAAUCUAGCACCAAGAGCAGGAAACCUAUAACCGACCUCCCUACUGGUGGUGGUGGGAAUUGGAAGAGAAAAUUCUUUUUUGCUGGGGGUCCUUGGGGUCAGGUUGCACAAAUGGACGGGAAGGAUUAUCGGGUCCCACCCCGUUUCACGGUCCCAGGUUGCCUGCUCGCUUUAGAUGUCUUGUAUCCACAAUUGUUAUUGCUUUAUUGGCUUGUCUCUAACCAAGUGUCUGUUUGCGUUGUAGUUUCUUGGGGUGUUCACUUCCCGCUCCCACCUGACCAGCUCAAACGGGUCAAGGCUGUGCUCGCCAAUUCCUGCUCGAGUCGAGAACUGCUAACUACAUACAACUUGCUCGAAUCUCGCUUGAUACUUCCUGGCCAUAGGAUGGAGGACGCCGUGAUUGGGGCUCUGACCCGAAAACGUUCUCGACCUCCAACCACGAAGAGGGACCAGGGUAAGGAUGCCCCUGCUGCAAAGCGGGCCAGCAUCGUGCAGCAGGUCCCACCCUUGGAGAUUUUACCUCCUGCUCCUGAAAAAGUCGGGGAAGCUAGUGGAGCAGCCACAGAUCCUGCUUCCUCAUCUGUUCCUGUCGGGCCUCGAUCUCGCUUACCUGACAGCCGAGCAGAACACCUGGUCCCCUACCUCAAUGAGUUGUCUAAACUCGUGAGCAAGAAGGACCUGGAGGACUUCGACGGCUGCACCUUGGGUGAGCUGGUGGGGGCCAUGCAGCAUAGCGCUUUCCACCUCAGCUGCAUGACCACCUAUUACAAGGCUAAGGUUGGUCGAUACGAUCGGAAAAUGAAGGGGGAUAUUCAAUCGGCGACGACCAGAGCUGACAUUGCCGAGAAGAAAGCAGGGGAGCUGAACCUCGAGAAUCUGAAGCUGAUAGAGCAAGAAUCACUUGCUCAAGCAAAGACCAUUACCCUCGAGGAGGAGCUUACCAAGGUCAAGGAGGAUCUGCAAAGGCAGAAGGCUAUGUAUGAGGCCCAGCUCGAAUCUCUCCGGGACUCCAACCGAGCUCAGGUCGAGAACUUGGAGAGGGAGGCAGAGAAUCAGUACGACCAGGGACUUCGGCAUUCCUAUCGUUGCAUCAUGGCCGUCCUCGGGAAGCAACACCCUGAUCUGAAGAUGGAUGACCUUGCGGCUGGUGUUGCCCAACAUAUGGACGAGGAGGCGGCCAAGGAAGAUGCUGAAGGGGUAGAGCCGAUCGUGAUCGAGGAGGAAAGCUCUCCUCCUCGUGCAGUCCCUGCUGAUGUUGGCGAGGCGAGCACCCCUCCGGACGCAACUGGCGAUACCCCUCCCGCACCUGAGGAGGUCCAGUCAACCGAUGCUGCUCGGCUCACUGAUCUACCAUCUUUUUGAUAUAUUUCUUUUUGUAUUGUAAUAAACAACGUUUAUGAAAUUUAUCCCCUCUGUUAGCCAUUAACACAUUAAUAAAGAUGUUUUUUGAUUACUUUCUCGUCUUGUAAUCAUCACUUAUUUUCCGUUUGGGAAUCUGCUCGUCUCGUCUGGUCGAGCAGGUUCUGGUUUGGCAUAUGGUUUUGCAACAUGCCUUAGAAAAAUUUCUUUUUUUUUUUUUUUUUUUUUUUUUUUUUUUUUUUUUGCUUGGGGAUUCUGCUUGCCUUCGCGUGGUCGAGCAGGUCCUGGCAUGCUUGGCUUCAGUCUCGCCAUAAAAAGGCUUUGAGACUUGGUGAGGCCUUUGCAUGCCUUAGAAAACUUUUUCGAUGCUUGGGGAUUCUGCUCGACUUCGCUCGGUCGAGCAGACCCUAGCAUGCUUGGCUUCCGUCUCGCCAUAAAAAGGCUUUGAGACUUAGUGAGCCUUUGCAUGCCUUAGGUGGCUUCUUCAAAGCUUGGGAUUCUGCUGCCUUCUCGUGGCCGAGCAGAUCCGGGCAUGCUUGGCUUCUGUCUCGCCAUAAGACAGGCUUUGAGACUCGACGAGCCUUUGCAUGCCUUAGAUGGCUUCUUCGAAGCUUGGGAUUCUGCUGCCUUCUCGUGGCCGAGCAGAUCCGGGCAUGCUUGGCUUCUGUCUCGCCAUAAGACAGGCUUUGAGACUUGACGAGCCUUUGCAUGCCUUAGAAAUUUUCUUGGUUUCAAGCGAAAGGAAUUCCUCGACGUUCCAUUAAUGGCAGGAUUCGGCUUACAUGAACUUGUUUGGACAUAAAGCGUGAAAGAUAAACGAUAAUGAUCAUGAGCAAAAAUAGCUUUCAGAUGUGAACAAAUCUUACUGGAAGUAUUUUCGGAGGUGUGCUGCGUUCCAUGGGCGUUUCAGCUCGUGGCCGUCCGUGCGAACCAGCUUGUAAGCUCCGGGUCCCGCUAUCUGCUUGACUCUAUAUGGCCCUUCCCAAUUCGGUCCCAGCACUCCUUGAGUCGAAUCUUUGGUGCUCUGAUUCACUCUUCUCAGUACCCAGUCUCCGACCUUGAAUUGCCGUAUGUUCACCUUCUGGUUAUAAUACCGAGCAACCCUCUGUUGGUAAAGGGCUGAUCGCUCGGCUGCUUGCUCCCUCCUUUCCGUUAGCAGAUCAAGAUUCAAACAUAUCUGCUCGUCGUUCUCCUGCUCGUUGAAAUGACCUGUCCGGUGUGUGGUCGUUCCUAUCUCAGCCGGCACGACCGCUUCAUGUCCGAAAGCCAAAGCGAACGGUGUCUCCCCAGUUGCGGUUUUGUGGGUUGUUCUGUAUGCCCAUAGCACACCUGACAGCUCGUCAACCCACGCACCCUUUUUUGCUCCAAGCCUGGUUUUCAAAAGCCUCUUGAUGGUCUUGUUGGCUGCUUCUACUUGUCCAUUCGAUUGAGGGUGAGCAGGCGAGCAAUACUUCAGCUCUAUCCCGAGGUUCUGGCAGAAAUCCCUGAAGCUGUGAUUAUCGAACUGCCUGCCAUUAUCCGUUACCAAGGCAUAAGGGAUCCCGUAUCGACAGACCAGGUUUCUCCACACGAAGUCUGUUGUUUUCUUCUUUGUGAUCCUGCUAAGGGCUUCUACCUCUAUCCACUUCGUGAAGUAAUCUAUAGCAACUAUUGCAUGUGUUGCUGCUCCUUGUGCCUUUGGCAAUGGGCCGAUCAGAUCAAUUCCCCAUUGAGCAAAUGGCCAAGGGGAGGCCAUGGAGGUGAGCUUCUCUGGGGGUUGGUUAGAGAAAUUUGCAAAACUCUGGCAGCUUACACAACUCCUGGUCUUCUCUUGCGCAUCCUGGUGCAUUGUCGGCCAGAAAUAUCCCUGCCUAAGAACCUUGUGGGCCAGGGACCUCCCGCCAGAAUGAUUUCCGCAAAUUCCUUCAUGUACUUCUCUCAGUACGUAAUCCGCGUCGUCCUCAUCCAAACACCGAAGGAACGGUAGUGUAUAUCCUCGCCGAUACAGCGCCCCAUCAAUCAUCGUGUAUCUCGAGGCCUGGGCUCUAAUCUUGCGAGCUCGCAGCUUAUCUGGUGGUAAUACUCCGUCUCUAAGGUAUGAAACUAUCGGGUCCCUCCACGAGCAUUUUUGUUCUAUCCGCAACACCCCCGAAUUCUGAUCGAUACUUGGGCUGGACUUCACCUCCAGAGGGACCGACUUUGGCAUUUUUGGGUCGGCUACUGCUGCCAUCCUCGCCAAAAUGUCUGCUCGACUAUUCUGCUCCCUGGGGAUCUGUACCACCUCCACUGCUUCGAACUUCCCCAUCAUCUGCCUGACUAUCUUCAGGUACUGCUCCAUCUUCUCCUCUCUUGGUUGGAAUCUUUCACUGACGUGAUUCGCAACCAGCUGGGAAUCAGUUCUGAUCUUAACUCUGUCUUCUUUCACGGCCUUAGCCAAUUCCAGACCUGCUAUCAAGGCUUCAUACUCUGCCUGGUUAUUUGUGGCUGCAAAUUCCAACUUUACAGCAUAAGAGAUCUCCUCCCCCUCAAGGCCUUCCAGGACAAUCCCUGCUCCUGAACCCCGCUCCCCUGAUGACCCGUCCACAGACAUCUGCCAUACUUGAUUUUCGUCAUUGCCUAUAACUGCAUCCUGUUGAUCUGAGCAUACUUCGGGCUCUGUGAAUUCAGCUACGAAAUCGGCCAUUGCCUGGGCUUUUAUCGCUGCGCGGGGUUUAUAGUCUAUGUCGAACUCGCUCAGCUCUACAGCCCACUUGACGAGCCGACCAGAGGCAUCUGGCUUGUGCAGAGUUUGACGCAAUGGCUGGUUUGUUAUUACCGAGACCGGGAAUGCUUGAAAAUAUGGCCUCAACUUCCGAGCAGCAACCACAAGGGCAAGUGCCCAUUUCUCCAACAGUGGGUAUCUAGUCUCAGCGUCGAGUAGGGCCUUGCUGGUGUAGUAUAUCGGAUACUGAACUCCUUCUUCCUCUCUCACCAGAACAGAACUGGCGGCCCGAUCCGACACCGCCAAAUACAGAUACAACUUGUCCCCAUCCCUUGGUGUGGACAGCAGCGGAGCUUGCUGCAAGUAUUGCUUCAAGUUCUGGAAGGCUUCCUCGCACUCUGGGGUCCAUUCUGUUUUCUUUCCCCUCCUUAUCACUUGAAAGAAUGGCUGACACUUAUCUGUAGCCUUGGAGAUGAAUCUGCUCAACGCCGCCAACCUCCCUGUGAGGCUCUGCAUCUCCUUCAGGUUACGAGGAGACGUCAUUUGCACAAUCGCCUGGAUUUUCUCGGGAUUUGCUUCAAUCCCCCUAUGGCUCACCAUGAAUCCAAGGAAUUUCCCUGACUCGACCCCAAAAGCACACUUUUCCGGGUUGAGCUUCAUCUUAUACUUCCUCAAAAGCUCGAAUGUCUCCUCGAGGUGUCUGACAUGUUCCUUCGGGAUUUUGGACUUGGUGAUCAUGUCAUCCACGUACACCUCCAUGGUUUUCCCAAUCAACGGCUUAAAGACUUUGUUCACCAGCCUUUGAUAGGUGGCCCCAGCAUUUUUGAGACCGAACGGCAUUACCCUGUAACAGAACAAACCUUGGUUAGUGACGAAAGCCGUGCUCUCCUCAUCCUGCUCGUACAUGGGGAUCUGGUUGUAUCCCGAGAACGCGUCCAUGAAGCUGAGCAGACCAUGUCCAGCCGUUGAAUCUACUAGCUGAUCGAUCUUUGGUAGAGGGAAGCUGUCUUUUGGGCACGCCUUAUUGAGGUCUGUGAAAUCCACACACAUCCUCCACUUGCCGUUUGCCUUCUUUACCAACACCACAUUCGAUAUCCACUCAGGGUAACUGACUUCCCGAAUGAACCCUGCUCUCAAGAACUUCUCCACCUCGCUAUUUAUUGCCUCAUACAUCUCCUGGUUGAAGCACCUCCUCUUCUGCCUUACUGCCCGAGCACCUUUCUUUAUUGCCAGCUUAUGACAUGCUACCUCAGGGUCAAUCCCUGGCAUGUCUUCAUGUGUCCAAGCAAACACAUCAGAAUGAGCCUGUAAGCAUUUCACCAACUCCUGCUUUUGCUCUCCCUCAAGCCUCGACCCGAUUCUGAUCAUCUUUCCCGGAUUCUCUGGUCCCAGGCUUACUGUUUCCAGAUCUUCUACAGGUUCUUGUCUGCCCUUCUUGUUUUCCACUCGGGUAUCGAGGGAUGUUAUCUGCAUUGCUUCCCUUGCUGCCGAGGAGUAGCAGCUUCUUGCGAUCCUCUGGUCUCCUCGUACCACUCCUACUACCCCAUUCACCCGGUACUUCAGAGCGAGAUAGUGGUUGGACAACACCGCUUUGCUCAUCCUUAAAAAUGGCCGACCUAGGAUCAUCUGGUAAGGACCUUCCUCGUCCACUACGACAAAGUCCAGUAUCAUUGUUCUUUCUGUCAGGGAGCUCCCAAUUGUGAUAGGCAGCUCGACCACGCCCAGAGGGACCAGCUUCCCUCCUCCGAACCCCUUCAAGGAGGUAUUGGUGUAUUCCAACUUUCGGUCGGCUAUUCCCAUCUCUUCCAGGGUUGACUUAAAUAACACAUCAACUGAGCUCCCUGUAUCAAUCAGUAUCCGGUCAAACUUCUUGCUAGCGACAGUAGCCUUGAUGACUAAAGCAUCAUCGUGGGGGUAUAGAAUCCCUUCCUCAUCCUCAUCCGUCCACAUGAUUGGCACUUGCCUGACCCUUGCUCGUUUGGCUGCUGGGGUGUUGAAGAGUACCUCUUUACUGGUCAUGGCGUACCUAGCAUAAUUUUUUCUCGAUCUGUUGGAAUCUCCGGCCAAUGUUGGGCCCCCAGCUAUCACCCUUACUGCGGGCUGCUCGCGCCUCAAGUUUCUACCACUCUGCUCCCCUUCACCUGUUGUGGCCACCAUCGGGAAAGUCCCAUCCAUAAACUCGUCCAGGUACCGAUUUCUCACCAAAUCUUCGACCUGGAUCUUGAGAUCUCUACACUCUGCCGUGGUAUGGCCAUGGGUGCCAUGGAACUUACAAUAACGUCUUCUAUCCCUCCUGUUGGGUAGCUUUGUUAUUGGUGUAGGGAGGUGCAGCAGACCUCGAUCCUUUAUGGCCUCGUACACCUCAUCCAGGGACAUCUUCAAGGAAGUGUACCGCCCAUAGUCCGGGUCCUGGUCGAUCAGGUGCACUGCUCUUUCUCUGUUUGCCCCGCUUUGAGUUGGGGGCGGUGGAAGUAAUUCUGGUCUGCUCGCUCUGCUACCAUGUUGGUGAAGACCACCAGAUGCCGACUCAUGCCUUCUCCAAGGCUCCCUAGCUGGGGAACGAGGAGGUUGCGCCCCGCUGCGCUGAUACUGUGGUGGCCUCUGAUGAGGCUGGUAAGCAGUUACCCGACCUCCUGCUCUACUACCGGAGGCCUGGUGGUCUCUCCUCCUGAUCGGCCCAUUCCCCGGUAAUGCUUUCUUCUCUUUCCUCCCCAACCCUUCCAACUGGUCUGUCUUAAUCCGUGCAGCCUUCUCCUCUUCAAUCUCGAUGUCUCUCUUAGCCUGUUCGUAUGCGGCUGCAUACGUUUGAAUAGCUGGGCUUCUCAAAUUGUACCACAACCUUCCUAUCUUCACCCCUUCUUUCAAUCCCCUUAACGCCUGAGGGUGGUUGAAGGCUCCCAAGUCGAGGACAGCCCGAUGAAACCUCUUGAUGAAUUCCCGAAGGGUUUCUUGCUCCCCCUGUUUCAUGCUUUUCAGCUCCAUCAUGUCGUCUUCCGGUGCCAUUGCCCCACUAAACUGCUCCGCGAAUUCCUGGCACAUCUGCUCGAAGGUUUUAAUGCUGCCCCGAGGAAGUUUCCUGUACCAUUCUCGUGCACGUCCCUCAAGGGAUAGUGGGAACACCCUGCACCUUUGGGAUUGAGAUAAUCCUUGUACCCCAGUUAUGUCGUUGAAGCGCUCUAUAUGCACCAGCGGAUCAGUUCUUCCCGAGUAUCUGAGGUCUGGGAGGCGGAAAUCUCUCGGAAUAACUGCCCUCAUGAUUUCUGUUGCGAGCGGCGAUUCUCCGUCCAGCAUUAUCCUCCAACCAGGGGCUCUGUUCCUUCCUUGCAUGUCGUCAAUUAUCUGCGCUAGUCUGCGCACUUCCCCCUCCAGCUGCAACGCACGACCAGGGUCACGUGCUGCAACUUGAUCCCACUCUUGCUCUACAUCAUGCAAGUGUUGCCUCAACUCUGUUUCCUCUGCAUUCACCACCCCGUCGCCCUCGUCACCAGUCUGUCUUGCUGGGGACUGCUCUCUUUCUCUAUGAAAUUCUCCCUGCAGAGGUACGUUACCUCUCUCACCACCAAAUCUCCCGGGGGUUUGACUUCUCCCCGCACUAUCGGGACCUGGUGCCACUCCACCGCCUCUCACCCUUCCCUCUUGGGUUACCCUUCGCUCGCUCCGCAGCUCAUGCAGGAUGGUUGUCAAGGUCUCCAUCUGCUUUUCCAUCCGUUCCAUCUGGUCGAACAUGACUUUUUCCCGUGCUUCGCUGACUAUCUCCCUCAGCGUCACGGAAUCGUUAAGCCUCCUAUCACCCCCUUGUGCACUACUUCUUCCUGUCUCCAUUGCUUUUCACUUGCUUCACCCCUCUUCUUGCUAUCAACAGAAGCUUUUUGCUCUGGUCCCCACAGACGGCGCCAAAAUGUUGAUGCAGGAUUCCGGUUCUUCUCGUUCUACGACCAGGAUCUCUGCUCGAUCAACUUCGUCACGACCAGGAGGUCUCCUCGCAAGACUUUUUCUCUAGAGAUUCCUGCGCACACAGACAAGUCAGAGUACGCCGGUUGUUUUCCCGGCGCAAACCCUCCGACGCUCAAGUCAGAUAUGAAGGUUCGGGGAACGCUUGCCACCGAUCUUAUGGCUUUUUCGUGGUUUUCUCUUCUUUUUAAUUCCUUUUCUAAUGAGAAAAAUGCCAACCCUUUUACCUCGUCGGCUACCUUUUUAUAGGCUUCCUCUGAAUCCCAGUUUUCCGCUCUUUUCGAGACGGUAUGGGACUCUGACUGCUGCGUUAUGGGCAAACGUGGGAUCUUGCGUGUUACGCCACCGUUCUGGGAAAAGCGCGGCAGUCGUGGUUCUGUGAGAUCUUGCGUGUUACGCCACGGUUCUGGGGAAAGCGUGGCUGUCGUGCCUAGGUUCUCGGGCUGGAGAGCAUGUCUCGUCAACUGCCGUCGACCGGGUCUCCUCGCCUCUCGACCUCUAGCCGGAAUGACCUUAUGCCUCUUACAGGAAAUUGGCCUCGCGGAUGACCUGCUCGUGGACGAGCAGGAUAUUUCUGCUCCUGUUCCCCCGCGUACCAGGCUUUUACGGGACACACCGGUUCGCAGAACUCUGCCAUCAGAUAUCUGCUCACCGUGCCUGGUCUCGUCGACGUAUUUCUCCCAAACACCUGGUAUGACUGCUUAUGCUGGAUUUUAUGAGGUGUGCUCUCCUAAGCAAGGAGAGUGGGUCUUAAUAUGGGCAAGGGUGCAGUUGGUCAGCUUAUGGGGCAGUUUGCAAAGUUACUGGGCUGCUAUGUUGUCGGAAGUGCUGGAAGCAAAGACCAGGUAUACAAACAAACAAUCCGUAUCAGUUGCUUGAUUGUUCCCAUUUUGCUUUCAAAAUAUCUAACUUACAUAAGGAAAAUUUUCACCAUCUCGUCUUUUCUUUGAUUUUGAACGCUAAGAUUGAUCUACUGAAGAAUAGGUUUGGGUUCGAUGAGGCGUUCAACUAUAAAGAAGAUCCUGAUUUGAAUGCAGCCUUGAUAAGGUUAGUAUAUCAGCAAACUACAAAUUAGAAGACAUUUUUUCCUGAAAAUCAAAUAAUGUUUCUAAUUUGACAGGUGGUUUCCUGAAGGCAUUGACAUAUACUUUGAAAACGUUGGUGGGAAAAUGCUCGAUGCGGUGCUGAUCAACAUGAAAAUCGGUGGUCGAAUUGCUGUGUGUGGGAUGAUCUCGCAGUACAACCUUGACGAACCCAAAGGCGUACACAACUUGACGCGUCUUAUUUCGAAACGGGUUCGGAUGGAAGGAUUCCUCGUAUCGGAUUACAAUAAACUCUAUCCGAAAUUUCUGGAAAUGAUCAUUCCUCACAUCAAGGGGGGAAAGAUUGUAUACAUUGAAGACACGGCUGAAGGUCUUGAGAGUGCUCGGGCAGCUCUCGUCGGUCUGUUCUCUGGCCGGAAUCUCGGGAAACAGGUGGUUGCAGUUGCUUCUGAAUGAAUGAAGGAUUUGGUUGUUUACAUCAUGCUUCUACUCGUCCAUUUAUUUAAUAAAAUGGUUACGCUCAAUGAGUGUAAUUUUUAUGAUGCUAAAUUAAAUGUGGAAUGUGGCUGCUGGUUUGAUAAUGUUAAAAGUGCUAAAAAAUUUCAUGUUAGGCGCGGUGUGCGUCUGUAUAUCAUUUUUAGGUACGGGCAUUCUAUCUUUUUUUUUUAAUUAAUACAGACACAUUCUUAAACUGUAUGGUUUAAGAGAGAGUUAAAAAAAACUUUUACCACAUGGUUUAAAAGCGUAUCCGUAUGGAAAAAAAAUGAAAGUCCAUUGGAGAAGAAUUUUAUAUAUAGUCCAGGAUAUUAAAGUGCGGGAAAACUAUAGAGUUUUAAAAACUUAAAAUUUAAAACGUUUAAACUGCACGAUUUAUGUGUUUUUCGAUGUGAUCCCACAUUUUAAAAUUGUGGAUUGGAACAUUUGUCUUUGAGGGAAAAAAAACAAUAACAACAACUUCUUUUGGAGACCGUGGGGCUCAUAUGCAGAUUCAACCCCGAGCUAUACACUGGAUCUGGUGGGCUAGGUUUGAACCCAAAACAAGCUCUAUUCAUUACACGGUUCAGCGGGUUGGUCCAUUUGACGCUUCUAACUUAACAAUUUAAUCAUAAUAAAUUGAAAAAAUAAAAUAAAACCCACGUAUCUAAAUUAUUGUAUUGAGCUAUUGGUGCAGAGAAUAAGUAUAUAUGAGAACAAAAACAACACGAUGUAGUCGCUCGUUUUGUCACUUCUAAAAUCAGGAUUUAGAGCAUCACCAAAAGGCUCUUCAAAUAAGAUUUUAUUACUCAUUUGAAGAGCCACAUCAAUAUUUAAAGCUCCAAAAGACACUCUAAUUAAGAUUCUUCAAAUAAGAAUUGAUUCUCUCUCUUCAAAUUUGGAGAGUUAAUUUCUCCCUCUUCAAUUUAUAUUUUAUUACUUUUCAUUAAAAAAAGAGAGAGAAGUGCUUUAAUUGCUAUUGACUUUUCCUUUUAAAAACUAAUUAUAUGAUUAAAAUAAUAUUAACUUAUUUCUAUUUGAAGAGUCUUUUGGAAAAUAUCAUAUUUUUUCACCCUUCUAUUUGCCACAUAGGUAAGCAAAUAGAUAUUUGAAGAGUAAAAUUUAUAGAGGCUUUUGGAGAUGCUCUUAUGAUAGAGUCAUAGUGUUAACAGUACAUCGGUGUAUAAUUAUUUGUAAUGAAAUUAAUUAAUAUGGGUUUUAUGUUGUCUUUGUCAAUAAUCAAUUAAAUUUUUCGUUUUCAUUUAAAUGUUACUGAUCGAUGAAACAUUUGACUGCGUUCAAGUUAUCUUUUAAUUUUGUGAGAUCCACAUUGUUUUUAUUUCAAAAACAUAAUUUUUCAUAUUAUUAAAAAGCUGUUGCUUGGGCCUAGAGAAAUUGGAUUAAUGAAAUACCUUAAGGGUGUGUUUGACACAUUAUAUUGUAUUAUGUUGCAUUGCAUUAUUUUAUUUGGUGUUGCACUAUACUUUACUAAUUUUUUUGCAAUUAAUUUAAAUUACAUAGUUAGCAAAUAAUAUUUAUUAGUGCUUAGAAAAAUACUAAAUAUAGAAGUCUUAAAUUUUAGAAAUUUAACAAUUUUUUUACUAUAAAUGUUAAAAAAUAUAAUAAUUCUUCAUAAAGAUGGAAGCUUACAGCCUUAAGUUUUUGGAAGCAGAGCAUUUAUUUUUUAGUAUCUUCUAAAUAUAUAAUUUUUGAAAUAAAGAUAUAAGCACAUAAUUUAAUCACAUAGUCUUUAAAUAAUAUAACAACAUAAAUAAAUAGUUAAAAUGUGCAAGAUUAGUUCAAAACUCAUCUUAGGAUGAUAUAAUAAAAGUUUAUACACACCACAAGAUAAUCACAAAAUAAUAAAGUGAUAAAAUUAUUAUAACAUAUUCACUACCAAAAUAAAUUAUAUUAAAUAAUCCAAGUGAGAGUUCUGUAGUUUAUAUAAUAAUAUUAUUUAUGUUAUUAUUAUUAAUUUUAAAUUAAUAUUAUCCAAAUUUAUUCAUACUUAAAUAUGUAUUAUUAGUUAUAUUACAUUAUUUUUACAUAUUAAUUAUUGUAAUAUAAUUAAAUAAUGUAAAAUUAUAUUAUAUUUUUAUAUACUAUUUAAGUAUUUAUUAUUAAUUAUAUUCAAUUAUAAAUUUAUUAAUAAAUUAUAGUGCAAAAAAAAAUAGAAAUAAAAAUUAAUAUUGUAUAAUAAAUAACAUUCUGCUCCCAAUUUCUGGAUUUUAAAUUCCAAAAAUAGUAUUCACGUUCGCCACAUUCAAAAAUCCAACCUGGGCUUGGAGAUUCGAUUCAUCUCAUAGAUUAAUUUUAUAAACUAAUGUUUAGUGAAAAAUUAACCUUAAUGGGUCCUCCUCUCCAGGCCUAAUUCUUAAUUUUUUUUUUAAUUUGGUCCUACUUAAGUGGCUUCUAACGUUACCGUGUCUUUAUUUUGUGUACAGUUGUUUUACUAAUUUGUCAUUUAGUGCAAAUAACAGCACUCAACUUGUAAUAUCCAGUAUCCACAAAUCAGCCACUUCGGCCAAGGCCGAAGUGGUGGGCUGCUGCCCUCACAAUGCUUGUGAGGGCAGCGGUUCUAGCCCCCACAAAAGCAUUGUGGGGGUUAAAUGUUCUUUAUAUUUCCAAAAAAAUCCUUCUCUCUUGCAAAAUGUAAGUGGAGUAUGGACAUCCCUCUCCUGUGAGGGGUUAUUUGUCUGGGCAUGUACUUCAUAGAAUUCAUUGUAAUAAUGUAAGUCCCAAUCAUGUAUAUCUGAUUGUAAAUAUCAGUGUAAUAUCUCUGCUACAAUAAGCAGUUGUUGUAAAUAUCUGUCUGAUGAUUAAUCAGUAUUCAAAAAAAAAAAAGUAUCCACAAAUCAUGAACUCAUUUUUUAGUUCUUUCAUGUGUACUAACAUUCGUACAAAUAUACAAUAAGUUCAUAAUUUAGUCCAAGUUGACGAGAAAUUCUUGACCCACCCCUAAAUAUCUGUCCGCCAAUAGCGUGAAGUGGCCGGCAUAAAUUUAAAGCAGCUGGGACAUUGUAACUCAUCCAAAGAUUGUAUAACAUCUCUUUUUUGCUUUAUCGUUUUUCUCCAGUUGCAUAGUUUCUUAUCCUACCGCUUUAAAAACAAUUAUUCCUAGAAAUUUUCAUUUAUCUAAUGAAUUUUAAGAAUUUUUUCAGCAAACAAUUUUUACUUUUUUUUUUUUUUAUCAUUGAUGGGUAAAGAAAAUAUUAAUGAAAAAUGAGGAGUUAUUGGCUGGUUCAACGGAUUAAUUGCAAUGAUAAAUACAGGGAGGAUUGGAUUAUAUGGCAAAUUUUUAUAGUAAAUGUAAUAUAUAUGCUAACACUUUUUAUUUAUGGCAAAAUAUCUUCCUCUUUUGAGACUUUUCCCUCUAAGAAAAUUGGAGGAUACGACAAUAUAUAUAUAUAUAUAUAUACUAAUAUUUAUCAUUUAUAGAAAAGUAUCUAUCCCACUUAAGAUUUGCCCCACUAGAAAAGGAAAAAAAAAUCCCUCAAAAUAAAAGAGCGAAAUGGAAACAGAACAAAAUUUGAUUUUGUGGAUCUUGUAUUGUGUGAUAAGUCCGGCAUGCAAUUUUGGGCCAGCUUACCGUGCGCAUGGGAGCAUUCACAAAGUAUCUCUCGUCACUAUCGAAAACUUUUAACAGUCAAUACAAAUGCUUCCGUUUCAUCCCAUAAACAAAUAAAAUUCACAUCUGUACACAUCUACUUUGCUUUGCUAGAUAGAGUUCCUCUGCAUUUCCCAAUUGCCUAAAGAGAAGGGGAAAAGAAAAAGAGGGCCAAAAAAUGCCUGAAAUGGUAAGGAACAAGCAAGUGAUAUUGAAGGACUAUGUGUCUGGUUUCCCAAAAGAAACAGACAUGUACAUGACCGAAAGUUCCAUAGAAUUGAAGGUGCCAAAAGGUUCAAAUGGGGUUCUUUUAAAGAACUUGUACUUGUCCUGUGAUCCGUACAUGCGACCAAGAAUGACCUACAUCGAAGGAUCUUAUGUUGAAUCCUUUAAACCUGGCUUGGUUAGUGCACUCGCUCAUGGCCACGCUUUUCAUUUCCAUGGCUUCUUGCUCUUUUGUUAUAGAAAAUUUAUUUUUGGUUGCAGUUUGGUUCGACUGCUAAAAUCUCGUGCGAUAAUUGUAUAAGAUAUCUAGAGUUUGAACUUCUUUCACAUUAGGGUUCAAGGAAGUUAACUUAAAUGAUUUUCAAAAUUUUAAAUGUGUACCAAUGAAUUUAAUUUCAUAGCUUAAACUUAUUGUUUGAUCAUACUCUAACUUUGGACAGGAAAAUUAUAUUUUUCCUUUUGUUCUUUGACUUCGUGUAUGUUGUGUGAAGUACUUGUGCUUGAAAAUGAAUUGCUGACACAGAAAUUUCUAUGAAUGCAUGCAGCCCAUAAGUGGAUAUGGGGUGGCUAAAGUUUUGGAUUCAGAGAAUCCAGAGUUCAACAAAGGUGACUUGGUUUGGGGAAUGACUGGAUGGGAAGAGUAUAGUCUCAUUACGGCUCCACACUUGUUUAAAAUUCAGCACACAGAUGUGCCUCUUUCUUACUAUACUGGAAUCCUCGGUAAACUUUUUGUUUGCGCAAUUUAUGUGAGCAAAUUGUGUCUUCUUUUUCAUAUGUAAAUGUUUUUGAUAUCUUGAUGUGAAGGUAGAAAAUUGCAUGUUUUGAGUUUUUGCAUAUUUGAUGGAAACACAGAACCGUACCUGAAUAUUUCAGAACCCCCUUUUCUUUGAAGUUUGAACACUUUUCUUGAAUGUAUCAACUUUAUUUAUGGGAUAUGUUGCCAAAUUGGCAAAUCUAUUCGUUAUAAAACUUUCCUUUGACAGUUUAAUCUAAGCAGAUGUUAAUUCUGCAAAUAGAGUGUGCCUUAGUUUAGAUUGAUAGAUUUGUCUCCUUCUGUACAGUAAAAACUUUGAGCAUUUUCGCCAUAUUCUGAUCAAUACACUCCAACUAGUUAGUUCUUGAGGCGUUUCCUGGUUUCGUGGAGUGAGCCAAGAUGUAUACGUUUGCAAAUUGGCAAUGUCUUUUGCUUGAUGUGUUGUGAGUUGUGAGUGUCAAUAGGAAAGUUUCAAAGUGCGCAGUGCUCACUUGAGCACCCAUAUUACUUGGUGACCUGUUGCCUCAGCAAACAAGACCUCUGUUUUAUGAACUCCAAAAAGUUAUUCUGUUAAAAAGAUCGAGACAGAGGCCAUACUAUAUUUAUUAUUGCUAUAAAAGUGUCAAACAAUAUUCUUUAUUUAAUAUUCUAAACGAUUGAGCCAUUUAGUUAUGAUACUCUGCUGUACUGGGGCUAAUAAUCUAAGUCGGUUCAAAGUGGUAAAUUUAUAAAUUGAUAGGUAUGCCUGGUAUGACCGCUUACGUUGGAUUUUAUGAGGUCUGCUCUCCUAAGCAUGGAGAGUGCGUCUUCAUAUCAGCAGCAUCUGGUGCAGUUGGUCAGCUUGUGGGGCAGUUUGCAAAGUUAUUGGGUUGCUAUGUCGUCGGAAGUGCUGGAAGCAAAGACAAGGUAUGUAAUCUGUGUGAACUACUUGAUUGUUUCCAUGUUACUUUCAAACAUUUAAAUUAAAAAGGAAAUUUUCAUAAUCUUGCCUUUUCUAUGAUUUUCAACACCAAGGUUGAUCUACUGAAGAACAAGUUUGGGUUCGACGAGGCAUUUAACUAUAAAGAAGAAGCUGAUUUGAAUGCAGCAUUGAAAAGGUUAGCAUCAAUAAAUGCCUUAGCUUGAUGCAGCUUGAUGAAGUAUGAUACACAUUUCUGACCAAUAUACUGCGUUCCCUGAUCUCUUACUUGAAAUAUCUUGGUUUGAGAAUCUCAUGCCAAUGCCUUUAACAUUUUGGCAGGUACUUUCCUGAAGGAAUUGAUAUAUAUUUUGAAAACGUUGGUGGAAAAUUGCUUGACGCAGUGCUACCCAACAUGAAAAUCCGUGGUCGAAUUGCUGCAUGCGGUAUGAUCUCACAGUACAAUCUUGACAAGCCUGAAGGUGUGCACAACUUGAUGUAUCUUGUUUCGAAACGGCUUCGAAUGGAAGGAUUCAUUGUUCUGGAUCACUAUCACCUCUAUCCAAAGUUUCUGGAAAUGAUCAUUCCUCACAUCAAAGAAGGGAAGCUUGUAUACGUCGAAGACAUGGCUGAAGGUCUGGAGAGUGCUCCGGCAGCUCUCAUCGGUCUAUUCUCUGGCCAGAAUGUUGGGAAACAGGUGGUUGCUGUUGCUCCUGAAUGAAGAACAAGUUAGUGUUGUGUGUUCUUUUACCCUUUGACACAAAACUUCAAUGUUAAAGAGAGAAUGCUGCUCAUACUGCUUUAUAAAAUAAUCAAAUGAGUGCAAGUUUCAUGAUAUGUGCUGAAUAAAAAUAUUGGAAAUUAAGCAGCUAGCCUAGCUCCUUCUUGUAGUUGCAGUUUGAAUGAUGCUGCUGCACAACUGCUGCCGAAAAAAUCCUUAAUAGAUGAUUAGCAAGGUUUCAAAAAUAAAAAUAAAUGUUUGUGCAAUGUGCCGAAUAUGACAGCCACAAAGAAAGAGCAUACAAAUUGACUGGUUUUAUGUCUUCUCUAGGAGAAAGCUACAAUACAAGAAAUUGUAUUGAUGCCAUGGACCAAAUUUCUUAUUUAAACUUUUAAUUUUUUUUUAUUAAAAUUACUUAUGUUAUUAUGGUUUAUAUUUUUAGAAAUUCUUUAGAAAUUAAUACAGAACUAGUAGCAAGUUGAGAAAUCUAAUGAAUGGUCGAGAUAUGAUCAUGUUUAUUGAAUUAAAUUGACAAUCAUCAUUUUGAUAAAUUAUUGUUAGGAUAUUUGAUUCAUCACAGGUGUAAGUAACUAAAUGUGCUAAAAAAAAAGUUAAUGAGUUGUGAGUGUUUGAUAUUCGUUUGUUGUAAUUCUUUUAAUAAUUGUUGUGGGAAAAAAAUUAUGGUAAAAAAAUUAUAAUUAUAAAAUAAAAAUUAAUAAUAUAUUAUAAAUAAAAUUUUUAAAUAAUAAUUUUAAUAAAAUAAUAAAUAUAUUAUGAAUUUUUCAUUAUAAAUUUUUAAGUUAAAAUAAUAAAUAUUUAUUAAAUAUUUUAAUAGCACAACUUUUAAAUUAUAACAGUACAAUGUAAAUACCAGAGGUCUUAAAAAAUAAAAUUACAGUCAAGUUUUAAAACUGUUAAUAAUGCUAUUCAUAAAGGCGCUCGUCGUGUAAACAACACAUGGGACCCAACCAAUAAAUGUUUAUGAUCCUCAACUUUCCUCCUCACCGUCCCUGCAAACAAUUCUGAUUUUCUUGUCUGAGAAAAAAACUGAGAAACAAUGGCGGCCGAACAAGAAGCUGUGAGCAAUAAGCGGGUGAUUCUAAGCAACUAUGUGACAGGUUUUCCAAAAGAAUCGGACAUGAAGAUAACAUGUGGAUCAAUAAAACUGGAGGUAGCAGACGGUUUAAAAGACACGGUGCUUUUGAAGAAUCUUUAUAUUUCUUGUGAUCCUUACAUGCGAGAGCGUAUGAGCAAGCUUGAUAGACCUUCUUUUGUUGAUUCAUUCCAUCCUGGUGAGGUUAGUUCAUCACGACCCAUCUCUUGAUUUUUUUUUUUUUUCAUUUGCUUCAAGUUUUGAUGAGUUUCUGAGGUCAUUUGUACGGUUUUGGAAUGUGAACACUAUUAGUGAUUUUGGGGCUGUAACUGUCAUUAAUGAUAUGUAGUAAUUCAAUCAGAAUUUGGAUUUAGUGCUGAUAUGAUCUCUGCUCAUUUUUUAAAAUCUUGUGUCCAGAUGCAUUUUUAUAAUCUUGUACGGUUGAGAUUGUAAGUAGAUUAAUCUACGUGCAGUAUUCUUGUCUAAUGACUACUAACCACAACCUUAUGAGACGAUCGAAACCAAGCUCAGAUCAAUAAUCCAAUUGAGAGAGGGUCCUAACUCAAGCUUAUCGUGUGUAGGAAUAUUUCGGUUAAAUUGUAAUUCUUUUAAUAAUUGUUGUGAAAAAAAAAAAGUUAUGAUAAAAAAAUUAAUAAUUAUAAAAUAAAAAUUAAUAAUAUAUAAUAAAUAAGAUUUUUAAAUAAUAAUUUUAAUAAAAAAUAAUAAAUACAUUAUCAGUUUUUCAUCGUUAAUUUUUAAGUCACAACCACAAAUAUUUACUAAACACUUUAACACCAUAAUUAACACCACAACUAUUGAAUUAUAACUGUACAAUCUAGACGCCAAGAGGCCUUAGUAUGAAAAAAAAAAAUUACAGUUAAGUUAAAAUUCAUCAUACAGAUGUGCCACUUUCAUACUAUACCGGGAUCCUCGGUAAUGAUUUUUGUUACACAAUAAGAUUUGCUUAUAGUAAUAUCAAUACAUAUGCUGCUUAAAUGCUUUCUGAUUUUUUGCCGGCCAUUGUCCAUUUUGCCAGGGAGUCUAUAAUUGAAGGAAUUUACUGAAGGAAUGCUGAUUGUUGGGAAUUUGAUUAUUCUAGGUAUGCCUGGUGUAACUGCAUACGCUGGUUUAUACGAAGUUUGCUUUCCGAAGAAAGGAGAGUAUGUCUAUGUAUCUGCAGCAUCUGGAGCUGUUGGUCAGCUUGUUGGACAGUUUGCAAAAUUAGCUCGUUGCUAUGUUGUUGGAAGUGCAGGAAGCAAAGAAAAUAUAGCACCGUGCCUUCUAGCAGAAUUUUACUUGCUUUAUGUUCCAACUAAGCAUCCAUAUUUGAUCAUGAUAAUUAGCAAGGUCAAUAAUUUUUUUUUGACUAUUUUUUCAACGUAAGGUCGAUUUGUUGAAGAACAAGUUUGAACGAUGCUUUUAACUACAAGGAAGAGCCUGAUUUGGAUGCAGCACUCAAAAGGUCAGCUGCAACAAACGUUUCAACUCUAAUAUUUCAUUUUAAUAUUACAGAGCUUUGGUUGAAGUGUGUGAGUUGAUCCCAGAAACGUAACUUCAUCAGUGUCUCUGUUUUCAAAAAACAGGACAAAUAGAAAUCUGAUUUUGCUUUAAAAUUUCCCAGAUGCUUCCCUCAAGGAAUCGACAUAUAUUUCGAAAAUGUUGGGGGAAAGAUGCUGGACGCAGUGCUACUCAACAUGAGGCUCCGGGCCGCAUUGCAGUAAGCAGUAUGAUCUCACAGUAUAACCUGGAAAAACCCGAAGGCGUUCACAACUUAGAGCAACUGAUCGGGAAACGGAUUCGCCUGGAAGGAUUUCUAGCUGGUGAUUACUAUCACCUCUAUCUGAAAUUCUUGGAACUGGUCAUUCCUCCAAUCAGAGAAGGAAAGAUGCUGUAUGUGGAAGACAUGGCCGAAGGACUCGAGAAAAUUUCUCGUAACUGCUACACAUUAAACGCGUUUCACAUUUCCACUCUCUUUCUAUAAAUAAAUACGCACAUAAAAUUUCUCACCAUCCAAAAACAAAAUCUACAUAAAAAAUGGCGGGUGAAGAAGCAGUGAGCAACAAGCAGGUGAUUCUGAGCAACUACGUGACAGGGUUUCCCAAGGAAUCAGACAUGAAGAUAAUAACAGGCUCAAUAAACCUUAAGGUGCCAGAGGGUUCAAAAGACACAAUGCUUUUGAAGAAUCUUUAUCUUUCUUGUGAUCCUUACAUGAGAGGACGUAUGAGCGAGCUUGAUAAGCCUUCGUUUGUUGCCUCAUUCGAGUCUGGCGAGGUCAGUUACUUCAAUUCCCAUCUCUUGGUUUCAUAAUCUUUUAUGGUUUUAGAAGGUGUUUUAGGGAAACAUUGUGGUUUUGGUUAGUGGGCAUGAGUCUUUGAAGAGAUUAUAAUGUGUAGGACUAUGCAUGCAAUAAUAAGCAUAGGGGAUCUUGUUAGGAGAAGAUUCUCUUAGCAAAAUAAAAACUUUUAUCUUAUCAAAACAUAUGCAGGGAACUUAGUUAUGAUGUCAUGUUAGCAUUAUCUCUGAGGAUUUGAUUUCUUGAUGGGGAAAGGGGAAUUUAAGGUUACAUUAUUCAGCAAUGUUUUUUUUUUAAAAAAUUAUGUUCAAAUUAUGCAGCCUUUAAGCGGAUAUGGAGUGUCCAAAGUGUUGGAUUCCACGCCUCCAAAUUAUAAGAAAGAUGACUUGGGUGGCGUUUGUUUUUUAACUUAAUGACUUAAAGUGACUUAACUUAAUUAAUUAAGUUAAUUAGAGAUGUUUGUUUUUAUAACUUAAUGUGACUUUUUAAAUAAUUUUGACUUAAUAAAAUAAGCCAAUUUUAUUUACUUUUUACUUAAUAGAGACAUCUGAAUUAAGUCAAGUACUUUCUAAUGUCAAAAAUAUACAUGCUUUAUAAUUUAUUUUUCAUGUCUAUCCCAAAACUCACCCAUAGACAUUUACCCCACAUAAUAAUCUCAUCAUUAUUUUUUUAGCCGUCAUGAAAUCCCUCCUCACUUUGGUAUCAACUCCUCAACUAUUGAAGAUCAAAAUUACAUGCGACAACUUCGAGAUGAAUGGCAAAUCAACUGUUUCAAGCAUCUUAUUCGUUUUUUUUCUUUUUUAUAUUAUAUACGAUAAAAUUUGAAAUUUAUGGUAUUUUAUAUAUUAAAAUUCCAAAAUCAUUAUAUAUUCACUUGAAUAUAGUUUUACUUAUAAAUGUUAAAAUAUUGUGAUAUUUAAUAUAUUAUUUAUUUGACAUUCAAAUUUAAUAAGGAUACAAAUGUAAAAGUACAUAUUUUUCAGUUUUUUAAGUUGAAAAAAGCAAACAACUUAAUAAUUAUUUUUCGAGAUUCAGACGAAAAAACAAACAUAUUAUUCAGAUUCAGACAUUCAGAUCUAUUCAGAAUUUAGACUAAUUCAGGUCUAUUCAGAUUUCAGAUAAAAAAACAAACGCCACCUUGGUCCGGGGCUUAACCAGUUGGGAGGAGUUCAGUCUCAUCCAAUCACCACAACUUCUGAUUAAAAUUCUGGAUACAAGUGUGCCUCUGCCAUAAUUAAUUGACAGGUUGCUAUGUUGUUGGAAGUGCCGGAAGCAAAGAAAAGGUGAGUUUGCACCCUUAACCCUUACGCUCUAAAUAAAAACAUAACACCUUCUGAAAGAAUUGUGCAUAGAGAAUUUUGCAUGUCACAUUAUUUGUGUUCUAACUAAUCAUGGAUAUUUGAUCAUUAGUCUAACUAAAACUGACAUAUUACCACCUAGUUGACUGGUCUUUGAGAAAUGUUAGUUGAUAUAUGCUUGAAAUCAUACUUGUUUUAUUAGAUGAUUAUAUUAACCUGCUUCUUUUUCUUUGUGCUGUUUCUCGUUUGAUUACAUUUUCAACAUUAGGUCGAUCUAUUGAAGCACAAGUUUGGGUUUGAUGAUGCCUUUAACUAUAAGGAAGAGCCUGACUUGGAUGCAGCUCUUAAUAGGUUAGCACGAAUGAAUGCUUUAACCAUUUUUCUCACUUCAUUAUUACAAUGCGCUGAUUGAAGUAAUCAGUGUUGGCUCUGAAAAUGUAACGUAUACUUCUCUGUUUUCAUAAAACAGGACAAACAGUGAUCAGUGAUCUCAUUCGUUACAUUGAUAUUUUCUACCAUUGCCAUACAUAGUAUAAACUAGGAAUUCAGUUGCUUAAUAGAUAUUCAUUUCAGAGGGAAAUUUUCACUUGCAGCUAACAGAAUCAUGUUUGUGAUGUAUGUUUAUUUGGGAAAUGAAAGGAUUUGUUGCAUUAUUUUAUUCCAAGUUUGCUGAAAUCAUAUUUGUUUUCCCAGGUGCUUUCCUGAAGUUAUCGACAUCUAUUUCGAAAAUUUUGGAGGUAAGAUGCUUGAUGCAGUGCUACUCAACAUGAGAAUUUGUGGCCGCAUCGCUGUAUGCGGAAUGAUCUCACAGUACAACUUUGAGAAGCCUGAAGGUGUACACAACUUGAUGCAAGUAGUUGGAAAACGAAUUCGCAUGGAAGGAUUUCUUGCCAGUGAUUUCUACCACCAAUAUCCAAAAUUCUUGGAACUGGUUAUGCCGGCAAUCAAAGAAGGAAAGUUAGUAUAUGUCGAGGACAUAGCUGAAGGCCUCGAGAAAGCUCCAUCAGCCCUAGUUGGGAUAUUCACAGGUCAAAAUGUUAAAAAACAACUGGUUGUAGUUGCUCGGGAAUGAUAUGAUUACUAUAUGCUUUAAAAAGUGGACUUUGCCAUGCACUUUAAAAGCUUAGUGAAGAUGCCUUUGUCUUAUUUUUGAUACAUGUUAUGUUUGUUUGAUCAAGUUGUACUCAGCUAUAAAUCAAAGAUUCAGAACAUGUGUAUGAUACUGGUUUCUAAAUCAAUGAACGCGUUGAAAUGUUAGUGUUUUCACAGGAGAAUGCAAUUUAAUUCAUCAACAAUGUCCCAACAAGACCCUCAGAGCUGUAGCUUGUAAAGUUAAUUACGAUAUUUUUUUGUAAAGUAAAUUACCAUAUUUUUUUCUUUCCAAUAUAUUGCUUAUUUCAUAGAAAGUUUACAUUAAAGUCUCAUGUUUCUUUGAAAGGUAAGCAAGUGUGAACGUUUCAAUCUAGAGCUGGAAAAUGCAUUUCCGGGCAACUUACUUGAUACAUGAAGUUUUCAUCUCUGACCUUGAUGUUUCCCAUAGUUGCAUUCAUUUCAGCUGAUCUAUUUAAUUUUGUUUUCGAAGGAGUGACACAAAAUCUCCUUUGUUAAGGGGAGAAUUUAGAGUGGCUUUGACUGUUAGCAAAUAGCCUAAUGUAAGACUUAACCAACUUCCUGCCCUGUUGUAUGCUUAUGAAUUUUGAUAGAGCUAAGAGUUUGCAGAAGCUACUGUAUUAUUUGUCGUUAGAGGCUGUAAAAAUCAAACACAUUUAAAUUUCAAUGAAAAUUUACUGGAAGUAAAUUUCCUAUGAUCCCACAGGUGACUAAUUAAUGAGAACUUGACAAUGACAAAAGAAAGUCUAUGAACUUUGCAGGCUGGCAUGCCAAUAUUGACUGGGUGGCACCAUCCACCAUCUGCAAGUGAAUAUCAUUGUUGUUUAAUCAACAAGGUGGAGUCCACUGGGACCACACCACAUCGUCAGCCUUAUCUCUAUUCCUCAAUUUUCAGUAUUCCAUACAUCAAACCAAUUUCAGUUUUGUUAUCAAUUAUAAUUUUAUUGUUGGUGACGAUUCUGAUUCCUUUCUGACAAAAGGGAACCAUGGCUGCUGCUGGAGAGAUCUUACUCAACGCCUUCUUUCAGGUACUGUUCGACAGGUUGGCUUCUCGUAAUUUGCUCAGCUUUGUGCGUCAACUCCAAGGCGGGGUUGAUUCGGAGCUCAAAAAGUGGGAGAAAAAGCUGAAGAUGAUUCGGGCUGUGCUCUGCGAUGCAGAGGAGAAGCAACUGACUGACGAGGCUGUGAAGAUGUGGCUGGACGAACUCCAAGACUUGGCUUAUGACGCUGAGGACACUCUUGAUGAGUUUGCUACUCAAGCUUUGGAAAGCAAGUUGAUGGCGCAAAAUCACGAUAGUUCUGGCCAGGUUCUCAGUUUCAUCCCGGCUGGUUUGAAUCCGAAUGCUAUUAUGUUCAAUUAUAGCAUGGGGUCCAAGAUGAAAGAUAUUACUAGCCGGCUGGAGCAACUCUGCCAAGAAAGAAUUGAACUUGGACUGCAACGGAUUACCGGAGAGGCAUCAUCAACUGCUGCUGCUGCACACCAGAGGCCACCCAGUUCGAGUGUCCCAACAGAACGUGAAGUAUUUGGAAGAGAAAAAGAUAAGGCCAAAAUUCUUGAUAUGUUAUUAGCCGAUACCAUAAGUGAUCAUGCUAACUUUGUUGUAAUACCCAUUGUUGGCAUGGGUGGGAUAGGAAAAACAACUCUCGCUCGGGAGGUUUACAAUGACAAAGCCGUUGGAGGUUCCAAGUUUGAUGUAAAAGCAUGGGUUUGUGUAUCUGAUGUCUUUGAUGUUUUGGGCAUCUCAAAGGCACUUCUCGAGUCAAUCACCCGCAGGCCUUGUCUUCUAAACAGUUUAAAUGAAGUGCAGGUUGAAUUGAAAGUAGCUGUGGAUAAGAAAAGAUUCUUGCUGGUCUUAGAUGAUGUUUGGAACGAGGACUACAGCUUGUGGGUAGACUUAAAAGCUCCGUUCCUGGGUGCUGCACCAAACAGUAAGAUGAUCGUCACCACACGCAAUUCAAAUGUUGCAUCAACAAUGGGACCAAUUGAACAUUACAAUCUCAAGAGUCUGUCAGAUGAUGAUUGCUGGUCCAUUUUCAUAAAGCAUGCAUUUGAAUCUAGAGAUCUUAACGCACAUCAAAUUUCAGAAUCAUUCCGCAAGAAAGUUGUUGCCAAGUGUGGAGGCUUGGCCCUGGCAGCAAAAACACUCGGAGGCCUUCUGCGUACGACGAGGCAUGAUGCGUGGGAUGAUAUAUUAGAGAGCAAAAUAUGGGAUUUACCUCGACAAAGUGGGGUUCUCCCAGUAUUAAGAUUGAGUUACCAUCAUCUUCCUUCUCAUUUGAAAAGAUGUUUUGCUUUUUGUGCCAUCUUUCCAAAAGAUUAUGAAUUCACUGAGAAGGAGCUGACUUUCUUAUGGAUGGCUGGAGGUAUUAUUCGACAGUCAAGAAACAAUGAGCAGCUGGAAGAUUUGGGCAGCAAGUGCUUUGGUGAUCUAGUGUCGAGGUCAAUUUUUCAGCAAACAGCAAGCUCUGAUAGUUCUAAAUUUGUAAUGCAUGACCUUAUUCAUGAUCUUGCUGAAUUGGUCUCUGGAGAAACCAUAUUCAGGUUAGAGGAGGCCAAUACUCUGUCAAGAAGAUUUGAAAGGGUUCGCCAUUCUUCCUAUGCUUGUGGUGGAUGUGAUGGUAAAAAUAUGUUCGUGGUUUUCAAUGAAAUUGAACAUCUACGAACAUUCUUGCCAUUACGCUUACGCAUAAGAGGUGGCUCUAAUACUAGUUACAUAACUCGUACGGUUCUAUCUGAUUUGCUGCCGAAGUUCAAAAUGUUGAGAAUGCUAUCUUUACAAGGAUACCGUAUUGGUGAGUUACCAAUUCCAUUUGAAGAUUUGAGACUACUAAGGUUCCUCAACCUUGCUGACACUGACAUAAGAAGUUUACCUGAGUCAACAUGCAAAUUGCUGAACUUGGAAAUUUUGAUAUUAAGAAAUUGUUCCUAUUUGAUAAAGCUUCCGCAGAAAAUGAGGAAUUUGAUCAAUUUACAUCACCUCGAUAUAAGAGGUGCGAAGUUGCUGAAGGAGAUGCCAUUCGGAAUGAAAGAGUUGAAGAAGCUUCAAACAUUGUCCAAUUUCAUCGUGGGCAAGGGCGAAACUGCAUCUGGUUUGGAAGAUUUAAAAUGUUUAAACUUUCUUGGUAAUGAACUUUGCAUUGCUGGAUUAGAGAAUGUGAAUAAUCCACAGAAUGCAAGAAGAGCCGCAUUAUGCGAGAAGCUCAAUCUUGAAGCAUUGACUCUAGAAUGGGGGUCUCAAUCUGACAGUCCUCGAGAUGCAGUACCAGAAGAGAAUGUACUUGACACUCUACAGCCGCAUAAACGUAUAAAAGAGCUGGCAAUCAGACACUAUGGUGGUGCAAGAUUUCCACUUUGGAUCGGAGAUCCUUCAUUCUACGAGAUGAAGGUCCUUAAAUUGGAGAACUGUGACAAUUGUGUAUCUUUGCCGUCGCUUGGCCUGAUGAGUUCACUUAAGCACCUUGCUGUUAAAGGGCUGAAGAAACUAAAAAGCAUAGAGUCUGAGGUUUAUGGGGAGGGUUUCUCAAUGCCUUUUCCGUCACUGGAGAUUCUAAGUUUCGAGAAUUUGCCAGAAUGGGAGCAUUGGGACACCGAGAUCAAAGGAAAUGCGCCUGUUGAUUUAUUUCCUCGUCUCCAAGAACUUUCCAUUGCAGAAUGUCCCAAACUCUCUGGACAACUGCCUGAGCUCCUGCCUUCCUUGAAGACACUUGUUGUUAGUAAAUGUGAAAAGUUGGUAGUUCCAUUGUCUUGCUAUCCAAUGCUUUGCAGAUUAGAAGUUGAUGAGUGCAAAGAACUAGUCUGCCGGACUCCGAUUGAUUUUAAGUUGAUAAAGUCCAUGACUAUUUCAAAUAGUUCAUUAGACAUGAAUGGACGCAAGGGGAUGUUAUACGAUGGUCCAGCUGGCUCUUCACUGCCAAACCCCAUGACUACUACAAAUGUUUUAGAGUUUGGAAAAUUAUUGAAGCCUGGAUUUCAGAUAUUCGAAACUUUGGUAAUUGGCAAUUCUGAACAGCUCAAGUUAUGGAGGCAGCAUGGGGAUUUUCCGAAAAAAUACAUGGUCACUGACCAUGGGUUCAAGAAACCAGUACGAGGGCUGAAUAUGCUCGCUUCCCCUGAAGAGGUAACAAUUGAAGAAAGUUGCGUACGUCUUGUUUUGAUUCCAGAGAUCAAUUUCCUUCUCAGAAAUCUGCGCUCUCUUAUAAUUAACAACAGCACUGCUUUCAAAUCCUUACCCGAGGAAAUGAUGGAAAACAAUUCACAACUCGAAAGAUUGUAUAUCAGAGAUUGCGACUCUCUAAUAUUCAUCGCAAGACGGAGGCUACCAGCAUCUCUUAAAAGGUUUGAGAUAGGAAAUUGUGAGAAAUUGCAACGUCUGUUCGAUGAUGAAGAGGAUGCUUCUUCUUCUUCUUCUCCUUCAUCCUCGUCUUCCCCAGUGAUGCUGCAACACCUGAGUAUAGAGAACUGCCCAGAGCUCACCAGUUUAUCAUCGGGUGUCCAAUUCCUUGAGGCGCUUGAAGACCUCGUGAUACAGCAGUGUCGAAAGCUGGAGUCAAUACCGGAUGGCCUGCCCAAUCUUAAAUGUUUACAGAGCAUUAAUAUACGGGAAUGUCCAAGUCUUGUUUCCUUAACAGAAAGAGGGCUUCCCAACACCAUUUCAUUUGUUUACAUUUGCAGAUGUGACAAGCUCGAAGCCUUGCCCAAUGAUUUGCACAAACUCAGCUCUCUUCGAGAAUUAUUCAUACAGCUCUGUCCAAAUCUUGUAUCGUUUCCAGAAGAAGGUUUUCCUACCAAUCUAACAACACUUGUAAUUGGAGAUUUCAAAAUGUAUAAGACACUCGUCCAGUGGGGGUUGCACAGGCUUACCUCUCUUAAACGCCUCUGGAUUGCUGUACGUGAUGAUGAAGCAGAGUGUUUUCCAGACGAGGAGAUAGGAAUGACGCUGCCCACCUCUCUCACUGAUCUGCACCUUUUUGAUUUCGAAAAAUUGAUAUCUCUGUCUGCGACGGGUUUUCAGAGUCUCACCUCUCUUCAGAGUUUGUGGAUCGGGAAUUGCCCGAAUCUCACAUCAUUUCCAGAGGUGGGCCUUCCAUCCUCACUUUUGGGCUUAGACAUUAGAUAUUGUCCAAAGCUUAAAACAGCGUGCAAAAGAGAUGAAGGAAAAGAGUGGUCCAAAAUUGCUCACAUCCCUCACGUUGAGAUAGACGGUAAAUUCAUAUACGAUCCAGAAGCAGAGGAGUAGGUUCUACUAUUAAGGUCAGUUGAUUUGUAUUAUCCGCUAUAACAAGCUCCUCCUUUUUUAUUUUUUUUAAAAAUAAUAAUUUUGCAGUCACUCACGUGAUUCCGUUUUCACAAGUCAGAUUGUAUGUUGAGGCUAUUUGCCUUUUAAUCGCAGAUUAAAUUAUAACACUUAUCUUAAAAUUUAAUACCAUACACAGAUAGACGAUUUUUUAAUCCAAAGUUUUUUUUAUUCACUUCAGUUAGCAUUUUUUUUUUCCCCAAAUCAUGCAAGCCGAGAGUUUCAAUCAAGAAUUGGAGGAUGUGAAUGGGAUUUUUGUGAAAGAGUAACAUAAUGGAUGAACGAACAUUUCAUAUGUGAUCUCAAAGUCAACAGAAUUUUAUUCACUCGUUGACUUUUCAACUGCUGUGGUUAUUUAUGGGUGAAAGAUAAGGGCAAUUACAAAAAAUUUGCAAAAUUUGUCAAUUUCUUAGAUGGUAGAAAUUGGAGUAUAAUAUUUUGGAGCAAGCAUACUUGAAAUUUCUGUCUUCAAUAUUUUGAUGCUUUCUUAUCCCAUGCACAAAAGUACUAGAAAAAACUAAUAACAACUAACCGAAAAUCCCAGGCGUCAUAUUCCUUUUUACCGCGUUUUAAAAUGCACAACAAUGAUAUUCUUACAAAUUUGCAAAAUUUGUCAAUUUCUUAGAUUUCAGAUAUUUUAAUGCUUUUUUUAAUUUUUGAUCUAGUAAAAAUACAUAGCCUUCACCGGCAGGAUUCUAGUCUUGGCUUUCACCUCUCUAACUCAUCUGUUCCCAUUGGGAUUCCAGAAGCUAGAAAAAUGUGUAGUUUUCAGAUAAGGAGGCUUGUCAGUUCUCUAGUAAGAAUCCAAUGAUUUGCUUUUGAACGUCCAUCUAAUUUGUGGAUCCUUGCAUCAGAAUUUGAUCAAUCCAAAAGGAAUUGCUUUUAGACAGAAGAAGAAUAGCAGCACCUAGCCUACCCGCAAACCUGAAACUAUUAGAUUGAGGUAAAAAAAUCAUUGACCCUCACAUGUUAACUUCUUCUAGUUACUUUCGUUGGGAAAAAAAAAAACAUUUAAGGAAUUUGCAAUUUGUUGUUAGUUAUGGUAUCUGAUGUUCUUUUCUGCUUUAGCAUUUGUAGAAUCUACUGUAUUAUGUGUUGGCAGUUGCCGUAUCUGAGGUAACUUGCCUUUAUUUGUUUGCUUCUGACUUAAGGACACCAACAUUUGCCAGAGAUUUAGAGAAUCAUCUCAAAACACUUAGCAAACUUGACAAACUUCAAGAUGCACUUGCCCCCACGCCUUAUUCUCAACAACGCAAAACUUGUGAGUACACCUAUGCCUGCAAUUAUUGUGAAGUGUUCGCAAUUCUGAUGCAGAGAAAUGGUUUCUUGAUGCAAAGUAUUAAACUGUUAAGAUUUAUCCUGCAGGCUUGUUAGAUGCUGGAUACGCGAAAAGCCAACAACAUCAAGAACUGCAACUCCAAGACCAGCUUUGCGUUAAUUCAGUCAGCUGUAAUAAUGAUGCAAAUGACACUAUAUCAAGCUGGACUUAGAGACUAGUCAGAUAAAUCAUCCAUUUCAUCAACGGUUAAUGUCAUGAUGGUGGCUAUCAGAGGAAACAAAAGAUGUGUCGGAAUCUAUACAAACAUUGAGAAGCAUGAGAGGAGCUUUGAUUUUGAGUAGGGUCAAUGAACUCAUAUUGGUAAGUGGUAAUUAAAGAAACUUUGUAAGCUUAGUAGAGUUUCAGUAUUUUCUGUUUGGAGUAUAGUUGAUAAGUUGACUCUGUUUAAGAAGCCCGAUUAUAGUAGCUGACUGUAUUAACCUUUUUUUUUUUUUUUUUGGGUCUGCUGUUGUUUUUGGUUUCGAUUAUUUUUUCAACAUUGGGUUGAUCUGUUGAAGAACAAGCUUGGGUUUGAUUAUGCUUUAACUACAAGGAAGAGCCAGACUUGGAUGCAGGCGUUAAGCUUUUAAUGGGUAAGAACAAAUGAAUGCUUUAACUAUGUUUCUCACUUAUUAAAAUGCACGGAUUGAAGGCAUCUGGGUUGAUCCUGACAAUGUGAUGGAAAUACUUCUCUGUUUUCAUAUAACAGGACAAAUAGAGAUCUCUGAUCAUGCCUGAAUUUUUGUUGCAUUGAAAUUUCUACCAUUAUCAAACAUAGAAUGAACUAGGGAUACAUUAGCUUAAGACUAAAUUUUGAGAAGGAAGUUUGUACUUGCAGCCUAUAAAAUCAUGUCCAUGUUGUACGUUUCUUUGGGAAAUGAAAGAUUCUGUGUGUUCUUUUAUUUCAAGUUCACUGAAAUCACAUUUGUUUUCUCAGCUGCUUUCCAGAAGGUAACAACAUCAAUUUCAAAAAUGCUGGGGCAAGAUGUAUCAUGCAGUGCGACUCAACUUGAGAAUUCCUGGCCACAUUACCCGUAUGUCUAAUGAUCGCACAGUACAACCUUGAGAAGCUUGUAAUGAGUACACAACUGGGUGCAAGUAGUUUUGAAAUGAAUUUGCCUCAAAUGAUUUCUUGCCGGUGAUUAAUAUAACCUCUAUUCCAAAAUUCUUGGAACUGGUCAUACUAGCAAUGAAGGAUUGCAUACAUUGAAGACAUAGCUGAAGGCCUUGCGAGAGCUCUGUCAGCCCUUGUACCGGAAAACAGCUGGUCGUAGUCGCUUGUGAAUGAUAUGAUUAAUAGAUACUGCAAAAAUGAAUUGUGCCAUACAUUUUCAGCGCUCUGUGAAGAUGUCUUGGUCAUUUGUUUGAUGCUUGUUUGAUUUAUGUUGUAUUCAGCCAUAAAUCAGAGAUUCAGAACUUGGGUAUGUUUCUGGUUUCCAAAUCAAAAAAUUGCCUUGUGAUGUUAGUGUUCACUGUUUUCACAGGAGAUCAGGUUCCUUGUUAAUGAAUCAAGAAGAAGGCAAGCGCAUCCAUGUCCAAGUUCAAAUGUGUCUCCUCUAUUUUCUAUUACCCACUCAUUUAUUUUGAUUUCUUCAUUGUAAUUGAAUUAGUUUUUUAUUCCAAAUUAGUCAAAACCUCGUAGAGUCAUUAAGUUCUUUUAGCAUUUAAAGACAGAACUACGAACCAAAUGAUUUAAGUUCUUCGUUGUAAUUGAAUUUGCUUUCCCAUCUUUAAAGAUAUUAUGUUCUUUUUCACUUUUUCGAUUUGGUUAGUGGUGAUUUCUUAAAGACUCAAUCCAUUUGCGUUAAUACAUUUUUCUUUUGCCUUGAUUUCUGUUUCUUGGGGAGUUUAUACAUAUUCUUAUUUUAUGCUACACAUGCCAUAUACAGAUUCUUAUUUUAUGCUUCACAUGCCACAUGAAAGGUCAAAGCCUUGUGUGUGAUUAGAAUUUACUGGCAUCAUAGUAACUUUAAACCAUUGUGACGUUUUAGUAAUAACAGUCUGAGCUCUCCCUGAAGGAUUCAAAGCAUUUUAUUUUAUAUUAUACUCCUUUAUAUGGUUUGGCUGGUCUCUUUUAAGGCAAUUCCUGUUUAAAGUAAUCAAAAUUUUGAUUUCGAAGUGUCUUUCAACACUACCGCUAGUUCUUUAAGAAAAGUAAAUCGAUUUUGAGUCUUCUGUAUCAUCUGAUUGAAAUACAUGAAAGCACUCUUAGCUGCAAAAGUACACUUGGAGUUAUAAUAGCAUUCUGAAAUCUCCUUGAAGGAUUCAAAAGCUCUUUAUUUGCUAGUCUUUGCUUGCAAUAAACUCCUUUAAUAUACAUUGGUUGAUCUUCUUUAAAGCAAUUACCAUAAGUUCUUUAAAUAAUAAAACGAUUUUGAGUCUUCUGUAUCAUCUUGUUGAAAUACAUGAAAGCACUCUUGGCUGCAAAAAUGCACUUGGGGUUAUAUAUAAAGUCUUCAACAGAAUUUUAUUUCCCCCUUUAUCCUCAUGGUGGUUUUUUUAGUUGUUUUUUAAGAAAUCGCUUGAAGGUUCUCUUUAAAAAUAAUUUUAACAUAAGCAUUCUUUAGAAGCACUUUAGAUGUCUGGCAUUUAGAAAAUUUUGUUCCUGUGUUCACAUAAUAUAAUAUAUAUAUAGAAAGCUGACUGUAGAAUAGAGGAGAACGAGUUGGUGUUGGUCUGAACUCUGAUCUUUGAACCUCAUGUGACUCCACUACUUUUUACUUGUUCUGUACAAGGUCUUUUAGCUUUUCAAAAAGUUUUAGCUUUAUGGAUAAAAUACUGUUAAUUGUAAUCUAUAAAUAAUGAAAGGAAUUAAUAAAAUAUUAGGUAAAUUUUAUUUUCUAAAGUGUUAUGAGUUCUAAAACGGCUGUAUGUAUAUAAAUUUAUUUACACAUAUAUUUAUAAAUAUGAUUAUAUAAUAAUAUUUUAUGUGUACAUAUCAUAAUUGAUAACUAAAAUAAAUAUUUUUAUUUUAUUAAUGGUUUUUUCGUCUCAAUGUAGUUGGUAAUAAUAAUCUCUUUAGAUGUAACGAUUUUAUUUCCUAACUGAAUAAGGAAAAUUUUAGAUUUUUAUAAUAAAUGUUAAAUAUAUUUAGAAUUACAUUAAGUAUGAAAUAAUCCUCAAAAUUAGAUUUUGAAAAGUUAUUCUUUUCUUGCUUUUAAAAAUAUGUCAUAUGAUGAGAUGAUUUUACUAAAAGUGAUUUUUUUAAAAAAAAUUACUAAACAUCAAAAUUAACUCUUAACUUUUUAAAAUCAUUUCUAAUCUUCUCAUCCUAAGUUCUUUAUUGUUUUGUACAAAAUCCAAGGUUUUGACUUUUAUAAAAUGCCCACUCAAAAAUAAAUUAUUUUCUAAUUAAGAUUUGUUGUUAAUGUAUAACUCGAAGUAAUAUUAGAUAUUUGUAAUUUUAUUUCAAAAAUUUUAUUCAAAUGAUAUGGCAAGCAAUGAACAAUAGUUGAUAGCAAUUUGUUUUUUUUUUUAACAAUGUUCAAAUCAAUCAGUUGCAUUAUCUCACCAUUUUUAUGAUGUCAUGUUAUUUUAAAUGAUUUUUUUAAUUUUUAUAUAAAGCAUACGACGUGUUAACAUCAUUUGCAUAACUUGACCUUUUUUUUUUCCUACAAAUAGUAAGUCAAAUUUACUCACCCUAUUUGUACCUAAAAUCUACCUAAAACUCAUGCAUCACUGUAAAGCAAAUCCAAAGAUUGCGGUACGUUUUUCUUGGUAAGAAAUCAAUAAUUAGGUCAAGUACCGCUACUAAGCGUGCUCAAUUAAUUCUAAAAUACGGUGAUCAAACUCAUACUUCACGCAAGAGGAUAAGGGCUAAACCUCAAUUAGGCAUUAUUCAUCCAAAAUUCAUUGACUGGGCAUUCUUUGCAAGUGGUAGCAUGGGACAGCUAAGAUAAUUAGCAAAUGAUAUGGACCAUACGCACCCGUAUGUUUGUGACAUGUGAAUCUUGGCAUUAAAGGAAAGGUAAUGUGUUAAAAUUUAAUAGAGCCCAACUCUUCAUUGAAUGAUUAUCAGAUCCAACGAGCAUCCUUUGAUGGGAUUAUUUUAAGUCAAUUAUUGGUGGAUUGGGGCCCACUUGACUCUACCAAAUCGGGCUCCACCAUAUCACCUAUUAACGACCACCUGUCCUUAUCAUAAAUAGCAAAUGUCACUUGUUUUAUUUUGUAUUUUACCAAAAGCAAAGUCACUACGAGCACUAAUGAAAGUGACCCCAAUUUUGGGGGUCAUGAACUUGGGAUUAUUAUGGACACAAGAGACAAGCGCAAUGUUUCUCAUUUCUCACUAGAUAAGAUUUAAGUUAUCAACCCAAUAUUAAUAAAUUCUGCUUGAAAAGUAAAGUUUGAAGCUUCAUUUUGCGAAUAUUCAAUGGUUAACAUUUAAGGGUGCGUUUGGGAUUGAGGUUGGGCAGCUGUAGCUUAAAAGCUACAGUACUAAAGUGUUUGGUAAACACUAGCUACUGUAGCUUUUAAGCUAUGUUGAUAUAAUUUUUCACUUGUAUAAUAUAAAAUUUAUUAUAUCUUUAAUAAUUUUGAUAAAAUUAUUAUUUAAAAUUUAUAUUUACUAUAUAUUAUUAACUUUUAUUUCAUAAUUACAGCUUUUUUUUCACAGCAGCUGUAGCUUAAAAGCUACAGCACCUCAAUCCCAAACACACCCUAAGUAAUUAACCUGAUAUUAAUCCAAUUAAACUUUUUAUGUAAUCCAAGUCAAACAUAUAUUGAUAAACCUAAAUUAAUCUAAUUGGACAUAUUAUUUCAACUUGAAAAGGUGAAUCUAUCAUUUUUCAAUUAAUUUUGAAUCAAGCUAUGUAAAAUAUAAGCUUAUUAAGGACAUAUUUGAAAAAUUCAAAUUGAAUUAUUUGACAAUUACAUUUCAACUAAGUUGUACUGCUAAUUAACUUCCUCAACUUAAAAUGUAUUUUUCUCAAUUAAUUCGUAACAAAGAAUGUUAGAUGUUUUGUUCGAAUAAUAACAUUCAACAUCCUUAUUCUUUAUGAUUAUUGCAUAAAAAAUAUAUUUUAUCCAUUUACGUCACAUAUGUUCCUAAAUUGUAUAAGAAAAUCACUAAAUUUACUCUUGUAAGUUACUAUAUCAAUGAACAUGAAAUUAACUAAUCAUUAAAGUCUCGGAAUGACAUCAUGAGGGGGAUUCAGUUACAUUUAUUGAUAGGAUUAUAUAUAUACCUUCUCAAAUAUUAGUAAGAGCAAUUAAACAGAUGCAGCAAUUAAAAAUAUGGAAUUACUUAUCUCGUCAAUAACUAACGAUAUUUUUUAUCUAUGCUCGAUAGGCGUCUGAGCUAUAUUAUAAAUUGUAAUAUUUGUAGAUUGUAACAAUUAUUAAAAAAAAAAAAAAAAGCUCCCUAAGACUAAAUGACAAAAGGACUGUUUUGAAAUAGAUAGAUAAAAUAUGCCCUUAUUUGAGAAAAGGUAAAACACUAGGGAUCUAAAUGUUAUUAUAAUCCCAUGCACAAAAAUACCAGAAAAAACUAAUAACAACUAACCGAAAAUCCCAGGCGUCAUAUUCCUUUUUACCGCGUUUUAAAAUGCAACAAUGAUAUCACUACUACAAAAAUGACAUUUACUGACACUUUGUUUCUGACACUUAGUAAAAAGUGUCAGAAAUGGUGUACAUUUGGACCAUUUUCCUCCUUUAACAAGUAUGUAUCAUAAAUCAUUGAUACUAAGGUGUCAGUAGCUUAAAACUCAGUGAUUAUUGAUACUAAAGCAUCAGUGAUAAAAAAAUAAUAGUAUUAAUUUUGUUUUAAUUUGAACUCGAACUCAAGAUCUCUAAACUUAAAAUUUGUAAGUUUAGAGUGCAAACCAUUGAUGCAAGUGUUUUUAAAUUUUCAAUUUGAUUAAUUUUUUUAUUUAAUUAAAUUUUAUACAAUUACUUUGUGGACAAUAAUAAUAAUAAUAAUAGUUUUGAGAAUAAUAUUUUUUAUUUUGCCACAUGUCAGCUUGUAAUUCGUUGUUAAUAAUAAUAAUUUUACUUGACCACGUGUCGACUUAUAGUUUGUUGUUUUAUUAAAUUACAAUGCGAACAACUACACUAUAUAAUUUUUCAAAGUAUAAAAUGAAAAUAAGAAACCCUAAAUCUAACCUAAUCAAACACACCACUUCUUAAGUUGCUGCCGCCGCUCCCCUGCUCCUUGACUUUCACUGCUGCCGGCCGCUGCUCCUCGACUUUCACUGCUGUCGGCUGUCGUUCCUUGACGUCACUGCCGCCUUUGCUCUGCUGUUGCCAAGCUUCAGCCACCGACGACUAGCUAGCCACCUUUCAGUACGUCGCUGCUACCACUUUUAUGCCGUCACAUCAACUUCAGCUCAGCCAGCCACCGUUCCUUUACCGCCGAGAUCAAGAACCAUUUCUUUCUCUUCUCUCUUUUGGUACAGGUAUGAAAAUAUUGCAGAGGAGUUAAUCUGUUAAUUACCUUUCUGUACGUCGCUGCUGUCAUUCGUGUACGUCAUUGCUGCUACUCAUCUUGGUCACUGCUGCCGCUCCUCUGCCGCCACGACAAGCUUCAGCCUUUUUGACAAAACAUUUCACUUGGAAUUAUAAGCAAACCCUUUUGAGACCAUAAAAAACUAAGCCAAUUUCUUUGGUUUCAAGGCCUUGUUUUUUCACUUUGAAAUCGGAUCAUACAAUGACAAGCCAAUUGAAAACUUCUGUUCAAGAUUUCAUUGUUAAAUUCAGCUUUAUUUUUAUUAUUUGUGUUCCUUUCAUUUUCUUUCCCUUUUUUUGAUUUUUAAUUCAAUUUGGGAUUUGACAGAUAUAUUUUUUAAUUUUUAUAAAAAUUUAUCUUAUUUGCAGGAUGCUAAGGGACAGGAUGUUGAUCUUAGCAUCUACAAGGGAAAGGUUCUUUUGAUUGUCAAUCUUGCAUCACAAUGGUGUGCCUCAGCUCCUUUCAUUUUUAAUUUUUUUUCCAUAAUGAUUUAUUGAUUAUUGUUGAUGCUUCCAUUUAAUUAAUGCUAAUACGUGUUAUCUAUCUAUCGGGAGUCUAAAUUUUAUAGAAUUAUAUCAUACUCGGAAGUAUGCAUGCUCCCAAUACAAAUAAGUGUUUAUAAGAGAGGAUUUCACCCAAAAUCUUUAAUUCUUGCAAAAUGCUAGUGGCUCCGUUUGCACAAGUUUAGUUUUCAUCCAUGUUCGUUCCUUUACCAUAGCGGUUCCUUUACCACUGAGGUCAGACACCAUUUCUUUCUCUUCUCUGUUUUGGCACAGGUAUGAAAAUACUACAGAGAAGUUUCUCUAUUAAUUACCUUUUAUGAAAAUAAUAUAUAUAUAUUAUUCACAUGUUUAAUUGAGAACAUCUAAUAAUAUAGUAAUAAUAUAGUGGGCAAACUAUAGGAAGGUUGUUAGUAGACAAUUCUAAUUUUAGCUUUACUUUGCAAAUGAAAGAUUAGAAAUAUUCCGUCGAACCCAUUUUACUAUAUUGGAGGUUUGGGCUAAUCUUGUAUAGAUUUUUGCUCAGAAGAAGGAUGGUUCUCCAAGGGCGGUGGGUUGGUUUUUCUAUAGACUAUUCCCCUAUUUUCCCAUUUUGCUUUUCUUUGAGGAAACCUGGUCCAUUUUUUUUGUGUUUUCUUUCUUCAAUCAAAUAUGUAUUUCUCAAUCUCCUCUCAAAAAAUACCUAUCUCAUUUUAUUAUAUGUUUAUGAAUUACUAAUUGUAUUUUGUUAGUAUUCCAUGUUCGAAGAAGAAUAUUAGAUUGAAGAAAGAAGAAUAUUAGAUUGAAGAAAGAAGAAGUUGUUCCUUUGCUAAUCGUUUGAAACCCAGGUUUGCACUGAAUCUGAUUUUUAUCUUUAACUUUUUUACUUGACCCAUACUUGAAUCAAAUUUUUGCUCCACUUUCCUUUCUUUCGUCAAUUUAAUUAUCAAUCCACUUCAAACCUAAAAAGAUUUAGUAAUUGGGAAACCCUUUUUUUUUUAAAGAAUUGCAAAGUACUGUAAUUGGAAACUGGGUUCAUGUCUUAAAAAGUAACCUGAUUUGUAAUGUUUGGCUUAUAGUGGCCUUCUAUUUCUGUUUUUCAUCUCGGCUUGGUUAAUUUCUUUACUAGUCGUUUAAAUUUUGUUAAUUUUUAUUUUUCCUCUUUAAGCUCAUUAAAUAUCUUUUUUUUUUCAAUUUAUGGCUUUCGGUCCAACUGAUCAUCGUUGAAUGUGGGCACUAUAAAUGUUAUAGUGCUUGUUAACUUAAUGUAUUUGAUCAUAUAUUAUAGUAUUGUUUACUUUAAAUUUAGACAAUGAAAUAGAUUACAAAAAAAAUAACUUAUGCUUGUCAAGUUGUAGACACCAUCGUUCAUGUCAUCAUUACUGAAUAUUGAUGUACUUAUUAAGUGUUCUCUUUAAUACUUGAUAGAAUACUUUUGGUGAAGCAAUUUUGGUAUCAUGAUUGCAGGCUGUAAUUAACUUGGGAACGUGUAGAUUCUACAAUUUCUUUUUCUGAUUCCUUAACUUGCUUCUUUUAAUCCUACUCUUCUAUGUUGAAGUAAUUUAUGAAUAUUUUUGCUUCAAAAUAACUAAGAUAUAUUUUUCACAGUAUACUAAUUGAUUUUAUGCAUUUGUAGGUGGGAAAAAAAUGAAGCCGUGGAUGGAUAUUGAGUGACCUUGUGCUUUUUUUUUUUUUUUUUUGGGUUGGAAACUUAAUUGAGUAGUAGUUAGCACUUGUUGUUUAGAGAUUGUUGAAAAUUUAAUUUGAUACUUAUGUUAAGUCUUUUACAUAUAGUGAUGUAGUUGAAUUGUGUGAAUUUAUGUGAUGUAUUUGAGAUGUUUAUUAUAUGAAUUGUGUUGCAAGAUAUUUAAUAAUAAAUAUAUUUCGUGUUUUCUUUUGGUUGUACAACAAACACGAAAAAUAUAAUUAAAAUAAAAAUAUACUAUUAACCAAAAGCAGUAUAACAUUACUAAAUACUGACACUACAUAUUUAAAAUAACAAUAAGAAUUUUUUAUAUUAUCGAGUCAGUUUCUGAUACUAUAGUCACAUAAAUUACUGACAUGUAAAUAGUAUCAUUAAAUACCAACAUCAUCGUGUCAUUAUUUUAGUGAUACUAUAGUGAAACAAAUUACUGACACAAAAAUUACUGACACCAAAAAUUAGUGUCAGUGUGUUCUGGCUUGAGCAACACUGACACAAUUAACAAGUGUCAAUAAAAGUAAUUACUGACGCUAAAUUAGUGUCAGUAAAACUCAUUUUUCUAGUAGUGUAUUCUCACAAAAGUUGGUACAAAGGUUUGUACAACCAGGGCCUCUUUGUAAAUUAUUUCAAAGUUUUGUGUUAUUUUUUAAAUUUAUGAAUUUUGUUAAUUUUGAUUGAUUGGAGCAUUUCUCCUUCCAUCUCUUCUACAUCUAUCUUUAAAUUUCUUUAAAAUUUUGACUAUAUCUUUAUAGAGUUCUAAAUGAUUAUCUUUUUCAUAAAAAUCUAUACUUAAAUUAAUCCCUGAAUUUAUAAUCAUUUGUCUUCUUUGAGUCAUAGACCAAAUUUUUUCUUCUAACAUAUCUAUAUAUACUCCUAAGCUAUCUUUGCAGCUUAGAUACAUUCUAUCAAAGCUUUCGCAUAUAAAUUGUAAUUUGAGAUCUGCAUCUUGAAUCAACAUGUCUAUAUUAUCCAUUGUUUUACGCUCGAUUUUGAGUUCUAUUAUUAGUCUUGCACAUGUCUUGGAUUAUUUCGAGGGUAGUUAAAAUUGAUUCUAUUAAUGCUAUCCUGUUUUCUUCUUCAAAAGAAUCAAAUAUUUCUGAAUCAUUAAUUUCUUUUAUUUCUUCAUACAAGCGUUUGUUUGUCGCUAAUCUUGUUUUAAUCAAGGAAACUGUAUAAGCAGCUUGAUAUUCUUGACAAAAGUCUAAAUGAUCUAUUGCAUCUAGAAAUUUAUUAAUAGAUCUUUCCAUUUUUAAGAAAUUGAGUUACUCUUAUCACUUCCAAUCUUUUAACAUCUCAGAAAACAAACAAGGCCCAACAUGCUUCCGUUUGUAGCUAAAAUAAAAGAAGAGUUCAUAUCACUAACCAGUGUAAUAUCUCUCGGAAUUCUGAGAUAGACUCACUAAUUGCCUCUAACCAUAGAGAGGUCCAUGGUUAGCACCACUAUAGCUCCACAUAUCAUACAAAAUCACUUCAACGACUGUUCCAUAUGGCCCAAAGCAACACACAGCAGACUGGCCUAAUAGGAUAUGUUUAAGUGAUUUUCUUGCAGUUGUCUCUGGAAGAGUGCUUAGUAAUAGAAAAUCUUCUUCGUUUAGUACAAGUAUUGGCAUGUAAGGUUCUUGGUUAAUUUUUAAAAGAUGUAUAAGAUAUCUAGAAGAUGAUAAUUUCACUCAAAAGAGUUUUAUUUAUUCCAUCAUUGAAAUUGUUUACAGAGGAAGGUUACAGAGAAUACAGAGGUAAUUGAAGGUUAGACAUCUGAUAUAUUUCCUUUCUUACAUGCUUUCAUUUAUAUAUCUCUCUAGAGAUAAGAUUAUUUCUUUUACAUAACACAUGUUCGAUCCUUGUGGUGGAAUCUCAAUUUCCUUUUGAUAAGGUGACCCCUUCUUUAUCAUUGAAGCUAGUAGUUGUCUUCUUUUCAUGUUGGCAGACAUGAAAUAUCUGGUUCUGGUGAGCUUUUUCUUUUUUGGAAUCUGUCUUUUUGAAUUAUUGAUACUUUUUGGAUAGCACCUUUUAUCUUUUUCAGUGGUCCUCGUCACGUGCCAAUUAUCAGAUCUUCAUCUAUAGACAUGUCUUCCCCACUAGAAUCUCUUUUUUUGAUCCUUCGUAGUAGUAGCCACAUGAUGAUUGAUGCUUUAGCACCUUAUAUAUCUCGUGGUGUGUUAGCAAGGUGGAUUCCACGAGAUUUUCGAAUAUGCCCUUUUUCUUUUCUAAUAUGUUAUCCUCAUCUUUAUCAAAUUCACAUUUACAAUAUAAUUCUUUGAAGCUACAUGUAUAUUCUUCUAAAUAACAUAUAUUACAUAUUUCAAGCCUUGUUAGCUUCAUUAAAUUUUCUAUCUGUUUUCUUUUUAUUUCUUGUUGAAAAUCAAUUUCCUAAUCUUCUCCCAAGAAUUUUUUUCUUAUUUCAUUUUUGAAUCUAUUUAAAACCUGAUCAACACUUUCGUUUCGAUUAUUAUUUUCUCCAUACAAUAUUCUAUUUUUAUGGUUAUCAUUUAAUCCCAUAAACCAAUGAGAAACAAUUCCUAUAAACGAAAUUUUAAGGAAUUCUAUACUAUUAUCCCUAUCAAUUUUGUGAAAUGCAAAAGCCAUUUUCAUAGAUUUAACCCAAGCGGUAAUCGUUUUAUCUCUAUCUUUGAUACAGUCUAAAUCUAACCAUACACCAUCAUGGUUGAUUGGUCUUUCUCUAUAUUCUCCUGGAGUUUUAUAAUCUUUUUUAGGCUUGUUAAUCCUAAAAUAUUGACCUUGUAAUCUUUCCUGAGUUGGUAUUUCUUCCCUAACAUAGGAAGCUCCAUUACUAGUUUCUCCUUGUUAAAAACCAUUUGGCUUUGAUUCAUUCAUUUUUAGAUGUUCUAUUCUAUUUUCAAUAUCCUGCAAAUUAAUGACUAUAUCACCUUCUUCUUCGGAUUCAGAUUCUUUAUUAGAUAUCUCUUGAUUAGGUAAUUCUAUGUUUUCACUUAGCAUUCUUAGACUUAUUAAUUUUUUGUCUUUGUUUAUUUUGUUAAAUAUCGGUUUAGAUAUUGUUAUCAUUUCUUUAUCUUUAAGUUCAUUAUAGUAAAUUAUGGUAUCUUGUAAAAUUUUGUUUUGUUUAUUGAUCUUCUGUACUUCAAUCCUUUUGUAAUUUUCCAUUUAUGCUUAUAGCGAAUUUAUUACCAAGUUGUUCAACAAUUUUUUCAAAUUUUUGUAGUUGGAUUUCAAUCUUGUUUGAAUUUAUUUUCAAUUGAACUUUUGUUCAUAAUAUUAAAGAUUUCUUGUUUUAAUCUAUCUUGAUCUUCAAUAUUAAAGUCUUUUAUUAAUAGCUUAACAAAAUCAAAUUCUUCACUCAUUCGCUCUCCUAUCAUUUUGACUUGUCUUAUAUUUUCAGCAUCAAAGCUUUUAAUCUCAAGUAUCUCAUUUAUACUUUCUAUAUCAUCUAUGGUUAAAUUAGGGUUUCCUAAUUUAUUUAAUAAAUAUAAUGAAAUCCAAUUUAAUUGAUUAUUUCCCCACAUAUCGGAAUCAUUUACUAAAUCAAAUGGUUGAAAUCUUCCAUAAGUAAAUCCUCUAUGCCUAUAGCUAGAAGGUGGUAAUAUGUUGGUUUCAAUAUUUUGAGAAAUUAACAAUGGUUUUGGUAAUUUAUUCAUAGUACCAUCUGCAUAAUAUCUCAUUAUAUUCUAAUAAGUAUUUAUGACAUAUAAUAUUUCUUAUAUCCUUAGGGAUAUUGUUUUAUGUUAAUCCUUUAUGUAUAUAGCAAAGUUUAUACAUAAUUAAAUCUUUAUAUCCUAUUAGCAUGUUGCUAGAAGGAUAAUAUUUACUUCUGAUUCUUUUAUUUUUCCAAUUGUAUUCACCUCGUUGUUUAACAUUUAAAAAUCCGUUGUAAUCUAUUAUAAGAUCAUCUACAUAAUCUUCAAUAGAGUUAAUAUUCCAUUGUUUCCAUGAAAAAUUAUUUCUAUAUACUUCUCUCCUGAUCCUAAAGAGAAGAAUAGGAUCAAUAUUUAAAUUUCUAAUUUUUAUUAUGAUGAGUUCUCCAAUUUUAAAUUCAUGAACUCUAACUAAAUAAAACUGUAUUAAUUGUUUAUCAUCCAAUAUAUUAACUUCUGAAUAAUAAUAUUGUUUAUGUUUUGUUAUAUUAUCUUUAAUUGUAUUUCUAUCUAUCAUUAAAUUAUAUCUUCCAUUAUUAAUGGAAUAAAUAACUGUUUCGUCUAUUUUUAUAUUUUAAACCAAAAACUUGGCUCUAAUACCGUUUUGCAGAAAUCAACUAAACCCAAAAUCCAAAUGAAUUCAAAUAGGGAUGUAUAUGAUUAAUUGUUAAGAUUUUAUCUAAAUUUUGUAAUUAUAAUUUUUCAAAACUCACAGUUUUGUGCAAUCAUUUGUGUAAUCCGUUGUGAGAAUGUCUUUUUCCUUGCAUCUAAGGCAACAAAGUGGAAAACGCGUACCAACGACUCACAUAACAAUAUAACAUCUGUCCCGGAUGGAGCCGGUUGUUCAUGUCAGCAACCUACUUUGAAACGACACGUGGACCGCAAUUUGUUCUUGUUCUCAACGUUGCUAUGAAAGAAAGCAUUUUUUUCCCCUUUUCUUCUUCAUUUUUUAAAGAAAUAUUUUACUAUAUAUUUAAAAAAAAAAAUCGUUGCAAUCUGAAGAUAUUAAAUUGUGGAUCUUGUAUUGUGUGAUAAGUCCGGCAUGCAAUUUUGGGCCAGCAUACCGCGCGCAUGGGAGCAUUCACAAAGAAUCUCUCGUCACUAUCGAAAACUUUUAAUAGUCAAUACAAAUGCUUCCGUUUCAUCCCAUAAACAGAUAAAAUUCACAUCUGUACACAUCUACUUUUCUUUGCUAGAUAGAGUUCCUCUGCAUUUCCCAAUUGCCUAAAGAGAAGGGGAAAAGAAAAAGAGGGCCAAAAAAUGCCUGAAAUGGUAAGGAACAAGCAAGUGAUAUUGAAGGACUAUGUGUCUGGUUUCCCAAAAGAAACAGACAUGUACAUGACCGAAAGUUCCAUAGAAUUGAAGGUGCCAAAAGGUUCAAAUGGGGUUCUUUUAAAGAACUUGUUUGGGAGAAAUACGUCGACGAGACCAGGCAUGGUGAGCAUAUAUCUGAUGGCAGAGUUCUGCGAACCGGUGUGUUCCGUAAAAGCCUGGUGCACGGGGGAACAGGAGCAGAAGUAUCCUGCUCGUCCACGAGCACGUCAUCCGCGAGGCCAAUUUCCUGUAAGAGGCAUAAGGUCAUUCCGGCUAGAGGUCGAGAGGCGAGGAGACCCGGUCGACGGCAGUUGGCAAGACAUGCUCCCCAGCCCGAGAAUCUAGGCACGACAGCCACGCUUUCCCCAGAACCGUGGCGUAACACGCAAGAUCUCACAGAACCACGACAGCCACGCUUUCCCCAGAACCGUGGCGUAACACGCAAGAUCUCACAGAACCACGACAGCCACGCUUUCCCCAGAACCGUGGCGUAACACGCAAGAUCUCACAGAACCACGACAGCCACGCUUUCCCCAGAACCGUGGCGUAACACGCAAGAUCUCACAGAACCACGACAACCACGCUUUCCCCAGAACCGUGGCGUAACACGCAAGAUCUCACAGAACCACGACAGCCACGCUUUCCCCAGAACCGUGGCGUAACACGCAAGAUCCCACGUUUGCCCAUAACGCAGCAGUCAGAGUCCCAUACCGUCUCGGAAAAAGCGGAAAACUGGGAUUCAGGGGAAGCCUAUAAAAAGGUAGCCAACGAAGGUAAAAGGGUUGGCAUUUUUGAGAUUAUAAAAGAAAUGAAAAAAGAAGAGAAAACGACGAGAAAGCCAUAAGAUCUGUGGCAAGUGUCCCCCGAACCUUCAUAUCUGACUUGAGCGUCGGAGGGUUUGCGCCGGGAAAACAACCGGCGUACUCUGACUUGUCUGUGUGCGCAGGAACCUCUGGAGAAGAAGCCUCACGUGGAGACCUCCUGGUCGUGAAGAAGUUGAUCGGACAGAGAUCCUGGUCGUAGAACGAGGAGAACCAGAAUCCCGCAUCAACAUUUUGGCGCCGUCUGUGGGGAGUGGAGCAAAAAGCUUCUGUUGAUAGCAAGAAGAGGGGUGAAGCAAGUGAAAAGCAAUGGAGACAGGAGGAAGUAGUGCACAAGGGGGUGAUAGGAUUAACGAUUCCGUGACGCUGAGGGAGAUAGUCAGUGAAGCACGGGAAAAAGUCAUGUUCGACCGGAUGGAACGGAUAGAAAAGCAGAUGGAGACCUUGACAACCAUCCUGCAUGAGCUGCGGAGCGAGCGAAGUAUAAUCCAAGAGGGAAGGGUGAGAGGCGGUGGAGUGGCACCAGGUCCCGAUAGUGCGGGGAGAAGUCAAACCACCGGGAGAUUUGGUGGUGAGAGAGGUAACGUACCUCUGCGGGGAGAAUUUCAUAGAGAAAGAGAGCAGUCCCCGGCAAGACAGACUGGCGACGAGGACGACGGGGUGGUGAAUGCAGAGGAAACAGAGUUGAGGCAACACUUGCAUGAUGUAGAGCAAGAGCGGGAUUAAGUCGCAGCACGUGACCCUGGUCGUGCAGUGCAGCUGGAGGAGGAAGUGCGCAGACUAGCGCAGAUAAUCGACGACAUGCAAGGAAGGAACAGAGCCCCUGGUUGGAGGAUAAUGCUGGAUGGAGAAUCACCGCUCGCAGCAGAGAUCAUGAGGGCAGUUAUUCCGAGAGAUUUCCGCCUCCCAGACCUCAGAUACUCGGGAAGAACUGAUCCGUUGGUGCACAUAGAGCGCUUCAACGACAUAACUAGGGUACAAGGAUUAUCUCAAUCCCAAAGGUGCAGAGUGUUCCCACUAUCCCUUGAGGGACGUGCACGAGAAUGGUACAGGAAACUUCCUCGGGGCAGCAUUAAAACCUUCGAGCAGAUGUGCUAGGAAUUCGCGGAGCAGUUUAGUGGGGCAAUGGCGCCGGAAGAUGACAUGAUGGAGCUGAAAAGCAUGAAACAGGGGGAGCAAGAAACCCUUCGGGAAUUCAUCAAGAGGUUUCAUCGGGCUGUCCUCGACUUGGGAGCCUUCAACCACCCUCAGGCGUUAAGGGGAUUGAAAGAAGGGGUGAAGAUAGGAAGGCUGUGGUACAAUUUGAGAAGCCCAGCUAUUCAAACGUAUGCAGCCGCAUACGAACAGGCUAAGAGAGACAUCGAGAUUGAAGAGGAGAAGGCUGCACGGAUUAAGACAGACCAGUUAGAAGGGCUGGGGAGGAAAGAGAAGAAAGCAUUACCGGGGAAUGGGCCGAUCAGGAGGAGGGACCACCAGGCCUCCGGUAGUGGAGCAGGAGGUCGGGUAGCCGCUUACCAGCCUCAUCAAAGGCCACCACAGUAUCAGCGCAGCAGGGCGCAACCUCCUCGUUCCCCAGCUAGGGAGCCUUGGAAAAGGCAUGAGUCGGCAUCUGGUGGUCUCCAACAACACCCCCACGGUAUCAGAGCGAGCAGACCAGAAGUACUUCCACCGCCCCCAACUCAGAGCGGGGCAAACAGGGAAAGAGCAGUGCACCUGAUCGACCAGAACCCGGACUAUGGGCGGUACACUUCCUUGAAGAUGUCCCUGGAUGAGGUGUACGAGGCCAUAAAGGAUCGAGGGCUGCUACACCUCCCUACACCAAUAACAAAGCUACCUAACAGGAGGGAUAGAGGACGUUAUUGUAAGUUCCAUGGCACCCAUGGCCAUACCACAGCAGAGUGUAGAGAUCUCAAGACCCAGGUCGAAGAUUUGGUGAGAAAUCGGUACCUGGACGAGUUUAUGGAUGGGACUUUCCCGAUGGGGGCCACAACAGGUGAAGGGGAGCAGAGUGGCGGAAACGUGAGGCGCGAGCAGCCCGCAGUAAGGGUGAUAGCUGGGGGCCCGACAUUGGCCGGAGAUUCCAACAGAUCGAGAAAAAAUUAUGCUAGGUACGCCAUGACCAGUAAAGAGGUACUCCUCAACACCCCAGCAGCCAAACGAGCAAGGGUCAGGCAAGUGCCAAUCAUGUGGACGGAUGAGGAUGAGGAAGGGAUUCUAUACCCCCAUGAGGAUGCUUUAGUCAUCAAGGCUACUGUCGCUAGCAAGAAGUUUGACCGGAUACUGAUUGAUACAGGGAGCUCAGUUGAUGUGUUAUUUAAGUCAACCCUGGAAGAGAUGGGAAUAGCCGACCGGAAGUUGGAAUAUACCAAUACCUCCUUGAAGGGGUUCGGAGGAGGGAAGCUGGUCCCUCUGGGCGUGGUCGAGCUGCCUAUCACAAUUGGGAGCUCCCCGACAGAAAGAACAAUGAUACUGGACUUUGUCGUAGUGGAUGAGGAAGGUCCUUACCAGAUGAUCCUAGGUCGGCCAUUUUUAAGGAUGAGCAAAGCGGUGUUGUCCAAUCAUUAUCUGGCUCUGAAGUACCGGGUGAACGGGGUAGUAGGAGUGGUACGAGGAGACCAGAGGAUCGCAAGAAGCUGCUACUCCUCGGCAGCAAGGGAAGCAAUGCAGAUAACAUCCCUCGAUACCCGAGUGGAAAACAAGAAGGGCAGACAAGAACCUGUAGAGGAUCUGGAAACAGUAAGCCUGGGACCAGAGAACCCGGGAAAGAUGAUCAGAAUCGGGUCGAGACUUAAGGGAGAGCAAAAGCAGGAGUUGGUGAAAUGCUUACAGGCUCAUGCUGAUGUGUUUGCUUGGACACAUGAAGACAUGCCAGGGAUUGACCCUGAGGUAGCAUGUCAUAAGCUGGCAAUAAAGAAAGGUGCUCGGGCAGUAAGGCAGAAGAGGAGGUGUUUCAACCAGGAGAGGUAUGAGGCUAUAAAUGGCGAGGUGGAGAAGCUCUUGAGAGCAGGGUUCAUUCGGGAAGUCAGUUACCCUGAGUGGAUAUCGAAUGUGGUGUUGGUAAAGAAGGCAAACGGCAAGUGGAGGAUGUGUGUGGAUUUCACAGACCUCAAUAAGGCGUGCCCAAAAGACAGCUUCCCUUUACCAAAGAUCGAUCAGCUAGUAGAUUCAACGGCUGGACAUGGUCUGCUUAGCUUCAUGGACGCGUUCUCGGGAUACAACCAGAUCCCCAUGUACGAGCAGGAUGAGGAGAGCACGGCUUUCAUCACUAACCAAGGUUUGUUCUGUUACAGGGUAAUGCCAUUCGGUCUCAAAAAUGCCGGGGCCACCUAUCAAAGGCUGGUGAACAAAGUCUUUAAGCCGUUGAUUGGGAAAACCAUGGAGGUGUACGUGGAUGACAUGAUCACCAAGUCCAAAAUCCCGGAGGAACAUGUCAGACACCUCGAGGAGACAUUCGAGCUUUUGAGGAAGUAUAAGAUGAAGCUCAACCCGGAGAAGUGUGCUUUUGGGGUCGAGUCGGGGAAAUUCCUUGGAUUCAUGGUGAGCCAUAGGGGGAUUGAAGCAAAUCCCGAGAAAAUCCAGGCGAUUGUGCAAAUGACGUCUCCCCGUAACCUGAAGGAGAUGCAGAGCCUCACGGGGAGGUUGGCGGCGUUGAGCAGAUUCAUAGCCAAGGCUACAGAUAAGUGUCAGCCGUUCUUUCAAGUGAUGAGGAGGGGAAAGAAAACAGAAUGGACCUCAGAAUGCGAGGAAGCCUUCCGGAACUUGAAGCAAUACUUGCAGCAAGCUCCGCUGCUGUCCACACCGAGGGAUGGGGACAAGUUAUAUCUGUAUUUAGCGGUAUCGGCUCGGGCCGUCAGUUCUGUUCUGGUGAGAGAGGAAGAAGGAGUUCAGUAUCCGAUAUAUUACACCAGCAAGGCCCUGCUCGACGCUGAGACCAGAUACCCACCGUUGGAGAAAUGGGCACUUGCCCUUGUGGUUGCUGCUCGGAAGUUGAGGCCAUAUUUUCAAGCAUUCCCGGUCUUGGUAAUAACAAACCAGCCAUUGCGUCAAACUCUGCACAAGCCAGAUGCCUCUGGUCGGCUCGUCAAGUGGGCUGUAGAGCUGAGCGAGUUCGACAUAGACUAUAAGCCCCGCGCAGCGAUAAAAGCCCAGGCAAUGGCCGAUUUCGUAGCUGAAUUCACAGAGCCCGAAGUAUGCUUAGAUCAACAAGAGGCAGAUAUAGGCAAUGACGAAACUCAAGUAUGGCAGAUGUCUGUGGAUGGGUCAUCAGGGGAGCGGGGUUCAGGAGUAGGGAUUGUCUUGGAAGGCCCAGAGGGGGAGGAGAUCUCUUAUGCUGUAAAAUUGGAAUUUGCAGCCACGAAUAACCAGGCAGAGUAUGAAGCCUUGAUAGCAGGUCUGGAAUUGGCUAAGGCCGUGAAAGCAAACAAAGUUAAGAUCAGAACUGAUUCCCAGCUGGUAGCGAAUCAUGUCAGUGAAAGAUUCCAACCAAGAGAGGAGAAGAUGGGGCAGUACCUGAAGAUAGUCAAGCAGAUGAUGGGGAAGUUCGAAGCAGUGGAGGUGAUACAGAUCCCCAGGGAGCAGAAUAGUCGAGCAGACAUUUUGGCUAGGAUGGCAGCAGUAGCCGACCCAAAAAUGCCAAAGUCGGUCCCUCUGGAGGUGAAGUCCGGCCCAAGUAUCGAUCAGAAUUUGGGGGUGAUGCGGAUAGAACAAAAAUGCUCGUGGAGGGACCCGAUAGUUUCAUACCUUAGAGACGGGGUAUUACCACCAGAUAAGAUGCGAGCUCGCAAGCUUAGAGCCCAGGCCUCGAGAUACACGAUGAUUGAUGGGGUACUGUAUCGGCGAGGAUAUACACUACCGUUCCUUCGGUGUUUGGAUGAGGACGACGCGGAUUACGUACUAAGAGAAGUACACGAAGGAAUUUGCGGAAAUCAUUCUGGCGGGAGGUCCCUGGCCCAUAAGGUUCUAAGGCAGGGAUAUUUCUGGCCGACAAUGCACCAGGAUGCGCAAGAGAAGACCAGGAGUUGUGUAAGUUGCCAGAGUUUUGCAAAUUUCUCUAACCAACCACCAGAGAAGCUUACCUCCAUGACCUCCCCCUGGCCAUUUGCUCAAUGGGGAAUUGAUCUGAUCGGCCCAUUGCCAAAGGCACGGGGAGCAGCAACACAUGCAAUAGUUGCUAUAGAUUACUUCACGAAGUGGAUAGAGGUAGAAGCCCUUAGCAGGAUCACAGAGAAGAAAACAACAGACUUCGUGUGGAGAAACCUGGUCUGUCGAUACGGGAUCCCUUAUGCCUUGGUAACGGAUAAUGGCAGGCAGUUCGAUAACCACAGCUUCAGGGAUUUCUGCCAGAACCUCGGGAUAGAGCUGAAGUAUUGCUCGCCUGCUCACCCUCAAUUGAAUGGACAAGUAGAAGCAGCCAACAAGACCAUCAAGAGGCUUUUAAAAACCAGGCUUGGAGCAAAAAAGGGUGCGUGGGUUGACGAGCUGUCAGGUGUGCUAUGGGCAUACAGAACAACCCACAAAACCGCAACUGGGGAGACACCGUUCGCUUUGGCUUUCGGACAUGAAGCGGUCGUGCCGGCUGAGAUAGGAACGACCACACACCGGACAAAUCAUUUCAAUGAGCAGGAGAACGACGAGCAGAUAUGUUUGAAUCUUGAUCUGCUAACGGAAAGGUGGGAGCAAGCAGCCGAGCGAUCAGUCAUUUACCAACAGAGGGUUGCUCGGUAUUAUAACCAGAAGGUGAACAUACGGCAAUUCAGGGUCGGAGACUGGGUACUGAGAAGAGUGAAUCAGAGCACCAAAGAUUCGACUCAAGGAGUGCUGGGACCGAAUUGGGAAGGGCCAUAUAGAGUCAAGCAGAUAGCGGGACCCGGAGCUUACAGGCUGGUUCGCACGGACGGCCACGAGGUGAAACGCCCAUGGAACGCAGCACACCUCCGAAAAUACUUCCAGUAAGACUUGUUCACAUGUGAAAACUAUUUUUGCUCAUGUUCAUUACCGUUUAUCUUUCACGCUUAUUGUCCAAACAAUUUCAUGUAAGUCGAAUCCUGCCAUUAAUGGAACGUCGAGGAAUUUCUUUCGCUUGAAACCGAGAAAAUUUUCCAAGGCAUGCAAAGGCUCACCAAGUCUCAAAGCCUGUCUUAUGGCGAGACAGAAGCCAAGCAUGCCAGGAUCUGCUCGGCCACGAGAAGGCAAGCAGAAUCCCAAUCCUCGAAGAAUCCAAGGCAUGCAAAGGCUCACCAAGUCUCAAAGCCUGUCUUAUGGCGAGACAGAAGCCAAGCAUGCCAGGAUCUGCUCGGCCACGAGAAGGCAAGCAGAAUCCCAAUCCUCGAAGAAUCCAAGGCAUGCAAAGGCUCACCAAGUCUCAAAGCCUGUUUUAUGGCGAGACAGAAGCCAAGCAUGCCAGGAUCUGCUCGGCCACUAGAAGGCGAGCAGACUCCAAAGCAUUCGAAGAAAUGCCCAAGGCAUGCAAAGGCUCGACAAAGUCUCAAAGCCUGUUUUAUGGCGAGACAGAAGCCAAGCAUGCCAGGAUCUGCUCGGCCACUAGAAGGCGAGCAGACUCCAAAGCAUUCGAAGAAAUGCCCAAGGCAUGCAAAGGCUCGACAAAGUCUCAAAGCCUGUUUUAUGGCGAGACAGAAGCCAAGCAUGCCAGGAUCUGCUCGACUACUAGAAGGCGAGCAGACUCCAAAGCAUUCGAAGAAAUGCCCAAGGCAUGCAAAGGCUCGACAAAGUCUCAAAGCCUGUUUUAUGGCGAGACAGAAGCCAAGCAUGCCAGGAUCUGCUCGGCCACUAGAAGGCGAGCAGACUCCAAAGCAUUCGAAGAAAUGCCCAAGGCAUGCAAAGGCUCGACAAAGUCUCAAAGCCUGUUUUAUGGCGAGACAGAAGCCAAGCAUGCCAGGAUCUGCUCGGCCACUAGAAGGCGAGCAGACUCCAAAGCAUUCGAAGAAAUGCCCAAGGCAUGCAAAGGCUCGACAAAGUCUCAAAGCCUGUUUUAUGGCGAGACAGAAGCCAAGCAUGCCAGGAUCUGCUCGACUACUAGAAGACGAGCAGACUCCAAAGCAUUCGAAGAAAUGCCCAAGGCAUGCAAAGGCUCGACAAAGUCUCAAAGCCUGUUUUAUGGCGAGACAGAAGCCAAGCAUGCCAGGAUCUGCUCGACUACUAGAAGGCGAGCAGACUCCAAAGCAUUCGAAGAAAUGCCCAAGGCAUGCAAAGGCUCGACAAAGUCUCAAAGCCUGUUUUAUGGCGAGACAGAAGCCAAGCAUGCCAGGAUCUGCUCGACUACUAGAAGGCGAGCAGACUCCAAAGCAUUCGAAGUAAUGCCCAAGGCAUGCAAAGGCUCGACAAAGUCUCAAAGCCUGUUUUAUGGCGAGACAGAAGCCAAGCAUGCCAGGAUCUGCUCGACUACUAGAAGGCGAGCAGACUCCAAAGCAUUCGAAGUAAUGCCCAAGGCAUGCAAAGGCUCGACAAAGUCUCAAAGCCUGUUUUAUGGCGAGACAGAAGCCAAGCAUGCCAGGAUCUGCUCGACUACUAGAAGGCGAGCAGACUCCAAAGCAUUCGAAGUAAUGCCCAAGGCAUGCAAAGACUCACCAAGUCUCAAAGCCUGUUUUAUGGCGAGGCAGAAGCCAAACGUGCCAGGAUCUGCUCGACCACUAGAAGGCGAGCAGUCUCCAAAGCAUUCGAAGAAUCUCCAAAGGCAUGUGGCAAAACCAUGAGCCAAGCCGGAACCUGCUCGUCUAGACAGAGACAAGCAGAUUCUCAACCGAAAAUUAAUUCAUAAUUACAUCACAAGAAAGUAAUCAAAAACCAUUUUUAUUAAUUUGUUAAUAAUUAACAGAGGGGAUAAUCUUCAUGAACAUUGUUCAUUACAAUACAAGAAAUAUAUCAGGAAGAUGGUGGACCAGUAAGCCCGGCAGCAUCGGUUGGCUGGACCUCCUCAGGUGCAGGAGGGGUAUCACCAGUUGCGUCCGGGGGGUGCUCGCCUCGCCAACAUCAGCAGGGACUGCACGAGCAGGAGAGUCUUCCUCCUCAAUCACGAUCGGCUCUACCCCAUCGGCAUCUUCCUUGGCCGCCUCCUCAUCCAUAUGUUGAGCAACACCAGCUGCAAGGUCAUCCAUCUUCAGAUCAGGGUGUUGCUUCCCGAGGACGGCCAUGAUGCAACGAUAGGAAUGCCGAAGUCCCUGGUCGUACUGGUUGUCAGCCUCCCUCUCCAAGUUCUCGACCUGAGCUCGGUGGGAGUCGCGGAGAGAUUCGAGCUGAGCCUCAUACAUAGCCUUCUGCCUUUGCAGAUCCUCCUUGACCGUGGUAAGCUCCUCCUCGAGGGAAAUGGCUUUUGCUUGAGCAAGUGAUUCUUGCUCUAUUAACUUCAGAUUCUCGAGAUUCAGCUCCCCUGCUUUCUUCUCGGCAACGUCAGCUCUGGUCGUCGCCGAUUGAAUAUCCUCCUUCAUCUUCCGGUCGUAGCGGCCAACCUUAGCCUUGUAAUAGGUGGUCAUGCAGCUGAGGUGGAAAGCGCUAUGCUGCAUGGCCCCCACCAGCUCACCCAAGGUGCGGCCGUCAAAGUCCUCCAAGUCCUUCUUGCUCAUGAGUUUAGUUAACUCAUUGAGGUAGGGGACCAGGUGUUCUGCUCGGCUGUCAGGUAAGCGAGAUCGAGGCCCGACAGGAGGAAAAGAGGAAGCAGGAUCUGUAGCUGCUCCACUAGCUUCCCCGACUUUUACAGGAGCAGGAGGUAAAAUCUUCAAGGGUGGGACCUGCUGCAUGAUGUUGGCCCGCUUUGCAGCAGGGGCAUUCUUAUUCUGGUCCCUCUUCGUGGUGGGAGGUCGGGAACGUUUUCGGGUCAGAGCCCCAAUCACAGCGUCCUCCAUCCUAUGGCCAGGAAGUAUCAAGCGAGACUCGAGCAAGUUGUAUGUAGUUAGCAGUUCUCGGCUCGAGCAGGAAUUGGCUAGUACAGCCUCGACCCGUUUGAGCUGGUCAGGUUCAAGCGGGAAGUGGACACCCCAAGAAACUACAACACAAACAGACACUUGGUUAGAGACAAGCCAAUAAAGCAAGAACAAUUAUGGAUGCAAGACAUCUAGAGCGAGCAGGCAACCUGGGACCGUGAAACGGGGUGGGACGCGACAAUCCUUCCCGCCUAUUUGUGCAACUUGACCCCAAGGACCCCCAGCAAAAAAGAAUUUCCUCUUCCAAGCCCCACCACCACCGGUUGGAAGAUCGGUUAUGGAUUUCCGGCUCUUGGUGCUAGAUUGGAAGUAGUACCAGCCGGCAUCUUUGGGGCUGCUCUUUAGCUGGUACAAGUGCUUCACCUCGUCAACCGUGGGCUCGCUUUGGCAACAUCUGUCCCACAAUAUGAACAGACCAGAGAGCACUCUCCACCCAUUGGGAUUCAGCUGACCAGGAGCUAGAUUUAGCCCGUUAAGUAUCCGGGCAAAGUAGGGUUGCAAGGGACACCUCAGCCCGUACUUAAAGCUCUCUAGAAACAGGGUAACGUAUCCCCUAGGAGGCCGGCUGGGAGCAUCCUUCUUUCCUGGGACCUUGAGAGGUAUCUCACCAGGAAUGCUAUACCUAAGCUGGAGGUCAUUGAGCUCGUCAAACAAGGUCGUGCACGUCAUGUAAUCAAUGGCAUAAUCGCGCGACAAGGCUCUGCCUCCUACUGUACCCCGUUCCUCUAGUCGUGAUGUUCCAGAUGGAGACACCUCACCAGAGUCACCUUCCCCAUUCUCACUUAAGGUGUCCUCAGAGCCAGAAGGUCCCCCCUCACCAUUGCUUCCGCUCGUGGAGGUUGUUUGGGGGGACAUCCUCCUAGCACUAGUCCCGACACUAAACCUAAUGGGUUCUAAGGGGAUCCCGGGGUCAAAAGCCGGAUCAGUGAGCAGACUAGGCAGGAAACUUAGUUCGUCGUCAUCAAUCUCAACGACUUUCUCCUUACCUUUCGACAUUCCCUAAGCCCUAACCACAACACCACCAACUACUACCUAAACAGAAGAGAAGAGAAAUUAUCUACAACUAUCCGAGACCAAGGAGAUAGAAGAAAUACCUGAAGUAAUGGUUCAGUCGGUGAAAGUCAGAGAUGGAGGCCUUUUAUGCCGGAACUUCUUUGCCGGAGAAACAGAGACGGAGACGGAGUGAAUGAUGAAUAUGCCGUUCGAGAGGAUUUGGUUUUCCUAAUGAAGACGGACUCUUGGGUUGCCAGCAUUUAACGGCGCCGAAUCCCGAGGGUCUCAUAACCGUCGGUUUGAAAUUCAAAUGAAGGGGGGGAUUUCUGCCACGUCACCUCGUCCGCAAUUAAAUGCGACAUGACUCUUGGCAGCCUUUUCCAAUCCCACGCGGGCGAGUACUAACGAGUUUCUACUGCUGGUCCACUACAUUACCCAACACCAGAAACUGGGGGACCGGUGUUUGGGAGAAAUACGUCGAUGAGACCAGGCAUGGUGAGCAGAUAUCUGAUGGCAGAGUUCUGCGAACCGGUGUGUUCCGUAAAAGCCUGGUGCACGGGGGAACAUGAGCAGAAGUAUCCUGCUCGUCCACGAGCACGUCAUCCGCGAGGCAAAUUUCCUGUAAGAGGCAUAAGGUCAUUCCGGCUAGAGGUCGAGAGGCGAGGAGACCCGGUCGACGGCAGUUGGCAAGACAUGCUCCCCAGCCCGAGAAUCUAGGCACGACAGCCACGCUUUCCCCAGAACUGUGGCGUAACACGCAAGAUCUCACAGAACCACGACAGCCACGCUUUCCCCAGAACCGUGGCGUAACACGCAAGAUCUCACAGAACCACGACAGCCACGCUUUCCCCAGAACCGUGGCAUAACACGCAAGAUCUCACAGAACCACGACAGCCACGCUUUCCCCAGAACCGUGGCGUAACACGCAAGAUCUCACAGAACCACGACAGCCACGCUUUCCCCAGAACCGUGGCGUAACACGCAAGAUCCCACGUUUGCCCAUAACGCAGCAGUCAGAGUCCCAUACCGUCUCAGAAAAAGCGGAAAACUGGGAUUCAGGGGAAGCCUAUAAAAAGGUAGCCAACGAAGGUAAAAGGGUUGGCAUUUUUGAGAUUAUAAAAGAAAUGAAAAAAGAAGAGAAAACGACGAAAAAGCCAUAAGAUCUGUGGCAAGUGUCCCCCGAACCUUCAUAUCUGACUUGAGCGUCGGAGGGUUUGCGCCGGGAAAACAACCGGCGUACUCUGACUUGUCUGUGUGCGCAGGAACCUCUGGAGAAGAAGCCUCACGUGGAGACCUCCUGGUCGUGAAGAAGUUGAUCGGGCAGAGAUCCUGGUCGUAGAACGAGGAGAACCGGAAUCCCGCAUCAACAGAACUUGUACUUGUCCUGUGAUCCGUACAUGCGACCACGAAUGACCUACAUCGAAGGAUCUUACGUUGAAUCCUUUAAACCUGGCUUGGUUAGUGCACUCGCUCAUGGCCACGCUUUUCAUUUCCAUGGCUUCUUGCUCUUUUGUUAUAGAAAAUUUAUUUUUGGUUGCAGUUUGAUUCGACUGCUAAAAUCUCGUGCGAUAAUUGUAUAAGAUAUCUAGAGUUUGAACUUCUUUCACAUUAGGGUUCAAGGAAGUUAACUUAAAUGAUUUUCAAAAUUUUAAAUGUGUACCAAAGAAUUUAAUUUCAUAGCUUAAACUUAUAUUUUGAUCAUACUCUAACUUUGGACAGGAAAAAUUAUAUUUUUCCUUUAGUUCUUUGCCUUGGUGUAUGUUGUGUGAAGUACUUGUGCUUGAAAAUGAAUUGCUGACACAGAAAUUUCUAUGAAUGCAUGCAGCCCAUAAGUGGAUAUGGGGUGGGUAAAGUUUUGGAUUCAGAGAAUCCAGAGUUCAACAAAGGUGACUUGGUUUGGGGAAUGACUGGAUGGGAAGAGUAUAGUCUCAUUACGGCUCCACACUUGUUUAAAAUUCAACACACAGAUGUGCCUCUUUCUUACUAUACUGGAAUCCUCGGUAAACUUUUUGUUUGCACAAUUUAUGUGAGCAAAUUGUGUCUUCUUUUUCAUAUGUAAAUGUUUUUGAUAUCUUGAUGUGAAGGUAGAAAAUUGCAUGUUUUGAGUUUUUGCAUAUUUGAUGGAAACACAGAACUGUACCUGAAUCUUUCAGAACCCCCUUCUCUUUGAAGUUUGAACACUUUUCUUGAAUGUAUCAACUUUAUUUAUGGGAUAUGUUGCCAAAUUGGAAAAUCUAUUCGUUAUAAAACUUUCCUUUGACAGUUUAAUCUAAGCAGAUGUUAAUUCUGCAAAUAGAGUGUGCCUUAGAUUAGUUUCAUAGAUUUGUCUCCUUCUGUACAGUAAAAACUUUGAGCAUUUUCGCCAUAUUCUGAUCAAUACACUCCAACUAGUUAGUUCUUGAGGCGUUUUAUGGUUUCGUGGAGUGAGGCAAGAUGUAUACGUUUGCAAAUUGGCAAUGUCUUUCUCUUGAUGGGUUGAGAGUUGUGAGUGUCAACAGGAAACAAGACCUCUGUUUUAUGAACUCCAAAAAGUUAUUCUGUUAAAAAGAUCGAGACAGAGGCCAUACUAUAUUUAUUAUUGCUAUAAAAGUGUGAAAAAAUAUUCUUUAUUUAAUAUUCUAAACGAUUGAGCCAUUUAGUUAUGAUACUCUGCUGUAUUGGGGCUAAUAAUCUAAGUCGGUUCAAAGUGGUAAAUUUAUAAAUUGAUAGGUAUGCCUGGUAUGACCGCUUACGUUGGAUUUUAUGAGGUCUGCUCUCUUAAGCAAGGAGAGUGUGUCUUCAUAUCCGCAGCAUCUGGUGCAGUUGGACAGCUUGUGGGGCAGUUUGCAAAGUUAUUGGGUUGCUAUGUCGUCGGAAGUGCUGGAAGCAAAGACAAGGUAUGUAAAAUUAGAAUUUGAUCAACAGAUUUGGAGUGUUUGUUUACAGAGAAAAUCUAAGAGAAAAUGUAAGAAACUUUAGCUGAGAAUAUUCAUUUUGUUCAACUUAAUAACAGAAUGAGAUUACAAAGCUUAUAUACUGCUAUCAAGAAUCAUCUUAACACAUACAUCAUUUUCACGUGUAUUUAUCUUUGAAAGAAGCUAAAUAACCAGCUUAACAAACUCACAACUACUUUGCUGACUGGACUGCCACGUCACCAUAACUAACUUAACUAAUCCAAUCAGUUAAUCACAGUUAACACAUAUUCUUAUCAUCCCCCCUCAAGCUUAAGUUCGGGGAAGGACAUUAAGCUUGGUACGAAGAUAAGCAAACUGAUCAAAAGAGAGGGGCUUGGUGAGAAUGUCUGCAAGUUGUUCUGAACUGGAAACAUGACUGAUCGUGAGUUGCUUCUGGGCAAUAUGCUCUCGAAUAAAAUGAAGAUCCAACUCAAUGUGCUUUGUUCGAGAGUGAUACUUAGGAUUGCUAGCUAAUGCCUCAGCACUCUGAUUAUCACAUUAUAGAACAGGACUUUGAGUUGGCUGAAUUUGCAGUUCUUGAAGCAAAUAAGUGAGCCAAAGAAUUUCAGAGGUUGCCGAAGCAAGAGCUCUAUAUUCAGACUCUGCUGAGGAACGAGAAACAAUGGUUUGUUUCUUGGAGGACCAAGAAAUAAUAUUGUUUCCUAAGAAUACACAAUACCCUCCAGUAGACUUUCGAUCAUCAGGAUCAGCUGCCCAAUCAGCAUCAGAAAAUGCUGUUAAAGUCACAGAGCCUGAAUUGAAGAAUUGAAUCCCAAAGUGUGAAGUAGCUUGAAGAUAUCGAAGAACCCUUUUACAAGCUUGCCAGUGUGCAAUGGUUGGAUGAGCUAGGAACUGACUAAGCUUGUUAACAGGAUAAGCUAUAUCAGGUCUUGUUAGCAACACAUACUGAAGAGAGCCCACAAUACUUCUGUAUAAUGAGGGAUUAUCAAAAACUUCACCACUGUCCUUUGUAAGCUUAUCACCUGGACUCAUAGGAGUAUUAAAACCUUUGCUGUCAAGCAUAUUUACUUUUCUAAGGAUAUCACCAAUGUAUUUGGUCUGAGAUAAAUGCAGUCCCUGAACAGAGGGUGUUACUUCAGUACCAAGAAAGUAGUUAAACUCUCCUAGAUCUUUGAGUGCAAACUCUGAAUGAAGAUAUUGAAUAACAGCCUCAAUAUGUUGAGAAUUAGAACCAGUAACUAAAAUAUCAUCAACAUAUAUAAGAAUGAGCACAAUAUCAUGGUCAAUAUGCUGAAUAAACAUGGAUGUAUCAGAUUUUGAGGAUUGAAAACCUUUAUGGAGUAAGGACCCUUUCAACCUCUCAUACCAAGCUCUAGGAGCUUGCUUGAGACCAUAUAAGGCUUUGUUUAACUUGCAAACAUAUGAUGGAUUUGCAAAGUCUAUAAAACCUUGUGGCUGAUGCAUGAACACAUCCUCUUCAAGCAUACCAUUGAGAAACGCAUUAUUAACAUCCAGCUGUCUAAUCUGCCAAUGAUGCAACACUGCUAGACUGAGGACAACUCUGACUGUGCAAGGUUUCACAACUGGGCUGAAGGUCUCAAAGAAAUCCACCCCUUGAGUUUGAUGAUAACCCUUGGCAACCAACCUAGCUUUGUAUUUGGAAAUGCUGCCAUCAGGGUUAUACUUCACCCUAAAUACCCACUUAUUACCAACUAUUUUAGCAGCACUUUCAGAGGGCACUAGAGUCCAGGUUUGAUUUCUUUGCAGAGCAUCAAAUUCCUCUUUCAUAGCACAAAACCACUUGGAGUCAUGCAAGGCACUUUUGACACUAGUUGGCUCAAGAUUUUCAGUAGCUGCUAGAUAUGACUUGGGUUUGAAGAUACCAGCUUUAGCUCUAGUAAUCAUUGGGUGAGAUGGUAAUGAAGAUGAGUGAGUUGGUUCAGCUGAAGGAUGAGAAUAAGAAGGUUGUGCUGAACUGGAACUUGAUGGAGGAGACAUUGCUGAAUGAAAAUUAGGAGAUGAUGACUCUACAUUGCUACUGUCAACCUGAGCAGAAGUUUGAAGAAAAGAAAGUUGUACUGGUGAAGAAGGGACAUCAACAUUGGAGACUUGUGAGGUAGAGUGUUUUAGAAACAAUUCUGUGUUAGGAAACUCAGUUUCAUUAAAAACAACAUGUCGAGCAACAAACACUUUACCAGAUGAAUUUAAACACUUAUAACCUUUAUGAAGUGGACUGUAACCAAUGAAAAUACAUUUUUGAGUAUGAAAGUCAAGUUUAUGCUGGUUAUAAGGUCUGAGGAAUGGAAAACAGGAGCAACCAAAAACCUUUGGAAACUGAUAGUCAGGCAGAUGAUUAUGUAAUUUCUGAAAUGGGGAUAGAUUGUUUAGAACUGAUGUGGGCAUUCUGUUGAUAAGGAAAGAAGCAGUGUGGAAUGCUUCCCACCAAAAGGAGAGAGGUAACUGUGAUUGAGCUAGAAGUGUCAGACCUGUUUCAACAAUAUGCCUGUGUUUCCUCUCAACAACACCAUUUUGAUGGUGUGUAUAUGGACAACUAUACCUAAAACAUAUACCCUCUUGCUGAAGAAAGGUUUUAAAAGCUAUAAAUUCACCCCCCAUAUCUGACUGUAGUGUUUUGAUAGACAAGGAGAACUGUUUUUCAACAAGAAGUUUGAAGUGUUUGAAGGUUUCUAAGGCUUCUGACUUUGCUGUGAGAGGAAAAAUCCAAGAAUAUCGAGUGAAAUCAUCCACAAAAGAGAUAUAAUAUCUGUAUCCACUCAUUGAAUAUUCAGGAGCUGGUCCCCAUAAAUCUGUAUAUAGAAGCUCAAGUGGUGCUUUUGUUUUAAUGGUAGUGACAGAAAAAUGAAGCUGAUGCAUUUUGCCAUGUUGACAAGCAUCACAGAAGCUAAUGAAUUUAUUUGAAAAGCAAUGUGUGGGAAGACUUUUAAUAAUUGUUUGCAAAGCAUGUUUAUUGGGAUGACCAUAUCUAUUAUGUAACAACUGAACUGAUAUCUUUCCAGCUCUAGAAGAAUUUCCAGAAACAGAACAUGCAAAAGCUUCAGACAUAUUUACAUUAUCCAACUUUGACACAUGAUUAUUUGACUCUGGUAAAGAGUUUACAACUUUAUUAUCAAAACAAAAUGACAACAUGGAACUUGGUUUAAAAAGAUUUGGAUUGCAAUCUGCAGAGUAAGGAGAGAAGACAUCAAGUGACAGUAGCUUGUAAAGACCACCUUUAACAAUCCCCUGUGCCAGCAAAGUUCCCUCCUUCUUGUCCUUAAUAAAGCACAUGGUGGAACAAAAUUCAAUGAUUAUGUUAUUAUCCAAAAGAAGUUUAGAUAUACUGAUGAGGUUUUUGGUUAUUUUAGGAACACACAAAGUAUUGGUUAAGGAUAAACAUGUGCCAAAAGAAGUAGAAAGAUGAGUGCAGCCAAUAUGUGUGAUAGUAAGACCUUGUCCAUUUCCAACAAACAACAGUUGAGUACCAUUAUAAGGAUUACCUUCAACCAGGUUUUGCACAUUGUUGGUGAGAUGAUGAGUGGCUCCACUGUCCAGAUACCAUCCCUGAUCAGCAACUCCUUCUGAGGUAGCCAUAUAAGCUGUUCUUGGCCCUGGGUUCUGCAUUGGAGAAUUUGAAACAAAAUUUCUGUUAAAUCUGUUUCUACAAUCAACAGCUGAAUGGUUUGGUUUAAAACAUAUUUGGCAGGUAAUAUUUCCUCUGCCACCUCCUCUACCAAAGCCACCAGAGGACCCUGGAUUUCCACCAUUAAAACCACCAUUUCCACUAAAUCCACCAGUAUUUCCAUUAAAACCACCAGAGUUUGAACCUCUUCCUUGGUUUCCAAACCAGCCUCUCCCUGAGUUUUGAUCCAUAAAGCCACCUCUGCCAGAUCCAUAACCUCCUCUAUUGUUGAAAUUUCCAUUUCCAUUUCUAUUCACAAAAUUAACAUUCCAAUUACCCUGGUUAUUAGUAUUCCAAUUAGCAUUGCUUCCUGACUUCUUCUGAUUAUUACCAGUCUGAGCCACAUUAGCACUAAAAUUCACCUUAGUUUCCUUAGCUACACCAGAAUGAUUACUCUCAAGCCUAGCUUCAUGAGAUAGCAACAUAGAAUAAGCCUCAUUGAUGCUCAUUUUAAGAGCAUUUGCCUCAAUAUAAACUACAACAGGAUAGUAAGCCUGACCUAGCCCUGAGAUUAAAUGUGUAAUGAAGUCAAUAGAGCUAACUGAACUUCCAGCCAUUGCUAAUUCAUCAGUUACUGACCUUAGUUUACAAAAAUAUUCAGUAAUUGACAUGGAUCCUUUCUUAAGAUUGUUUAGCAGCAUCUUUAAAUGCACUUUCUUAGCUGCUGUUUCAAAUCCAAACUGUUCCUCUAAGCUUAUCCAAAGUUCUCGAGAGUUUUUAGAAUUUACCACAAUGCUUAAGAUCUCCACACUGAUUGAAGAUAGAAGCCAGCUCAAGAUCAUCUGAUCUUGCCUUUUCCAAGUAGUGUAGGCAGGAUUUUCUGAGAUGACUGCCGCAUCUGUGCUUGUUGAUUCACCAGUCAGCAGCUGGUUUGGACAGGUACGUGAUCCAUCAAGAAAACCUUCCAGAUCAUUUGCUCGAAUGGCUGAAAGGAUCUGAGAUUUCCAUAUAGUAUAAUUCGAUCUGUCAAGCUUGAUUGGUGUGGCGAAAGUAAAUGUUGAGAUUGCGGAAGAAACAUUUGUACUAAGACUUGAAGAAGCCAUGAUCAAGAAGUGAUUCAAGGCUCUGAUACCAAAUUAGAAUUUGAUCAACAGAUUUGGAGUGUUUGUUUACAGAGAAAAUCUAAGAGAAAAUGUAAGAAACUUUAGCUGAGAAUAUUCAUUUUGUUCAACUUAAUAACAGAUUGAGAUUACAAAGCUUAUAUACUGCUAUCAAGAAUCAUCUUAACACAUACAUCAUUUUCACGUGUAUUUAUCUUUGAGAGAAGCUAAAUAACCAGCUUAACAAACUCACAACUACUUUGCUGACUGGACUGCCACGUCACCAUAACUAACUUAACUAAUCCAAUCAGUUAAUCACAGUUAACACAUAUUCUUAUCAUGUAAUCUGUGUGAAGUACUUGAUUGUUUCCAUGUUACUUUCAAACAUUUAAAUUAAAAAGGAAAUUUUCAUAAUCUUGCCUUUUCUAUGAUUUUCAAAACCAAGGUUGAUCUACUGAAGAACAAGUUUGGGUUCGACGAGGCAUUUAACUAUAAAGAAGAAGCUGAUUUGAAUGCAGCAUUGAAAAGGUUAGCAUCAAUAAAUGCCUUAGCUUGAUGCAGCUUGAUGAAGUAUGAUACACAUUUCUGACCAAUAUACUGCGUUCCCUGAUCUCUUACUUGAAAUAUCUUGGUUUGAGAACCUCAUGCCAAUGCCUUUAACAUUUUGGCAGGUACUUUCCUGAAGGAAUUGAUAUAUAUUUUGAAAACGUUGGUGGAAAAACGCUUGAUGCAGUGCUACCCAACAUGAAAAUCCGUGGUCGAAUUGCUGCAUGCGGUAUGAUCUCACAGUACAAUCUUGACAAGCCUGAAGGUGUGCACAACUUGAUGUAUCUUGUUUUGAAACGGCUUCGAAUGGAAGGAUUCAUUGUUCUCGAUCACUAUCACCUUUAUCCAAAGUUUCUGGAAAUGAUCAUUCCUCACAUCAAAGAAGGGAAGCUUGUAUACGUCGAAGACAUGGCUGAAGGUCUGGAGAGUGCUCCGGCAGCUCUCAUCGGUCUAUUCUCUGGCCAGAAUGUUGGGAAACAGGUGGUUGCUGUUGCUCCUGAAUGAAGAACAAGUUAGUGUUGUAUGUUCUUUUACCCUUUGACACAAAACUUCAAUGUCAAAGAGAGAAUGCUGCUCAUACUGCUUUAUAAAAUAAUCAAAUGAGUGCAAGUUUCAUGAUAUUUGCUGAAUAAAAUAUUGGAAAUUAAGCAGCUAGCCUAGCUCCUUCUUGUAGUUGCAGUUUGAAUGAUGCUGCUGCACAACUGCUGCCGAAAAAAAUCCUUAAUAGAUGAUUAGCAAGGUUUCAAAAAUAAAAAUAAAUGUUUGUGCAAUGUGCCGAAUAUGACAGCCACAAAGAAAGAGCAUACAAAUUGAUUGGUUUUAUGUCUUCUCUAGGAGAAAGCUACAAUACAAGAAAUUGUAUUGAUGGAGCCUUGGACCAAAUUUCUUAUUUAAAUUUUUAAUUUUUUUUAUUAAAUUACUUAUGUUAUUAUGGUUUAUAUUUUUAGAAAUUCUUUAGAAAUUAAUACAGAACUAGUAGCAAGUUGAGAAAUCUACUGAAUGGUCAAGAUAUGAUAAUGUUUAUUGAAUUAAAUUAACAAUCAUCAUUUUCAUAAAUUAUUGUCAGGAUAUUUGAUUCAUGUCAGGUGUAAGUAACUAAGAGAGCGUUUGGGACAGACACCACAGUUGCUCCCGAUGCUUUAUUUUAGGGAAAUAUCCCCUGGAAUAAUGCAUAGGGCGCAGCCCCAAACGGACCCUAAAUGUGCUAAAAAAAAAUUAAUGAGUUGGGUGUGUUUGAUAUUCAUUUGUUGUAAUUCUUUUAAUAAUUAUUGUAGAAAAAAAUAUGAUAAAAAAUUUAUAAUUAUAAAUAAAAAUUAAUAAUAUAAUAAAUAAAAUUUUUAAACAAUAAUUUUAAUAAAAUAAUAAAUAUAUUAUCAAUUUUUCAUCGUUAAUAUUUAAGUCACAAUAAUAAAUAUUUAUUAAACACUUUAAUACUAUAACUAACACUACAACUUUUGAAUUAUAACAGUACAUUCUAAAGACCGUGGAACAAUAGUACAAAAGGUGCUCGUCGUGUAAACAACACAUGGGACCCAAGCAAUAAAUGUUUCUGAUCCUCAACUUUCCUCAUCACUGUCCCUGCAAACAAUUCUGAUUUUCUUGUCUGAUAAAAAAACUGAGAAACAAUGGCGGCCGAACAAGAAGCUGUGAGCAAUAAUGUAAAGCCACAAAUUUUCAUAAUAUUAAAUUAUGAAAAUUGGGCUUUCAUUGAGAAUUAUGGGUGGCCUAUAACCCUUAUUAAGAAAGGGAUACUAAUUAUAAAUACAAGUUAUUUAUGAGAUAGUUUUGAAAAAAUGUUAUUUUUCCUUAUUAAAUAAGGUUUCUUAAGACUCCCUAUAAAUUCAUACUUUUUCCCUUCCAUGACCCUAAGUCCAUGACGUUUAUUCUUCUUCUCUGCUGCUCUUUACGCUCCUACCCAAAUCAUAGGAUUCAAACCUUUGUUUAGGAGAGAAUCAAAGCGACGAGUAAGUUAUUCUCCCUAUUCUCAACAGAUUUCUAAUCACUCUAUCUAGGGUUUAUAUUGGCACGAUUCUAGAUGGUUAUAGAUCAUAAUGCAUGAUUUAGAAUGUAUUUAGGCUUUGUUUAGGGUUUUGAUUUAUUAUGAGUUUAGUUAAUCAAUCCUUGACGUAUUAAGCACAGGAUAAUUCUGGACAAUAUGAGUAUCUCGAAUUUAAACCUAUAUUUUCUGAACGAGUUUUAUUAUAAAAUUUAUAUUUCUGGAAACUAGACAUGUAGGGCUUCUUGAGUAAAUUUUAUUUCAUUAAAUUCGACUUCGUUUUCAAUUUUAUAUUUAUUUUCGAAAUAGAAACCACUGCACUGGAAAACUGCGAUUCCAGCAUUGCGAUCGGAUUCACAAGACUAUUUGUACCACCAAACGAACUCGGAAAAUUCUGAAAGUUUAUAUGUAGGUUAAUAUAUGUGUCUAGGAUUACCAGUUUUAAUUUCAUAAUUUUCUGAUUAGUAUUUUAUUUUAUAAAAAUCACAGAACCCGUUCUGUUUGGUUUAGAUUAUGUGAAAACAGUUUCGAAUUUGCUGAGAAAUAAAUAGUUUCGAAAAUGUUUUUGAUAUCGGAUCCUCUUGCAAAUUUUACAUAGGGUACUCAUGGAUGUCCAGAAUAGUCCCAUAGAAUAUUAUAUCAUUCUGAGUCUUAGAUUAAGAGUUAAAUUCUGAGAAUCAGACCUGUACGGGUAUGAAUUAGAAAAUCAGAUUCUUAGAAUAAGUUAUUAAUUGUCAUAUCUUGUAUUUGUUUAAGGUGUUGAAGGUGAUUGAGGUUCUUAGAAGCUUAAAGGUGUGUUAAUUCAAAUUCAUUUGUCGAGGUAAGUUACUUCAUUCCUACUAUAUUGGAUAUGUAUAAGUAUUUUGAUAUUAUCAUUAUAAGUAUAAAUGUUUUCAUACUAUUUAGAAGAUUAAUGGAUUUUCAUAACAAAAUUAGCUUAUGAAAAUGUUUUCAAAACCUAAUUUCUUUUUAACAAAGCAUUUUAUAAAUACUUUUUAAAUAUGUAAGUUAUUUUGUUACAUGCCUACUUUUAUGAUUUUAUUUAUAAAAUAUUUUGCAAGCCUAAAUUAUUGUUAUGGACUUUUAUGAAUCCGAUACGAAUGUUUUAUGCCUAUGCAUGAUUUCAAUUAUAUAUGAUUGUAUGGGGGCCACCUCUUGGGACUAUAUGGGGGCCACCUCUUGAAGGCCAAAGUGUCGCAAAGUGCCACAUAUAGUGCAAAGUGCCACGUAUAAGUCAUUAUGUUUUGGCUCAUUGUCCGUAGUCAUUUUGAUUCUGAUUCUGAUCAUAUAAUACGAUAUAUGUCUGUUUUGGACCAGUACUGGGUUUCUGUUCUGAGUGUGCACACGAUAUUUUGAUUCUGUUUCUGGCCGGGUCACUGGGACUAUAGGUGACACUAUGUGACAAGAGCUAACCUUUUGUUUUCUGUAUACGUAUUAUAUGAUUUACUUCAUAAGUAAAUAUGCUUUUGGAUAUUCGGAAUUAUUAAGAAUUUAUGUUAUGUUAUCGUGAUAUAUUGUUUUAUGAAAUUUAUGGAUUAUGAUAUAUGUUUUAAACAAAAGAAGGCUUGCAAUAUUUUUGUAUCGAUAGGCCCAGUAUGUUAGAAAUUGUUUUACUUACCGAGUUGACGGCUCACCCCUCGUCAUUACUUUUUGCAGAUUAAGUUUCUUUUGAGAGGUGCGCUUAGCUUUGGAGUUAGUAAUUUUCCGUUUCCAUUUGCCAUUUGAAUAAGAGGAGGAAUAAACUCGUGUUUCUAUUUAGUUAUUUCUAUUAUGAACGUGUAAUUUGGAGUUUGAGACUUUUGUUAUUAUUUUUAUGUCCUCGGGAGAGAUUAUUUAGUAUUAGACGUUAGAAUUUGUGGAUUUAUUUGAAUAAGAAUUGGAGGUAUUUCAGUUUGAAACUUAUGAGUAAAGAUUAUGAUUUGUGAGUAACCUCCUUCUUCACGUGCUCCGCACGUGUUAGAUUUGGGGUGUUACAAAUAAGCGGGUGAUUCUAAGCAACUAUGUGACAGGUUUUCCAAAAGAAUCAGACAUGAAGAUAACAAGUGGAUCAAUAAAGCUGAAGGUAGCAGACUGUUCAAAAGACACGGUGCUUUUGAAGAAUCUUUAUCUUUCUUGUGAUCCUUACAUGCGAGAGCGUAUGAGCAAGCUUGAUAGCCCUUCUUUUGUUGAUUCAUUCCAUCCUGGUGAGGUUAGUUCAUCACGGCCCAUCUCUUGAUUUUUUUUUUUCAUUUGCUUCAAGUUUUGAUGAGUUUCUGAGGUAAUUUGUACGGUUUUGGAAUUUGAACACAAUUUGUGAUUUUGGUGCUGUAACUGUCAUUAAUGAUAUGUAGUAAUUCAAUCGGAAUUUGGAUUUAGUGCUGAUAUGAUCUCUGCUCAUUUUUUUAAAUCUUGUGUCCACAUGCAUUUUUGAAAUCUGGUACGGUUGAGAUUGUAUGUAGAUUAACCUACGUACAGUAUUCUUGUCUAAUGACUACUAACCACAACCUUAUGAGACGAUCGAAACCAAGCUCGGAUCAAUAAUCCAAUCGAGAGAGGAUCAUAACUGAAGCUUAUCGUGUGUGGGAAUAUUUCGGUUAAAUUGUAAUCAUGAUCAUGAAUCAUGCAGGGAAAAGGGAAGUUGAGGUCAAUUUAUGCACUUGAUGGAAUUAAAGAACCAAUAUUUGAUUUUGGUUUACAUUAUUUCUCAGUAAUGGUGACUUUGUGAUGUUAAAUUUAUGCAGCCUAUAAACGGAUAUGGGGUGGCCAAAGUUUUGGAUUCUACACAUCCAAAUAAUGCAAAAGAUGACUUGGUUUGGGGCUUUACCGGGUGGGAGCAGUACAGUCUCGUUACAGCUCCGCAGCUUUUGAUUAAAAUUCAUCAUAAAGAUGUGCCACCUUCAUACUAUACCAGGAUCCUCGGUAAUGAUUUUUGUUACACAUUAAGCUUUGCUUAUAGUAAUAUCAAUACAUAUGCUGCUUAAAUGCUUUCUGAUUUUUUGCCGGCCAUUGUCCAUUUUGCCCGGGAGACUAUAAUUGAAGGAAUUUACUGAAGGAAUGCUGAUUGUUGGGAAUUUGAUUAUUCUAGGUAUGCCUGGUGUAACUGCAUACGCUGGUUUAUAUGAAGUUUGCUCUCCGAAGAAAGGAGAGUAUGUCUAUGUAUCUACAGCAUCUGGAGCUGUUGGUCAGCUUGUUGGACAGUUUGCAAAAUUAGCUGGUUGCUAUGUUGUUGGAAGUGCUGGAAGCAAAGAAAAGGUGCUGUUAUAUCAUUCUUAAGUAGUAAAUAUAGCACCGUGCCUUCUAGCAGAAUUUUACAUGCUUUAUGUUCCAACUAAGCAUCCAUAUUUGAUCGUGAUAAUUAGCAAGGUCAAUAAUUUUUUUUUGACUAUUUUUUCAACGUAAGGUCGAUUUGUUGAAGAACAAGUUUGGACGAUGCUUUUAACUACAAGGAAGAGCCAGACUUGGAUGCAGCGCUCAAAAGGUCAGCUGCAACAAACGUUUCAACUCUAAUAUUUCAUUUUAAUAUUACAGAGCUUUGGUUGAAGUGUGUGAGUUGAUCCCAGAAACGUAACUUCAUCAGUGUCUCUGUUUUCAAAAAACAGGACAAAUUAAAAUCUGAUUUUGCGUUAAAAUUUCCCAGAUGUUUCCCUCAAGGAAUCGACAUCUAUUUCGAAAAUGUUGGGGGAAAGAUGCUGGACGCAGUGCUACUCAACAUGAGGCUCCGGGGCCGCAUUGCGGUAAGCAGUAUGAUCUCACAGUACAACCUGGAAAAACCCGAAGGCAUACACAACUUAGAGCAACUGAUCGGGAAACGGAUUCGCCUGGAAGGAUUUCUAGCAGGUGAUUACUAUCACCUCUAUCUGAAAUUCUUGGAACUGGUCAUUCCUGCAAUCAGAGAAGGAAAGAUGGUGUAUGUGGAAGACAUAGCCGAAGGACUCGAGAAAAUUUCUCGUAACUGCUACACAUUAAACGCGUUUCACAUUUCCACUCUCUCUCUAUAAAUAAACACGCACAUAAAAUUUCUCACUAUCCAAAAACAAAAUCUACAUAAAAAAUGGCGGGUGAAGAAGGAGUGAGCAACAAGCAGGUGAUUCUGAGCAACUACGUGACAGGGUUUCCCAAAGAAUCAGACAUGAAGAUAAUAGCAGGCUCAAUAAACCUCAGGUGCCAGAGGGUUCAAAAGACACAGUGCUUUUGAAGAAUCUUUGUCUUUCCUGUGAUCCUUACAUGAGAGGACGUGUGAGCGAGCUUGAUAAGCCUUCGUUUGUUGCCUCGUUC